rnacentral:lncRNA from 1 species
UUGCAUAACUACAUAUUCUCAGUUGUUCUGUGUUCUUAGGCAAUGGCGAAAAAUAGCAUCUUCCAAGUGAUCAUUGUUUUUCUCAUGGUGCAAGUCUGCUUGCUCAUGAUGAUGGCAGCACCGGCAGCACAUGCAGCUGCUAGACCAGUGGGGUACAAUCCAGUGUGCUGCCCUAGAAACAUUUACUGUUGCGGGUUCGGUGGCGCAUUGGCCAAUUCACCCGUGCCAUCCAUUGAGCCUUGAAGUGUGGUUUUAUUCUCCUCGAGGUAGUAAGCUCGGCAUAUAAAUAAUAUAUGUAGUUUUAUUGUUUCAUGUGUUACCUAUUCCCGAAUAUUUGUGAUGCUAUUUUCAAGAAGAUAUUGUACUAGCUACUUACCUAAUAAAAUGGGAGGAGAUUAUUAUAUAUAUUGUUUUAUGUUUACGUCAGUCCAUUUGAAAACAAGAUUAUUUGGCCGCACUGAUUUAUGGCAAAAAAACGAGUGGUGAGGUGCGUGCCUUUGGGAAUUUCUGUUUUAUUGUUCCGUUGGUCCUCCAUUUGUCGAGAUUGUCUGGGUCGUGGCAGCAUGCUUUAUUUUUCACAAAGGUCAUAACUUUUUAUAGCAUUUAUUGAGUGAUGGAGUACAUCACCAAUUAGUAGAAACCAAUUACUAUUGGCGAUGCUUUUUUUUAAUCAAGGGAUCCACACUCUCUUCCUUUCUUGCAAGAAGGCCGAUGCCAUGUAUUAAAAUUGUCCAACCCUUACAACACCAUCCUUACAAAAGAAUUAACAUAGAAAACAUAUCCUGGGUUAUAUCAAGGGCGUCUUCCUUCCGGACUUGUACGGCGUGAGCAAAACUCGAUGUGGCCUUUGGAUUUCCAGAACAACCUUAGAGCCAGGGUAAAUCAUUCUCUACAUUUUUCAAGUGAGUGCUCAAUUCCUCAAAAAAUAGUCAAAUAAAUAGUAUACGAAUAUAACUUUUUAUUCUUUGAUGGAGCACGAAGGGAUUGUUUGCCGUGGAUCCUAUAUGCGCAAUCUAUCUAUUAAUCUAUUACUAUACUAAUUAGAGACUCCUUCGAAAUUCCCACAAUUAAUCAGAAAAUACGGACUGCUCAUCUGGUGGGACCGAAUUAUUACUGUGUAGAUUUUUUUAAAUUUUCUCACAUUAAUAAAGAUUAAACAAUAAUUAUAAGCCCCCCAUCUGGUGGGACUAAGUUAUUACCACAUAGAUUAACUCAUAUAGUCCUUGGCCAGAAUUUUGCUCCAUUCUCCUAAAUCCAAAUAAUAAUCACUCAAACUCUGUUGUAAAAAUAGAACACUAAAAAAUUACGAUUCAUUCUCUAGUCUCAACUAUUCAAAGGAAAAAAAACUCCCACCUCAAUAUAGGCACUACACAGUCUCUUCCUCUCCCCAUUAAAAAGAUCAUCAACCGGAAGCAAUCUCCAUAAAUUCCAUGGUCACGCAUAGCAUUGUCCAUUGGAUCUGCGAUCGAUCGUCUUGGUCAUUGGCGGAGGCCUUCCUCAAUGGUGUGGCCGAACUCGAUCUGCGGGUGAGGUCAAGAUAACGCUUUGGUCCUAGGGGUUUGGUAUAGGGUCUUACGUAAGGAAAAUGGAAGAAAAAUGAAGUGAAGGCAGAGAACCCAUACACAAAGAGAAGCGAAGUCUGUGCCCCUAGCUACUCAGUAUGCGUACGCGGUUUUCGACACUAGAUGCUGCUUGUUAUUACCAACCAUUUGUAGGCGGUUUGAUUGUUCUGACUAAACCCGGGCAAACGUCAGGCUGGGCUGGGCUUGUAAAAGCCCGGCCUUCAUUCUCAAGCCCGAGCCCGACCCGAAGUCCAAAAACUCUCUGUUUUCAAGCCUGAGCCCGGCCCAAAAUCAAGCCCGAAAGCUCGGCUUGAACGUUGUUUUUAGUGUACGCACGUGCAAGCCUGACCCAAAGCCCGAAAGCCCGUCUCGAAAUACAGAUAAAGAGAAGCCCGAGCCCGGCCCAAACUAUCUUUCGGGCUGCAAAACAAGGCCCGAGCCCAGCCCGAAUGUGAAGCCCGGCCGGGCCGGCCUGUCGAUGCUCGGGUUUAGUUCUAACCACCACCAGCGUCGGCCUUUGCAUCAAGCGAUGCACACAGUCAUUUAUUAAAAAGUAUAGGGUCUCAAAGUAUGAGUAACAUCUCAAGUUGCCAAAAAGGAACAAGAAAUCAAACAAAUAGCCACAACUGACAAAAUAGGAAUGUGGCUAAACACCUAUCUUAUUAAUGGACCAGCAUCUAAACAGGUUGUACUUAGCCCGUGCUACCGUCUCCCAUUGAUUGCACCCAACAGCCAUAAGCCCCCUCUCUACCGCAUGGUGUAGUAAUGACCACUUAGGGAUCCAGCUAGUCGCCCUGAUAGAUAACAUACAAAAAGCUUGUGAUAUUUGUCCUGUUAAAAACACAAUCAUUCCGAUAGUUCCAAAUAGGACAAACUAAAUGCACAAACUAAUUCGUGACGUAGUAUUGGGCUCAACCCCACCUAGCCAGUUACCAAACAAAUUGGAGAUAAUAUUAAGAGGAGGUAUGUUCAACGACACGUGUAUUGUCCGUCACGAUAAGUUGGAAAUGUGGCAAGUGAGAGACAAAUGUUGACUCGUUUCAUCAUGAUCGCAAAACUACACCAUUUACUCCCCUCCCACCUACUCCCUCCGUUCCUAAAUAUUUGUCUUUCUAGAUAUUUCAACAAAUGACUACAUACGGAGCAAAAUAAAUGAAUCUACACUCUAAAAUAUGUCUACAUACAUCCGUAUGUGAUAGUCUGUUUGAAAUGUCUAAAAAGACAAAUAUUUAGGAACGAAGGGAGUACGUUGUAGGCCAACUCUAACCCAUCCACUACAAAAUAGAGGAGGAUCCGUCUGAGCAAAGCUUGGUGGAGUAUAUUUACUUCACUAAGUUUUGGCCGGACAUAGUCGACCCCCUAAAUAUAACCGAGUACAAUUUAUAAUUGGCUUAUACAAUUGGUUGAGCACUUGGUGUGCGUCUGCUUGGGGACUCCGGCAUGGCGAGCACCCCUGCGGCGAGGAACACGGGUUAAACACGUAGCUGAUCAGGAUGCAGACGUUGACAGAUAGCUGCCACCGAGAUGGCAAGCUAGACAUUGCCAAUUGCAGCAUGUUGGUUCCGCUGGCAAGCUUGCUACUCACAUGAUCCUGCUCGGCCUGCACCGUGCCUCGUCCCCCAUCGCGUGCUACAGCUCCUGCUGCUUCCCCUCUGACGGAGGACUGCACCCCAUCACUGUGCUCGACCAUGUAGUGCCUGAAGGGCCUGACUCCUCCGUUGGACAGGCCUAAGGAAAGCUGAAGCUGGAUGGCGUCGUCGACUGCCUGCGAGAUGGGCGCCGGAGUGAGUGUGGUGUUGCGUGGCACCAUGGCAGCAUGAGCUGCAGCUUGAGGUCGUGCCGAACGCUCAUGCCACAGGCGCUCGUGAUGCUGCAGGUCGAGGUCGCCUUCGACUAUGGCACAUGCGCCGAUGCGACGGACGUGUCCCCGUCCGAGCCCCGCAAGGAGAGGUCGCUGUCACUGUCGAACGCCACCCACGAUGAUUCUGACGACCACGGCUAGGAGGAGGGACGGGACGCGGCACUGGGCCGCGACCCGGGGAUAAGCCAGUGGUGGCGGCGACAUCGCCGGGGGCGGGGGUGACUGAGGCUGCGGGUGGUCACCAGGUGGCCACAGAGUGGGGACAGGCGGUCUUAGGGAGAGGCGACAGGUUUUACUCGGCCGCCUUCAGGAGUAAUUUUAGUGGUUGGAUAGGCGGACGAGUAAAAUUUAGCCUCACAUAUACUAUAAGUUUUAGUACUUCGGCUAGGUGCGACAUAAACGAGGAAAACCGAAUUUAUCCUUCCUUAGACUGGCCAUAAUGGGUAGUAACAUAUACAUGUUACUAGUCUAUGUUACCAUCUUUAUAAUGGGGAGUAACAUAUGUGUGGUAACAUGCAACACUUCAUUUAUUAGGCUAUAAACUCAUUUUGCCUUGAUAUGUGUGAUGUUACUCAUACUACUAGUAACUAGCUAUGUUACCACUUUACUCAAUUUCUUCAUUUAUUGUUUACCACAUCAUCUAUUUUAUCUAGAUAUGUGUGAUGUUACUAUCUAUGUUACUCCCACUAUGGGUAGUCUUAUAGUCCGAUAGGGAAUCUUGAUUUUAAAGGGGCCUUUGAUUUUUAAACUUGAUUUCAGCACGUCCAAAGACCGGUGUGGGUAUUAGGGACACAACCCCUUUUGAUGGCCGCUUCUAAUGCCCUUUUUCUACUAGUGAAUAUUGGUUUUGUGCAUCUAUUUGUGACGAUUGCUUUGCUCAUGGUGUCCUUCGAUGAAGUCGGGGUCGCCGGUCGCCUGCGUGCAGCUAUGAAGUUAUUCGUGCAAUAUUUUUUCUUAAUUAAUGAAAAUAACAAGUCUUUUACUACCCCACUGUACAAAAAAUAUAAAAAUGUUUAGAUCAGUACUUUAGUUAUGUAAACACGCACAUAUUUCUUUUACGGAGACCGUUUAACAAAUCAACUAGCAUUAUGUCGAGGAACGAUGCCUGCCAAACAGGGGUUUUGCACCGAGCCGCCGGUGGAAUUGGCCUGAUCGAUUGCCGACGCGGCUAGCCGAGCUAGCUAGAUAGGCCAAAAACAGGGAGCGCCCACACAGACAGAAAUGGAACGCACGCUAACUGACACUGCACUCACGCAUAUGCUCCUACCUAUUCCCUCCGUUCGGAAUUACUUGUCGUAAAAAUGGAUGUAUCUAGACUUAUUUUAGUUCAUCCCGCCGGAGCACCCUGCUCUGCCCAUCUCAUCUCAUCUCACUCACACUGCUUACUUGACUUCACUACCUAGCUCACUUCCUCCGGUUCUCGUGCCACCAAGCUUUCUUCCACGGCAACGGCCACGGCCACGAAGAUGUCUACGGUGACCCGUGCCCACCUCGACCAGAGGCUCGCCGCCGCCAAGCGCUGCUCCAGAGGUACUAACCAAAACGGUGGCAGGCCAGCAAUGCCCGUGUCGUUCUGCUGUUAAACAUUGCAGCCUAUGCGCUGAAACUUGAUCGCCAUUGACAUGCCUGUGUUGCUUCGGAACUGCAGAGGCUGCCAUGGCAGGAGCCAAGGCCGCGGCCGUCGCCACCGUCGCAGCCGCAGUCCCCACAGUAAGUAGCCAGUUAGCCAUUCAGUUAUUCGGCCAAAUCCUUGCACGGUUCAUAGCAUGUCUCAUGCAUGCGUUACCUGUAACUUGAGCUGGCGAGCGCGAAGAUGCGAAGAUGCUGCCGUGGGCCAAGGCACACCUGAACCCAACCGGGCAGGCCCUCAUCAUCUCCACCGUCGCCGACAAGACCAUCCUCUCCAUGGCCAGGAAGCACUCCUUCGAGGACGCGCCGGACCACCUCAAGAACACCUCCUUCCACUAAUUACACAGUAGAUCCAUUAAUAGUGCGCAACAGGCUGCACGUCGGCCCGUACGGUCGUACGUGUUUGCUGAAUGAUACAGUAGUAUAAUGUUCAGCGAGAGAGGCGAGGCGAUGCAGAUCAGGCGUCGCGCUUCUAUCCGUGCAAGCACUUAUCUGACGAAUUUACCAUGUAAUCUAGCCAGUACUCUUGAAUAAAUGAAUACUUGUAUUUGUACAACUCUGAUCCAUCUGCCAUCACUCAUCUUACAUGUGGCAGAGCAUAAAAAAGAAAUCUCCACCGCCGGCCCCUAAAACGUACACAAUAUCCGUUUGCGAGCCGGUCAUCCAACGCUAAUCCAACAAGCGUCCAGACACAUUUCAAAUAGACCUUAAACAAUCUAGAUAAAAUUCAUACAAACCGAACGAUUUUCAUUCAAACCGGGACAAGUUCAUUGCAUUUUAGAUAUAUUUCAACUAAACAAAAGUGGGCGACACUUUUUAACCCAGUCUAAAUAUUCGUCGGUCGUGGAGGCCUUCAUGUUCUGCAUCAUGUCUUUACCAUGUCUGGCAAGUUCAGUGGUCGCAAGCUUUUGUGAAGUGAAGUUGCCGGUGAGGAAGAAUCUGACUUGGGACAUGACUCACAUGGGACACAGGACUUGCCCACAUCCGUGUCCCACGUCCUACUCUUCCCGGCUAGAGUCUGUGAUGUGGACGUUGCCGGACAUGGAUGGAUCGGCCUCAUGGCCAAUGCGGUUGGGCACGAAAUGUGAUAGCGCCGCGAUCAAUGCGGAACUGGCGACGUCCGUGAUGUUUGUGCCCACUCUUCAUCCACCUUCACCUGCAAGACGCACUGCCGCCAUCGCUCGCGAGGGAUGUCGUGAACUGCGGCCAACGACCAUAAGGCUGGUCCAUCCGGCAUUUCCGACACGAAGGUUGUCUCAUCUCCAACGACAAGUAGAACUAGGAUAGUUUGAUCUAUGUUUGAUAUAGUACGUGGUUUAAUUUUACGUUCCAUGAUGUAGUAUCAAAAAAGUAGAGGGUGAGAUUUGGGGUUUGUGGUUGCAGCGAGAGAUAAAUGAAGGGUGACCGGGCUCGGUCUACGGAUGCGUCCGGAAACAUCUGCGAACAUGUGGGGUCACUUUUGAAAUAUGCAGCUGUAGAUGUUGUAACAUUACCAAGAUUUCAAGGAAUUGAAAAUCGGGAUGAUCGGUUUCCUACCUCUUCAUCUUUUUUUAUCGAUAAUUGUAGACGCACGGGGUUUUACGGCCCGUGACAGGCUCUUUNNNNNNNNNNNNNNNNNNNNNNNNNNNNNNNNNNNNNNNNNNNNNNNNNNNNNNNNNNNNNNNNNNNNNNNNNNNNNNNNNNNNNNNNNNNNNNNNNNNNNNNNNNNNNNNNNNNNNNNNNNNNNNNNNNNNNNNNNNNNNNNNNNNNNNNNNNNNNNNNNNNNNNNNNNNNNNNNNNNNNNNNNNNNNNNNNNNNNNNNNNNNNNNNNNNNNNNNNNNNNNNNNNNNNNNNNAGUGGGGGUGGGGCCCUGACCUUAAUCUCCAUCCAAACAGAAGAUCCCAACUAGGACACUCCGUGAAUCCCUGUAAAACAUAGCCCGUGUGUGUAGCAUUGCUCUUUUUUUAUAGGAAAGGCUGAAAUAAAUCCAGGAUCAAGUCUAGAAUUUGAAUCUUGGUGGGCUGGGAUACCACCGUCCUUCUAACCAUCGAACCACAGGUUCGUUCGCUUCUGCCUCUUCAUCUUAACGAUACACACAUUCAUACUUAUAUUUAUUUAUUAUAAACAAUUGUGAGUAGGAGUAAUAAAACUCAGUACAAAUCAAUGAGUGGAGGGAGAAAAAAAUGCCACAAUCGGUGUAGGCAAACAUGCCUACACAAAAAGCAUAAUAUUGGAUCAUCUAUCCUACGUGAAAUGUUAUGUUAUUUUUAAACAGAGGUAAAAGAUUUUCCUCAUCUAUUAAGUAACAAAAUAAUGACAGGAGGGACGUUUUGCCUUUUUUUUAUGUGUGAAGAUUGAUGUUGGUUAUGUGCAUCUUAACUAUGCAGAGGCCAGAUAUAUGUUUAUUUUGACUGUAUUCAGUUGAUGCUUCAUUUUAUUAAAUAAUAAAAUCCAUUCUUAAUGAAAAAAGCAUGGUGGCGGGGCUGACCCCGCCAAACAAAGGAUCAGGCGCUCGCGGAAUUGGAUCGCCGACGGGUUGGCGGUAAACUGGGAGCGCCCACACCACACACAUCGCCAACAACCUGAAGGGCACGCUGACAGAUACUGCUCUCACGCACAUGCUCCUACCUACGUGUUAUCCUACCUAGUACGUGUUAUCCUACGCAGGAACACGCUCCCCGCCAACCCGAUGGAUCGAUCCAUGCCUCGUCUUAUCCAGAAAACAGAGUCCGCCACCUGUGCUCUGCCGCACCUGCACCGCCCACCGGUACCAUUACCGAAACCACGGUCUUGCCUGCUUCCCACCGUAUCAGGUCGUCUUCCUGCCCGGCCGCACGCCGGUUGGGCGGUUUCCUGCAACCUAUAAAUUCCGCCGGAGCACCUCGCUCUGCCCAUCUCAUUCUCAUAUCACUUCACUGCUACUACUAAUUCACUUCCUUCGGAUCCCGCUCGUGCCACCAAGCUCUGCUCCCGCUAAGAUGUCGACGGUGACCCGUGCCAACCUCGACCAGAGGCUCGCCGCCGCCAACCGCUGCUCCAGAGGUAACCACCGACGACCGGUUCCGGCCACAGCCCAGCACUGCUCUGCUCCUAUAUCCCAACCAUCCAUUGCAGCUUAUGUGUCUGCUGAAACUUGAUCUUGAUUAACAUUCCUGCGUUGGUCUGAAACUGCAGAGGCUGCCAUGGCGGGAGCCAAGGCCGCGGCCGUCGCCACCGUCGCUGCCGCAGUACCCACAGUAAGUAGCCAGCUAGCCAUUCAGUUCCAGAGUUCAUAGAACACAUCUCAUGAAUCAACGCGUUACCUGUACUGUAAUUUCAGCUGGCGAGCGUGAGGAUGCUGCCGUGGGCGAGGGCGCACCUCAACCCCACCGGGCAGGCGCUCAUCAUCUCCACGGUCGCCGGGAUGGCCUACUUCAUCGUCGCCGACAAGACCAUCCUCUCCAUGGCCAGGAGGCACUCCUUCGACGACGCGCCAGAGCACCUCAAGAACACCUCCUUCCACUAAUUAGACUAUAAUAGUAGACACAUAUAAUGUUCUAUAAUGGUACUAUAAUGUUCAGCGAGAGGGGCGGUCAGGCGAGGUGAUGGUAUAAUUAUCUGAUGAUGUAUGUAUGUAAUAAUGUGGCCAUGUUCUUUCCAGGGAUCUUGUCAUCUUUCCAGGGAUCGUGAAUUAAUAACCACCAGUUUUUGUACAACUUUAGUUCAAGUGCACUCACUCAUCUCACUUAUUUCUUGUUUGUGAUUGCCAUUUGAUAUGCGUCAAGACCGAGUAACACUAGUACUAGUAGUAGACUACUACUUCAUUCAUUGGAUCCCCUACUACUCUCCUCUCUUCUAUCCCGAAAUGCACGUGGGGAUCAUGCCACCUGACCUCACACUAUAAAUCUUUUGAGGGAGAUGAUUGGUUUAUGCCGGCGGAUCUCAUGCGAGGCGUCCCUCACCUCUUUCUUGUGACACGUGUCUUGGGUCCAUCUAGUACUAUUUCUAGCGGUUCCGUGCGAUCAUGUGCGUGUGGCGGAGAAAGUUCUCUGCAAUAUCAUUUGUGUUGGGAUAUAACUAUUGGGUAUGACCAGAGGGGCCCGGUCAUACCGCUGGCGACUUAAUGAUAAAGAUGGCGGGUUAUGAAGCAAGCCCGUUGAAGGCCUAAGACCCAGAGGCGACUUGAGGCCCAAGAGGAUAAACCGCCAUAUGUGUAACUUGUAUUGUAAGGCAAGUUUAGUUAGUCACCGAGCCGGACACGUUGUGUAUGAGCCGGCCGGGACUCUGUAAGCCGCCGGGCAUCAACCUGUGCAUAUAAAGGGGUGACCCGGCGGCGGGUGAAGGCAAGAAACCAGAGAUCGAGAACUAGGUCAAGCGUAUUUGCUCCCUGGUAAUCGAAACCCAAGCAAUACAACCCCAAACUGGAGUAAGCCUUUACCUCGUUGCGAGGGGCCGAACCAGUAUAAACUCUCUGUGUCCUUUGUCCCGAUUAACCCCUUCAAGCUAAACUAACUGCGAUGGCUCCACACCUAAGUCCUUUCACUAGGGCAUCUGCCGUGUUAAGUCGACGACAAUUUGUGUUGCAAACUUUCUUCCGCAAUAACUCUCAUGUUGCAAAAAAAGUGAAAACAGAAAGAAAAAAAAUCUGCAACAUUACCGGCGGAAGUUGCCCAUGUCCGACCAUGCCGCCGCACGCCGACAAGUUUCUACAACAACAACAAAGUUACAAAACGGCGACCACAACGAGGGCGGUGCUGCUGCGACAACAUCUUUCAUUGCGAAAAAGUUCUGCAACAACAUCCAUGUUGCAGAAGUCCUUUUCGCAACAUUAUCUAUGUUGCAAAAAAGUGAAGAGAAAAAAACACACAACAUAAGCUCCGUUGCAAAUGGUUUUGAAACACUCCAUUUGUUGCAAUGAAUUGUGCCAGAUCUACGGUUGCGGAGGCGGAAAGAUCCGCCGACCGACGCGCAGCACGGUCCAUCUUUUGAUACGGUUUAUAGGAUGCCCUGGUAAAUAAGGAUAGAAAAUUUAGCAGUUCUGUAACAAGCUUUCCAUGGAUAGCCCCACCCUCCCACGCCGCCCCCCGCAAGGCGACGGGGAGGAACCUACUGCGCCGCCGCCAACUACCUUCUCCGCCCCUCCUCCCUCCCUCGCUGCCGCCAGAGGGCGCAGCCGGCCGAAGCCGCCGGCAAGGCCUCGUCGUUCCCCCUUCCAGCGGCCUUGGUGUCGGCCGACGCGGCUGGAUCGGGGUGCCUCGCUGUCCCAGGGCAAGGCUGUGUUGCGGCGCAGCUGCCUUGUGAUGGCGCUGCGCGCGGUGGUGGCGCGACGGGCUGGGCUUCGUAGGCCGUGCUGGUGCGUGGAGCGGCGGGGACGGCGAGCGGCUGGUGCGGGUGUUCAUGGCGGCGGGCGGAUCUAGCGUGGCGGCGGUCGCGGCGAGGCAAGGCGUCAGUGGCGGGGUCCGGUGUGGCCUGGGCUAGCUCCUGGCUUGGCGCAGUGGUCCCUGCCCUAGCUUCGGGCUGGUGGGGGUGGUGGCGCAGUGGUGGUGGCAGGCGGGGCAUGUUGGUCGAGUCCGCGUCGGGACCUUCCUGGUAUGGCGCUCUGACGUUGGCGGACGACGCGAGUAGGCAUCUCCGGUGAGCUUCCUUGGUUGCGGUUGCAGGUCAAUUUGGUCUCACUGUCGGCGAGCGCGCGGUUGCCGAUGGCCUCGCAAAGAUGUGUGUUGUUGGGGAACGUAGUAAUUUCAAAAAAUUUCCUACGCAAACGCAAGAUCAUGGUGAUGCAUAGCAACGAGAGGGGAGAGUGUCAUCCACUUACCCUCGUAGACCGUUAAGCGGAAGCGUUAUGACAACGUGGUUGAUGUAGUCGUACGUCUUUACGAUCGACCGAUCCUCAGUACCGAACGUACGGCACCUCCGCAUUCAGCACGCGUUCUGCUCGGUGACGUCAUGCGAACUCACGAUCCAGUAGAGCUCGAAGGAGAGUUUCGUCAGCACGACGGCGUGGUGACGAUGUUGAUGAAGCUACCGUCGCCUGGAUUAUGGUGGAUUAUGGUGGAGGGGGGCACCGCACACAGCUGGGAGAGAUCAAUGAUCAACUUGUGUGUUCUAGGGUGCCCCCUGCCCCCGUAUAUAAAGUAGAAAGGGGGGAGGCCGGCCGGCCCCUAUAGGGCGCGCCAGGAGGAGGAGUCCUCCUCCUAGUAGGAGUAGGACUCCCCUCUUUCCUACUCCUACUAGGAGGGGGAAAGGAAGGGGGAGAAGGAGAAGGAAAGGGGGGCGCGCCCCCCCUUCCUAGUCCAAUUCGGACUAGAGGGGGAGGGGGCGCCGCACACCGCUGGAAGAGAUCAAUGAUCAACUUGUGUGUUCUAGGGUGCCCCUGCCCCCGUAUAUAAAGGAGCAAGGGGGGAGGUCGGCCUUUGACUAUUGACAAGAUUAAUAGUACAUGACAUGCACAAUGCGAAAAUUGUAUCAUUGAAAGCUCCUUUCACACACGAAUUUAACGGUGUGCCUUGUGUAAGUUGCAUGUCAUAUAUUAUUGCUCUAAUAAUUGGUCAAAGUUAGCCUCGAAAAACGCAUUAGGCCCUAUAUAGAUGGAAGGAGGGAGUAUGUGCUUUGUGAAAGUCCAAUUAAGCGUCUUGAUCUAUCUCGAUAGAUCUUGAUGCCCAAUAUGUAAGCAGCUUCACCAAGGUCUUUCAUUGAAAAACUCUUAUUCAAAUAUCCUUUUAUGCUAUCCAGAAAUUCUAUAUCAUUUCCAGUUAGCAAUAUGUCAUCCACAUAUAAUAUUAGAAAUGCUACAGAGCUACCACUCACUUUCUUGUAAAUACAGGCUUCUACAAAAGUCUGUAUAAAACCAUAUGCUUUGAUCACACUAUCAAAACGUUUAUUCCAACUCCGAGAGGCUUGCACCAAUCCAUAAAUGGAUCGCUGGAGCUUGCACACUUUGUUAGCUCCCUUUGGAUCAACAAAACCUUCCGGUUGCAUCAUAUACAACUCUUCUUCUAGAAAUCCAGUCAGAAAUGCAGUUUUGACAUCCAUUUGCCAAAUUUCAUAAUCAUAAAAUGUGGCAAUUGCUAACAUAAUUCGGACAGACUUAAGCAUCGCUACGGGUGAGAAAGUCUCAUCGUAGUCAACUCCUUGAACUUGUCGAAAACCUUUAGCAACAAGUCGAGCUUUGUAGACAGUAAAAUUACCGUCAGCGUCAGUCUUCUUCUUGAAGAUCCAUUUAUUCUCUAUGGCUUGCCGAUCAUCGGGCAAGUCAACCAAAGUCCACACUUUGUUCUCAUACAUGGAUCCCAUCUCAGAUUUCAUGGCCUCAAGCCAUUUUGCGGAAUCUGGGCUCACCAUCGCUUCUUCAUAGUCCGUAGGUUUUGGUCAAGUAACAUGACCUCCAGAAUAGGAUUACCGUACCACUCUGGUGCGGAUCUUACUCUUGUUGACCUACGAGGUUCGGUAGUAACUUGAUCUGAAGUUUCAUGAUCAAUAUCAUUAGCUUCUUCACUGAUUGGUGUAGGUGUCACAAAAACCGGUUUCUGUGAUGAACUACUUUCCAAUAAGGGAGCAGGUACAGUUACCUCAUCAAGUUCUACUUUCCUCCCACUCACUUCUUUCGAGAGAAACUCCUUCUCUAGAAAGGAUCAAUUCUUAGCAACAAAUAUCUUGCCUUCGGAUCUGUGAUAGAAGGUGUACCCAACAGUUUCCUUUGGGUAUCCUAUGAAGACACAUUUCUCCGAUUUGGGUUCGAGCUUAUCAGGUUGAAGCUAUUUCACAUAAGCAUCGCAACCCCAAACUUUAAGAAACGACAACUUUGGUUUCUUGCCAAACCACAGAUCAUAAGGCAUCGUCUCAACGGAUUUUGAUGGUGCCCUAUUUAACGUGAAUGCAGUCGUCUCUAAAGCAUAACCCCAAAACGAUAGCGGAAAAUCAGUAAGAGACAUCACAGAUCGCACCAUAUCCAGUAAAGUACGAUUACGACGUUCGGACACACCAUUUCGCUGUGGUAUUCCGGGUGGCGUGAGUUGCGAAACUAUUCCGCAUUGUUUCAAAUGUAGACCAAACUCGUAACUCAAAUAUUCUCCUCCACGGUCAGAUCGUAGAAACUUUAUUUUCUUGUUACGAUGAUUUUCCACUUCACUCUGAAAUUCUUUGAACUUUUCAAAUGUUUCAGACUUAUGUUUCGUUAAGUAGAUAUACCCAUAUCUGCUCAAAGCAUAUGUGAAGGUGAGAAAAUAACGAUACCCGCCGCGAGCCUCAAUAUUCAUUGGACCACAUACAUCAGUAUGUAUGAUCUCCAACAAAUCAGUUGCUCGCUCCAUUGUUCCGGAGAACGGCGUUUUAGUCAUCUUGCCCAUGAGGCAUGGUUCGCAAGUACCAAGUGAUUCAUAAUCAAGUGAUUCCAAAAGUCCACUAGGAUGGAGUUUCUUCAUGCUCUUUACACCAAUAUGACCUAAACGGCAGUGCCACAAAUAAGUUGCACUAUCAUUAUCAACUCUGCAUCUUUUGGCUUCAAUAUUAUGAAUAUGUGUAUCACUACUAUCGAGAUUUAAUAAAAAUAGACCACUCUUCAAGGGUGCAUGACCAUAAAAGAUAUUACUCAUAUAAAUAGAACAACCAUUAUUCUCUGAUUUAAAUGAAUAACCGUCUCGCAUCAAACAAGAUCCUGAUAUAAUGUUCAUGCUUAACGCUGGCACCAAAUAACAAUUAUUCAGGUCUAAAACUAAUCCCGAAGGUAGAUGUAGAGGUAAUGUGCCGACCGCGAUCACAUCGACUUUGGAACCAUUUCCCACGCGCAUCGUCACCUCGUCCUUAGCCAAUCUUCGCUUAAUCCGUAGUCCCUAUUUCGAGUUGCAAAUAUUAGCAACAUAACCAGUAUCAAAUACCUAGGUGCUACUGCAAGCAUUAGUAAGGUACACAUCAAUAACAUGUAUAUCACAUAUACCUUUGUUCACCUUGCCAUCCUUCUUAUCCGCCAAAUACUUGGGGCAGUUCCGCUCCCAGUGACCAGUCUGUUUGCAGUAGAAGCACUCAGUCUCAGGCUUAGGUCCAGACUUGGGUUUCUUCUCCCGAGCAGCAACUUGUUUUCUGUUCUUCUUGAAGUUGCCCUUCUUCUUCCCUUUACCAUUUUUCUUGAAACUGGUGGUCUUGUUGACCAUCAACACUUGAUGCUCCUUCUUGAUUUCUACCUCCGCAGCCUUUAGCAUUGCGAAGAGCUCGGGAAUUGUCUUAUCCAUCCCUUGCAAAUUAUAGUUCAUCACAAAGCUCUUGUAGCUUGGUGGCAGUGAUUGAAGAAUUCUGUCAAUGACACUAUCAUACAGAAGAUUAACUCCCAGUUGAAUCAAGUGAUUGCAGUACCCAGACAUUCUGAGUAUAUGCUCACUGACAGAACUAUUCUCCUCCAUCUUGCAGCUGUAGAACUUAUUGAGACUUCAUAUCUCUCAAUCCGGGCAUUUGCUUGAAAUAUUAACUUCAACUCCUGGAACAUCUAAUAUGCUCCAUGACGUUCAAAACGUCGUUGAAGUCCCGGUUCUAAGCCGUAAAGCAUGGCACACUAAACUAUCGAGUAGUCAUCAACACGCGACUGCCAGGCAUUCACAAUGUCUGCAGCUGCCGGCGUAGGUGGUACACCUAGCGGUGCUUCCAGGACGUAAUUCUUCUGUGCAGCAAUGAGGAUAAUCCUCAAGUUACGGACCCAGUCCGUGUAAUUUCUACCAUCAUCUUUCAACUUUGCUUUCUCAAGGAACGCAUUAAAAUUCAACGGAACAACAACACGGGCCAUCUAUCUACAACAACAUAGACAAGCAAAAUACUAUCAGGUACUAAGUUCAUGGUAAAUUAAAGUUCAAUUAAUCAUAUUACUUAAGAACUCCCACUUAGAUAGACAUCCCUCGAAUCAUCUAAGUGAUCACGUGAUCCAUCUCAACUAAACCAUGUCCGAUCAUCACGUGAGAUGGAGUAGUUUUCAAUGGUGAACAUCACUAUGUUGAUCAUAUCUACUAUAUGAUUCACGCUCGACCUUUCGGUCUCAGUGUUCCGAGGACAUAUCUACAUAUGCUACGCUCGUCAAGUUUAACCCGGGUAUUCUGUGUGUGCAAAACUGGCUUACACCCGUUGUAUUUGAACGUAGAGCUUAUCACACCCGAUCAUCACGUGGUGUCUCGGUACGCGAACUUUCGCAACGGUGCAUACUCAGGGAGAACACUUAUACCUUGAAAUUUAGUGAGAGAUCAUCUUAUAAUGCUACCAUCAACCAAAGCAGAAUAAGAUGCAUAAAGGAUAAACAUCAUAUGCAAUCAAUAUAAGUGAUAUGAUAUGGCCAUCAUCAUCUUGUGCCUUUGAUCUCCAUCUCCAAAGCACCCGUCAUGACCACCAUCGUCACCGGCGCGACACCUUGAUCUUCAUCGUAGCAUCGUUGUCGUCUCGCCAACUAUUGCUUCUACGACUAUCGCUACCGCUUAGUGAUAAAGUAAAGCAAUUACAGGGCGAUUGCAUUGCAUACAAUAAAGCGACAACCAUAUGGCUCCUGCUAGUUGCCGAUAACUCCGUUACAAAACGUGAUCAUCUCAUACAAUAAAAUAUAGCAUCAUGUCUUGACCAUAUCACAUCACAACAUGCCCUGCAAAAACAAGUUAGACGUCCUCUACUUUGUUGUUGUAAGUUUUACGUGGCUGCUACGGGCUGAGCAAGAACCGUUCUUACCUACGCAUCAAAGCCACAACGAUAGUUCGUCAAGUUAGUGCUGUUUUAACCUUCUCAAGGACCGGGCGUAGCCACACUUGGUUCAACUAAAGUUGGAGAAACUGACACCCGCCAGCCACCUGUGUGCAAAGCACGUCGGUAGAACCAGUCUCGCGUAAGCGUACGCAUAAUGUCGGUCCGGGCCGCUUCAUCCAACAAUACCGCCGAACCAAAGUAUGACAUGCUGGUAAGCAGUAUGACUUAUAUCGCCCACAACUCACUUGUGUUCUACUCGUGCAUAUAACAUCUACGCAUAAACCAGGCUCUGAUGCCACUGUUGGGGAACAUAGUAAUUUCAAAAAAAUUCAUACGCACACGCAAGAUCAUGGUGAUGCAUAGCAACGAGAGGGGAGAGUGUCGUCCACGUACCCUCGUAGACCGUUAAGCGGAAGCGUUAUGACAACGCGGUUGAUGUAGUCGUAAGUCUUUACGAUCGACCGAUCCUCAGUACCGAACGUACGACACCUUCGCGUUCAUCACACGUUCAGCUCGGUGACGUCCCGUGAACUCACGAUCCAGUAGAGCUCGAGGGAGAGUUUCGUCAGCACGACGGCGUGGUGACGAUGGUGAUGAAGCUACCGUCGCAGGGCUUCGCCUAAGCACUGCUACGAUAUGACCGAGGUGGAUUAUGGUGGAGGGGGGCACCGCACACGGCUGGGAGAGAUCUAUGAUCAACUUGUGUGUUCUAGGGUGCCUCGUGCCCCCGUAUAUAAAGGAGUAAGGGGCAGGCCAGCCGGCCCCUGUAGGGCACGCCAGGAGGAGGAGUCCUCCUCCUAGUAGGAGUAGGACUCCCCUCUUUCCUACUCCUACUAGGAGGGGGAAAGGAAGGGGGAGAAGGAGAAGGAAAGGGGGCGCCGCCCCCCUUCCUAGUCCAACCCAGAGGGGGAGGGGGCGCGCGGCCUGCCCUGGCCAGCCCCUCUCUCUCCACUAGUGCCCAACUAGGCCCAUUAACCCCCGGGGGGUUCCGGUAACCCCUCCGGCACUCCGGUAAAAUUCCGAUUUCACACGGAACUCUUCUGAUGUCCAAAUAUAGGCUUCCAAUAUAUCAAUAUUUAUGUCUCGACCAUUUCGAGACUCCCCGUCAUGUCCGUGAUCAUACCCGGGACUCCGAACUAUCUUCGGUACAUCAAAACAUAUAAACUCAUAAUACCGAUCGUCACAGAACUUUAAGCGUGCGUACCCUACAGGUUCGAGAACUAUGUAGACAUGACCGAGACACGUCUUCGGUCAAUAACCAAUAGCGGAACCUGGAUGCUCAUAUUGGUUCCUACAUAUUCUACGAAGAUCUUUAUCGGUCAAACCGCAUAACAACAUACGUUGUUCCCUUUGUCAUCGGUAUGUUACUUGCCCGAGAUUCGAUCGUCGGUAUCUCAAUACCUAGCUCAAUCUCGUUACCGGCAAGUCUCUUUACUCGUUCCGUAAUGCAUCAUCCCGUAACUAACUCAUUAGUCACAUUGCUUGCAAGGCUUAUAGUGAUGUGCAUUACCGAGAGGGCCCGGAGAUACCUCUCCGACAACCGGAGUGACAAAUUCUAAUCUCGAUCUAUGCCAACUCAACAAGUACCAUCGGAGACACCUGUAGAGCACCUUUAUAAUCACCCAUUUACGUUGUGACGUUUGGUAGCACACAAAGUGUUCCUCUGGUAAUCGGGAGUUGCAUAAUCUCAUAGUCAUAGGAACAUGUAUAAGUCAUGAAGAAAGCAAUAGCAGUAAACUAAACGAUCAAGUGCUAAGCUAACGGAAUGGGUCAAGUCAAUCACAUCAUUAUCCUAAUGAUGUGAUCCCGUUAAUCAAAUGACAACUCAUGUCGAUGGCUAGGAAACUCAACAAUCUUUGAUCAACGAGCUAGUCAAGUAGAGGCAUACUAGUGACACUAUGUUUGUCUAUGUAUUCACACAUGUAUUAUGUUUCCGGUUAAUACAAUUCUAGCAUGAAUAAUAAAGAUUUAUCAUGAUAUGAGGAAAUAAAUAAUAACUUUAUUAUUGCCUCUAGGGCUCCUCCUUCCCCCCUUUCGUCGUGUUUGGCAGGGAGCUCAGUUGGAGGGAUGGGUGGCCUCGAUGCGGUCACGUAACCUGUCACCAGCACGGCGUGCCGGUCCGGAUUCGUCCGCUCCGCUUUCUCCCCCUUUCCUCGGCCUGGGGCGGGUUGGCACAGGUUUACCAACGGAGCAUCUGCGGGUGGUUCUGUCAGUCGAGGGACGUCGGUUGGUCCAAAGCUAGGGCCUUUGUGUACGUCUCGGGGUUGUUUGGUUGCAGGGCGGCGGGAAGCAUGACGUUCGUGGGCGAAGCGUGCGUCUUAUGUGCGGGUGGGAAACUAUGGCCGUGUGGGUGGCGUGGUUGCGGGUGGUUGACGGAGAUAAGGUGCACUGGUGGGGUGUGAGCACCGGGGUACACCACUUGUUCAGUCCUUUGACUACCCGACGGUGGUGGUGGCCGUUGCCGUCAUACCGUCCUGAAGGCUCCGUGGCGGCGUUCCCACUCUGGUCAUCUUGCUCCGGGUGAAACCCGAUCUUCGCUAAUCGGGCGGUGGCGGCUAUCCAUGGUCGUAUCCUUCUUGGAGGCACCGCUUUGGAGGCCUGGCUUCAUUGUGGUCCGGUUCACCUCUUUAUUGUCUGUCGGUGGGGUGGUGUAUUGGUGCCUGGCACCUUUGUAUCUUGCUCUGGGUGUGUGCGAUAUGUGCGUUGUUCGGUAUCUCGAAUGUAUUUGGUGAUGGUUGCUUUAUAUAAUAUAAAGUGGGGAAACCCUUUUUCGGUAAACAAGCUUUCCAUACUAGUGGAGCUCCCCUGGUUAGGUUGGAGGUGUUUCUUGAGACCAGAGACACCUUGACACUUUUCUUGGUCGCGAGUUAUAGAAGUGCAUGAUCUACCUAAUAUGUCCAUUUUGCAUCAUGCUUUUAUAUUGAUAUUUAUUGCAUUAUGGGUUGUUAUUACCUAUUUUGGUACAAUACUUAUGCCUUUUUCUCUCUUAUUUUACAAGGUUUACAUGAAGAGGGAGAAUGCCGGCAGCUGGAAUUCUAGGCUGGAAAAGGAGCAAAUAUUAGAGACCUAUUCUGCACAACUCCAAAAGUCCUGGAAAUUUACGCAGAGUCAUUUUGGAAUUAAUAAAAAAUAUUGGGCGAAGUAAGCACCAGAGGGGGGCCACCAGCCAUCCACAAGGGUGGGGGCGCGCCCUAUCCCCCUGGGCGCGCCCCCCUUCCUUCAAACAAACCUUCUGACCAGGAAAAGGCAUACCAAAGAUUUUCGGAAAGACACGUUGAAAUGGAAGCUCUCGAACCUAUUCCGAAGUAAGUGUGGGCCCCCUGGCAGGCCUCCGGUGUCCAUCUUAUGCUAUAUGGUGUGUUUUGACCUAGAAAAAACCAGAAGGAACUUUCGGGACGAAGCGCCGGCGUCUCGAGAUGAAACUUGGGCAAAAUCAAUCUAGGGCUUCGGCGGAGCAAUUCUGCCGGGGAAACUUCCCUCCGGGAGUGGGAAAUCGAAGCCAUCGUCAUCACAAAUGAUCCUCUCAUCGAGAGGGGGUUAAUCUCCAUCCAGAUCUUCACCAGCACCAUCUCCUCUAAAACUCUAGUUCAUCUCUUGUAUCCGAUCUUUGUCUCAAAACCUCAGAUUGGUACCUGUGGGUUGGUAGUAGUGUUGAUUACUCCUUGUAGUUGAUGCUAAUUGGUUUAUUUGGUGGAAGUUCAUUUGUUCAGAUCCUUAAUGAUAAUUUAUACUCCUCUGAUUUUGAACAUGAAUAUGUUGUGUGAGUAGUUUCGUUUGUUCCUGAGGACAUGGGAGAAGUCUUGUUAUGAGUAAUCAUGUGAAUUUGGUAUUCGUUCGAUAUUUUGAUGAGAUGUAUGUUGUCUUUCCUCUAGUGGUGUUAUGUGAGCGUCGACUACAUGACACUUCACCAUGAUUUGGGCCUAGGGGAAGGCAUUGGGAAGUAAUAAGAAGAUGAUGGGUUGCUAGAGUGACAGAAGCUUAAACCCUAAUUUAUGUGUUGCUUCGUAAGGGGCUGAUUUGGAUCCAUAUGUUUCAUGGUAUAGUUAGAGUUAUCCAUUCUUCGUUCGUAGUUGCGGAUGCUUGCGAGAGGUGUUAAUCAUAAGUGGGAGGCUUGUCCAAGGAAGGCCAGCACCCGACCACCGAUCCACCCACAUAUCAAAUUAUCAAAGUAACGAACGCGAAUCAUAUGAGCAUGCUGAAAACUAGCUUGACAAUAAUUCUCAUGUGUCCUCGGGAGCGCUUUGCUUUAUAUAAGAGUUCGUCCAGGCUUUUCCUUUGCUACAAAAAGGAUUGGGCCACCUUUUUGCACCUUAGUUACUUUUGUUACUUGUUACCCGUUACGAAUUAUCCUAUCACAAAAUUAUCUGUUACAGAUAAUUUCAGUGCUUGCAGAGAAUACCUUGCUGAAAACCGCUUGUCAUUUCCUUCUGCUCCUCGUUGGGUUCGACACUCCUACUUAUCGAAAGGACUACAAUAGAUCCCCUGUACUUUCGGGUCAUCAAGACUCUUUUCUGGCGCCGUUGCCGGGGAGUGAAGCGCCUUUGCCGAGUGGAAUUUGGUAAGGAAACAUUUAUAUUACAUGCUGAAAUUUACUGUCACUUGUCACUAUGAAAAAUAAUCCUUUGAGGGAUUUGUAUGGGGUAUCUUCACCCCGACCGUAUGAGAAAAGAGUUGCCCCUCAACCUACUGAACCUACUGAAAAUGUUUAUUAUGAAAUUCCUUCGGAUAUGAUAGAGAAACUACUAGCUAAUCCUUUGGAGAUGGAACACUACAUCCUGAUAUGCAUCUAAUCUAUAUGGAUGAAGUUUGUGGAUCAUUUAAGCUUGCAGGUUUGCCCGAGGAUGAUGUGAAGAAGAAGGUCUUCCCUUUAUUUUUGAAGGGAAAAGCAUUGACAUGGUAUAGGCUAUGUGAUGAUAUUGGAUCAUGGAACUACAACCGAUUGAAAUUGGAAUUUCAUCAGAAGUUUUAUCCUAUGCAUCUGGUUCACCGUGACCGAAACUAUAUAUAUAUAUAUAUAUAUAUAUAUAUAUAUAUAUAUAUAUAUAUAUAUAUAUAUAAUUUUUGGCCUCGUGAAGGAGAGUGUAUCGCUCAAGCUUGGGGGAGGCUUAAGUCAAUGUUAUAUUCAUGCCCCAAUCAUGAGCUGUCAAUAGAGUUUAUUAUUCGGAAUUUUUAUGCUUGGCUCUCUUGUAAUGAUCAAUCCAUGCUCAAUACUUCUUGUACUGGUUCUUUUAUGAAGAAGACUAUUGAAUUCAAAUGGGAUUUAUUGGAAAGAAUUAAAUGCAACUCUGAAGAUUGGGAACUCGACGAAGGUAAUGAGUCAGGUAUAAACCUUAAGGUUGAUUGUGUUAAAUCUUUUAUGGAUACCGAUGCUUUUCGUGAAUUUAGCACUAAGUAUGGACUUGACUCUGAGAUAGUAGUUUCUUUCUGUGAAUCAUUUGGUACUCAUGUUGAUCUCCCUAAAGAGAAGUGGUUUAAAUAUCAUCCUCCCACUUAAGUAAAAGUAGUAGAACCUAUUAAAGUUGAAGAAGAAACUAUUAGUUAUAAUGUUGAUCAUGUUGUUCCUACUGCUUAUAUUGAGAAGCCACCUUUCCCUGUUAGAAUAAAGGAACAUGCUAAAGCUUCAACUAUGGUUCGUAAGAGUUAUACUAGAACACAUACACCCCCUGAACAAAUUAAAGUUGAACCUAGUAUUACUAUGGUUAAGGAUCUCUUGGUUGAUAAUAUUGAUGGGCAUGUUAUUUAUUUCUUCGAUGAAGCUGCUAGGAUUGCUAAACCCAAUACUAAAGAUAAACAUAGAACCGUUGUUGGCAUGUCUGUUGUUUCUGUUAAAAUAGGAGAUCAUUGUUAUCAUGGCUUAUGUGAUGUGGGUGCUAGUGUGAGUGCAAUUCCUUUUACCUUAUCAAGAAAUUAUGAAUGAUAUUGCAUUUGCUAAGAUAGAUGAUAUUGAUGUUACUAUUAAGCUUGCCAAUAGAGAUACUAUAUCACCAGUUGGGAGUGUUAGAGAUGUUGAAGUCUUGUGUGGGAAAAUAUAAUACCCUACUGAUUUUCUUAUUCUUGGUUCCCCACAAGAUGAUUUUUGUCCCAUUAUAUUUGGUAGACCUUUCUUGAAUACUGUUAAUGCUAAGAUAGAUUGUGAGAAAUAAAUUGUUACUGUAAGUUUUGGGGAUAUGUCUCAUGAAUUUAAUUUCUCCAAAUUUCGUAAACAACCCCAUGAUAAAGAAUUGCCUAGUAAGGAUGAAAUAAUUGGUCUUGCUUCUAUUGUCGUGCCUCCUAUUGACCCUUUAGAACAAUAUUUGCUAGAUCAUGAGAAUGAUAUGUUUAUGAAUGAAAGAAAGGAAUUAGAUGAAAUAUUCUUUAAUCAAGGGCCUAUUUUGAAACAUAAUUUGCCUGUUGAAAUCCUUGGAGAUCCUCCUCCACCCAAGGGUGAUCCCGUGUCUGAGCACAAACAAUUAACUGAUACUUUGAAAUAUGCUUAUCUUGAUGAAAAGAAGAUAUAUCAUGUUAUUAUUAGUGCUAACCUUUCAAAGCAUGAAGAAAAAAGAUUAUUGAAAACUCUAAAGAAGCUCUGUGCUGCUAUUGGAUAUACUCUUGAUGAUCUUAAGGGCAUUAGUCCCACUCUAUGUCAGCACAAAAUUAAUAUGGAGCCUGAUGCUAAACCAGUUGUUGGUCAUCAACGACGGUUAAAUCCCAAGAUGAAAGAAGUGGUAAGAAAUGAAAUACUAAAGCUUCUGGGGGCAGGUAUAAUUUAUCCUAUUGCUGAUAGUAGAUGGGUAAGUCCUGUUCAUUGUGUCCCUAAGAAGGGAGGUAUUACUGUCGUUCCUAAUGAUAAGAAUGAAUUGAUUCCACAAAGAAUUGUUACCGGUUAUAGAAUGGUAAUUGAUUUCCGCAAAUUGAACAAAGCUACUAGAAAAUAUCAAUGCCCUCUACCUUUUAUUGAUCAAAUGCUUGAAAGACUAUCCAAACAUACACAUUUUCUUGCUUUCUAGAUGGUUAUUCUGGUUUCUCUCAAAUACCUAUGUCAAAAGAGGACCAAGAAAAGACCACUUUUACUUGCCCUUUCGGUACUUUUGCUUGUAGAUGUAUGCCUUUCGGUUUAUGCAAUGCACCUGCUACGUUUCAAAGAUGUAUGACUGCUAUAUUCUCCAACUUUUGUGAAAAGAUUGUUGAGGUUUUCAUGGAUGAUUUCUCUGUUUACGGAACUUCUUUUGAUGAUUUCUUAAGCAACCUUGAUAGAGUUUUGCAGAGAUGUGAAGAAACUAAUCUUGUCUUGAAUUGGCAGAAGUGCCACUUUAUGGUUAAUAAAGGUAUUGUCUUGGGGCAUAAAAUUUCUGAAAGAGGUAUUGAAGUUGAUAAAUCUAAAGUAGAUGCUAUUGAGAAGAUGCCGUGUCCUAAAGAUAUCAAAGGUAUAAGAAGUUUUCUUGGUCAUGCUGGUUUCUAUAGGAGAUUUAUUAAAAUCUUCUCUAAAAUUUCUAGGCCUCUCACUAAUCUCUUGCAAAAAGAUGUUCCUUUUGUUUUUGAUGAUGAUUGUGUAGAAGGAUUUGAAAUACUUAAGAAAGCCUUGAUUACUGCACCUAUUAUUCAACCACCUGAUUGGAAUUUACCCUUUGAAAUCAUGUGUGAUGCUAGUGAUUAUGUUGUUGGUGAUGUUCUAGGACAAAGAUUUGAUAAGAAAUUGAAUGUUAUUCAUUAUGCUAGUAAAACUCUAGACAGUGCCCAGAGAAAUUAUACUACUACUGAAAAGGAAUUUUUAGCAGUUGUAUUUGCUUGUGAUAAGUUCAGAUCUUAUAUUGUUGAUUCCUAAGUAACUAUUCACACUGAUCAUGCUGCUAUUAACUAUCGUAUGGAAAACAAAGAUGCUAAACCUGGACUUAUUAGAUGGGUUCUCCUAUUGAAAGAAUUUGAUUUGCAUAUUAUUGAUAGAAAGGGAGCUGAGAACCCCGUUGCAGACAACUUGUCUAGGUUAGAAAAUGUUCUUGAUGACCCACUGCCUAUUGAUGAUAGCUUUCCUGAUGAGCAAUUAGCUGUCAUAAAUGCUUCUCGUAAUACUCCAUGGUAUGCUGAUUAUGCUAAUUACAUUGUUGCUAAAUUUAUACCACCUAAUUUCACAUACCAGUAAAAGAAAAAGUUUUUCUAUGAUUUAAGACAUCACUCUUGGAAUGACCCACACCUUUAUAAAGAAGGAGUAGAUGGUGUUAUUAGAAGUUGUGUAGCUGAGCAUGAACAGGAACAGAUCCUAUGGAAGUGUCACUCCGAGGCUUAUGGAGGACACCAUGCUGGAGAUAGAACUGCACACAAGGUAUUAUAAUAUGGUUUUUGUUGGCCUACUCUCUUCAAGGAUGCUCGUAAGUUUGUCAUGUCUUGUGAUGAAUGUCAAAGAAUUGAUAAUAUUAGUAGACAUCAGGAAAUUCCUAUGAAUUAUUCACUUGUUAUUGAACCAUUUGAUGUUUGGGGCUUUGAUUAUAUGGGACCUUUUCCUUCCUCUAAUGGGUAUACACAUAUUUUAGUUGUUGUUGAUUACGUUACUAAGUGGGUAGAAGCUAUUCCAACUAGUAGUGAUGAUCAUAACACUUCUAUUAAGAUGCUUAAAGAAGUUAUUUAUCCGAGGUUUGGAGUCCCUAGAUAUUUAAUGACUGAUGGUGGUUCACAUUUUAUUCAUGGUGCUUUCGUAAAAUGCUUGCUAAAUAUGAUGUUAACCAUAGAAUUGCAUCUCCAUAUCAUCCUCGGUCUAGUGGUCAAGUAGAAUUGGGCAAUAAAGAGAUUAAAUUGAUUUUGCAAAAGACUGCUAAUAGAUCUAGAAAGAAUUGGUCUAAGAAACUUAAUGAUGCCUUAUGGCCUUAUAUAACUGCGUAUAAAAACCCUAUGGGUAUGUCUCCAUAUAAAAUGGUUUAUGGAAAAGCAUGUCACUUACCUCUUGAACUAGAACAUAAAGCUUAUUGGGCAAUCAAAGAGCUCAACUAUGAUUUCAAACUUGCUAGUGAAAAGAGGUUAUUUGACAUAAGCUUGCUCGAUGAAUGGAGGACCCAAGCCUAUGAGAAUGCCAAGUUGUUUAAAGAAAAAGUUAAAAGAUGGCAUGACAAAAUGAUACAAAAGCGUGAGUUUAAUGUAGGUGAUCAUGUUUUGCUAUUCAACUCUCGUUUAAGAUUUUUUGCAGGAAAGCUUCUCUCUAAAUGGGAAGGUCCUUACAUUAUCGAGGAGGUUUAUCAUUCCGGUGCCAUCAAAACCAACAACGCCGAAGGCACAAAUCCGAAGGUGGUAAAUGGUCAAAGAAUCAAACAUUAUAUUUCAGGUACUCCCAUAAAUGUUGAGACAAAUAUUAUUAAUACCAUAACACCGUAGGAGUACAUAAGGGAUACUUUCCAGAAAUUUCAGACUACGAAAAGGAAUAGGUAUGUGGUACGGUAAUUAAACCGACUCCAAAACUGUUGUAAGGGAAAUUUUUCUCCAUUUUAAAAUAUUUAAAAAAUUAGGAAAAUUGAAAGUAGUCCGAAAGGUGCACGAGGAGACCACAAGGGUGGAGGGCGUGCCCUACCCCCUAGGCGCCCCCCUGCCUUGUGGCCACCUUGUGUGCCUUCCGGACUUCGUUUUCUUGUGGAACACUUCUUUUGGUCGGUAAAAAAUCAUUAUAUAUCUCCCGAAGGUUUUGACCACCGUAGCACGACAAAAUACUCUGUUCUUGUUUCGAGUUGUUUUUCUGACAGAUCUAGAUCACCAUGACGUCUCCAAGCGCCCCCAAGGACAAGUUUUUUGAGAAGGUCAUCAACCCUUACCUCGCGGAGGUGCUGCGACACCCUCAAACCAUUGAGAUGCAUGAGGGGGUUCUUCACAUCCGUGAUGUUGAAGGGACGAAGACCGGAUGCGUGGAGAUAAGACUCGAAGCAAUGGAGCAGCAUGUUUUCAAGUGCCAAGGGAUGGUGGAACAUGGACUCAACGCCAACCACUUGAUGAUCGCGGAAUUUACCAACAACCACAAGUUGGAUGCCAAGAACAUUGGGGAGGCCAUCUUCAAGCUUCAUGAGAAAAUCGAGCAUCUUCAAGCCCGGAUCUAUGACCUGCAAAACCAAAACUGUGAGUAUGAAUACAGAUUUAAGAGGACGAAUUUGGCUGCAGAUUUGAGGAUCCCAGAGACUCGUUCAUCUUUUACGAUGGUGAACCUAUGCCUUGGAAGAUGGAGGAUAAUAUUCUUACUACAUCAACAACUCCAUCAUCACCACCGCUGAAGAAAGAGACAUAAAUACACGGGUAUGGGCACUCCCCUUGGCAACUGCCAAGCUUGGGGGAGGUGCCCCGGUAUCGUAUCGUAUCACCAUCACACCUUUACUUUUAUCGUUUUUCUUAGUUCAAUCCUUUUGGUUAUAUCUUGAUCUAGUAGAAUAAAAUUUUAGUAUGAUCUAGCUUUGAGUUUUGCUUUGAGAUCUACCUAUGUAAUCGAGUCCGUGAGCUAUAUAAUAAAGAUUAGUUUUGAGUUGAGGGCUUUACUUUCUUGCUAUGAUCUUGAGGGAAUAAAAUAAGAGAAAGAAUAAAAAUAAAUAAACAGAUCAUAUAAUUAUCUUAUGGAGAGUAAUGACUUCACAUAUAAAGAGUAUGAUGAAUAAAAUUUGUUAAGAGUUGACAAACAUAGUUUUGGUCAUUGUUGCAGCUAAAAGGAAGUAAUAAAGAAAGAGAGGUUUCACAUAUAAAUAUACUAUCUUGGACUUAUUUUGUAAUUGUGAGCACUCAUUAAAAUAUGACAUGCCAAAAAGUUGAUGUUGGACAAGGAAGACAACAUAAUGGGUUAUGUUUUCUGAUAUCGGAAUAGAAGUUAUAUUGUCGUGGAUCCUCCAACAUGUUGGGCUUGCUUUUCCCUCUUAUGCUAGCCAAAUCCUUUGCACCAAGUAGAGAUACUACUUGUGCAUCCAAAUAUCCCUUAACCCAAUUUUGCCAUGCGAUUUCACCAUACCUAGCUAUGGAUUGAGUAAGAUCCUUCAAGUAAGUUGUCAACGGUGCAGGCAAUAAAAUUGCUCUCUAAAUAUGUAUGCUCUAUUAGUGUGAAGAAAAUAAGCUUUAUACGAACUUGUGAUAUGGAAGAAAUAAAAGCGACGGACUGCAUAAUAAACUUCUUUAUCACAAGCGGCAAUAUAAAGUGACGUUCUUUCGCAUUAAGAUUUUGUGCAUCCAACCAUAAAAGCGCAUGACAACCUCUGCUUCCCUCUGCGAAGGGCCUAUCUUUUACUUUUAUCUUCUACCCUUAUACAAGAGUCAUGGUGAUCUUCACCUUUCCUUUUUACACUUUUUCCUUUGGCAAGCACUAUGUGUUGGAGAAAGAUCCAGAAAUAUAUAUAUCCACUCGGAUGUAGGUUAUCAUAAAGUAUUAUUGUUGACAUUACCCUUGAGGUAAAAUGUUGGGAGGCAAAACUAUAAGCCCCUAUCUUUCUCUGUGUAUGACUGAGGCUUUGAACCCAUAAGUAUUGCGUGAGUGUUAGCAAUGUUGAAAGACUAAAUGAUAGUUGAGUAUGUGGACUUGCUGAAAAGCUCGUAAAUUGACUCUUUCCGAUGUUAUGAUAAAUUGCAAUUGCUUCAAUGACUGAGAUCAUAGUUUGUUAGUUUUCAAUGAAGUUUUGAUUCAUACUUUACCUUGUGAACGAAUUGUUACUUUAGCAUAAGAAAUUAUAUGACAAUAUAUGUUGUUGUUCUAAAGAUGAUCAUCAUGCCCUCAUGUCCGUAUUUUAUUUUAUCGACACCUCUAUCACUAAACAUGUGGACAUAUUUUUCGAUUUCGGCUUUCGCUUGAGGACAAGUGAGGUCUAAGCUUGGGGGAGUUGAUAUGUCCAUUUUGCAUCAUGCUUUUAUAUUGAUAUUUAUUGCAUUAUGGGCUGUUAUUACCUAUUUUGGUACAAUACUUAUGCCUUUUCUCUCUUAUUUUACAAGGUUUACACGAAGAGGGAGAAUGUCGGCAGCUGGAAAAGGAGCAAAUAUUAUGGACAUAUUCUGCAUAACUCCAAAAGUCCUGAAAAAAAUUUGGAGAGUCAUUUUGGAAUUAAUAAAAUAUAUUGGGCGAAGAAAGCACCAGAGGGGGCCCACCAGCCAUCCUCAAGGGUGGGGGCGCACCCUACCCCCCUGGGCGCGCCCCCUGCCUUGUGGGCUCCCUGGCAGCCGUCCGGUGCCCAUCUACUGCUCUAUGGUGUGUUUUGACCUGGAAAAUAUCAGAAGGAAGCUUUCGGGAGAAGCGUCGCCGUCUCGAGGUGGAACUUGGGAAAAAUCAAUCUAGGGCUCCGGCGGAGCUGUUCUGCCAGGGAAACUUCCCUCCGGGAGUGGGAAACCGAAGCCAUCGUCAUCACCAACGAUCCUCUCAUCGAGAGGGGGUCAAUUUCCAUCAACAUCUUCACCAGCACCAUCUCCUCUCAAACCCUAGUUCAUCUCUUGUAUCCGAUCUUUAUCUCAAAACCUCAAAUUGUUACCUGUGGGUUGCUAGUAGUGUUGAUUACUCCUUGUAGUUGAUGCUAGUUGGUUUAUUUGGUGGAAGAUCAUUUGUUCAGAUCCUGAAUGAUAAUUAAUACUCCUCUGAUUUGAACAUGAAUAUGCUUUGUGAGUAGUUACGUUUGUUCCUGAGGACAUGGGAGAAGUCUUGUUAUAAGUAAUCAUGUGAAUUUGAUAUUCGUUCGAUAUUUUGAUGAGAUGUAUGUUUUCUUUCCUCUAGUGGUGUUAUAUGAACGUCAACUACAUGACACUUCACCAUGAUUUGGGCCUAGGGGAAGGCAUUGGGAAGUAAUAACUAGAUGAUGGGUUGCUAGACUGACAGAAGCUUAAACCCUAGUUUAUGCGUUGCUUCGUAAGGGGCUGAUUUGGAUCCAUAUGUUUCAUACUAUGGUUAGAUUUAUCUUAAUUCUUCUUUCGUAGUUGCGGAUGCUUGCGAGAGGGGUUAAUCAUAAGUGGGAGGCUUUUCCAAGGAAGGCCAACACCCGACCAUCGAUCCACCCACAUAUCAAAUUAUCAAAGUAACGAACGUGAAUCAUAUGAGCAUGAUGAAAAUUAGCUUGACAAUAAUUCUCAUGUGUCCUCGAGAGCGCUUAGUUACUUUUGUUACUUUAGUUAAUCAUAAGAGUUCGUCCAGGCUUGUCCUUUGCUACAAAAAGGAUUGGGCCACCUUGCCGCACCUUAGUUACUUUUGUUACUUGUUACCCGUUAUGAAUUAUCAUAUCACAAAACUAUCUGUUACCGAUAAUUUCAGUGCUUGCAGAGAAUACUUUGCUGAAAACCACUUGUCAUUUCCUUCUGGUCCUCGCUGGGUUCGACACUCUUACUUAUCGAAAGGACUAUGAUAGACCCACUAUACUUGUGGGUCAUCACUACCCAAUACAAUCAAAAGGUCGAUAUGAUGAAGAAGACUAGGCAAUACAUUUGUACAUUAACACUCCCCCUCAGGUGUGGCUCCCUCAGGUCUAAACGUGGAACGAAAGUCGACUGCAAUUUAAUUGCGCUAGCCGCUCUUGAACUCAAGACCUCUUGGCUCUGAUACUAUGUAGAUUGUGCAUGCUCUAGGGAAUGCAACAAAAAAAACUGAUCUGAUGGAAGAGACUAGCCAAUACAUUUAAACGUCAACACGAGUUAAUAUGCAUUCAUAUUCAUAUCGCAUCCGUGUGUAAGUGUGCAUGUGAGAUAUUCCAAAGAACAAAAACAUAUGUAGAAUAUACAAAAGUUCCUCUUGUUGAGCUGGAUUUAACACUGUAAAACUAUGUAUGUCGAAUUUGUUAAGUAAGAGCUUCUACAACCGGAGCUCCCACAUCCAUCUUAAACUUCUUAAAUUGCUUAAUUAGAUCCCUCUGUGUUAGUAUGGUAGGGUCUAAAGGCAAUUGAUAGUAAAACCUAUCACUAAUUGUCAAGCUACCAUCGGGCAAGUGAUUGUGUGACACCCAUGCCGUAUCUUCAACAACAUCAUGAAGCUGCUGGGUGGCACCAACCCACUGUUCAAAAUAUCUUCUGAUUUAGCGAUUUAUCAUCUAAUUUAUCGCUACUCGGGGGUGACCGGUAAGAUUAUACCUUAUCUUCACCGUUUAUCAUUUGGGCUGAUUUAUCGCUCUGAUAAGCGAUUUAUUGGGAAUCUACCGAUAAAGCGGGCCUAUCAUAGCACUAUGCUUGCAAAAACUAUGUUUAUUUGUGUUUGAUGAACCUUGUUAUGCAAUAUGUACUAUUAUUGUAUUUUGUUUGUCAUCAUACGAGGAUUCAAUGGCUAGGAAUCAAGGUAACACUUUAGUCCAAUAUUGUCUUGGUGUUGAAUAUAGCAUAUUUUAGUGUUGGGAGCCUAGGAUUUGUAAAAAAUGACCGAUUAAUAGUCGACAGAUAAAAUCGAUUAUUCGGCCGAUUUCUGAUUAAUCUCUAAUCCCCAGCUGACCGCGACGCUAACGAUAAGUGAUAUCCUCAACAUUGCACCAACCUAUGCAAAGUAGCAGCAUGACCGCACUGUUCGAAACAUAAAAAGGGAAUCACAAAACAACACAAGACAAUGGUUGAUUUCUUUACCCAAUGGGAGAGAUGACACUUUCAUCGGGUUCCAGAGGCCGCCGUCCCUCGCCGCCGUUAUGAUCCAGGGGAAUGGAAGCUGUGGAGGCAACGAGGUAGCGACGGAUCAGCGGGAGGACAUGAAUAGAAGUGGCGGGCGAAAGGGGGUCUACCAACUAAAAUUUAGGGAUGGGUCACUAUCGAGCAUAGCAGGUGAGCCCACAAUGGAGAAAGACACGCAUCAGAAGGGCUAAAUGGAAAUUAUGGCCGUAAUGGCAGCCCCCACAUCGACGGACACUCAAAGAGUCUUGUCGUCAAUAUUGGUGGCCCACAUCGGAGUGGAAAAUGGAAAUUAUGGCACAACGUUGGCCCCCCACAUCGCCCGAAAGGGUCAAUCAAAUCUCCUUGUGGCUGCAUUUGAUGUGGCGAAGUGGUGGGUCCAAAAAGGAAGGAAACAACCCAAAGUUGACGGAGAUGACAUGCAGUGUCAUACACCUAAUUUUUUCACAAUCAUUAGUGGUCUAGACCGAAAUAUGGAAGUUUGAGUGGCAGGACUCGAACAUGCAACUCUGGCAGUGGCACGGGCCGAUUCUUCCCAAAAAUAUAAUAUGAAAACUUUUUCAUGAUGGGUUUGAGGAUAUUGAUUGCUAUCGUACAUUUUAAUAUUUCCUUCUUAUAAACUAGAUCAAAGUGUAAUCAAACAAAACUAAUAUGCACUCUAUUCUGAAAUGAGGGGAGUAAGCCCUACCUAUUAGACAACAUGACCGUGGCUAUUGAUGAUUUUUGGGUACUAGUAAUGUCAUUUGAUAGGAUUGUUUUUGGCAUUUAUUUGGAUAAGUAUAACCUUUAUCCAACCAAAACUGAAACAUAUCAUUUAAUGACAUUAAUUGGAUAAGGAUAACCCCCACAAAGGAUAAGGAUAACCUUGAUGCCACCACAUCUAUAUAAGGCGACUGAAUUGUACCCGUCAUGACCACAAAAACAUACUGGUUGGCAGACUAUUGCAUAACUAUAUAUUUUCUGUUGUUUUGUGUUCUUAGGCAAUGGCGAAAAAUGGCAUCUUUCAAGUGCUCAUUGUUUUUCUCAUGGCGCAAGUCUGCUUGCUCAUGAUGAUAGCAACACCGGUAGCACAUGCAGCUGCUAGACCGGUGGGGUACAAUCCAGUGUGCUGCCCUAGGAACAUCUAUUGUUGCGGGUUCGGUAGCGGAUUGGCCAAUUCACCCGCACCAUCAAUUGUAUCUUGAUGUGUGGUUUUAUUCUCCCUCAAGUAGUAAGCUCGACAUAUAAAUGAUAUAUGCGGUUCAUGUGUUACCUAAUCCUGAAUAUUUGUGAUGCUACUAUCAAGAAGGUAUUGUACUAGUUACUUACAAAAUAAAAUGGGAGGAAAUUAUUAUAUAUCUUUUUUGCAAUAUACUACAAAGAGAUUUAAGCUUAUGUAUACUUUACUCCUUUUGGAAACUAGAUUAUUUGACAGCUUUGAUUUAAAGACCCAAAAAAUGAGUGGCGUGGCAUACACGUUAAACUCAUGAGUCUGUAGUGCGUGCCUUUGGGAAUCUCUGUUUUAUCAUCAUGUUGGUCGUACAUUCCGGCGAGGUCAUCCGUGUCGUGGCAACAUGCUUUAUUUUUCAUUGAGAACAUAAUUUUAAAGCAUUUAUUGGGUAAUGGAGUAUAUCAGCAAUUACUAGCUACCAAAUACUGUUGGGCAGGCUUGUUUGUGAAUUCAGGGAUGCACACUAUGUUUCUUUUUGCAAGAAUGCCAAGUCCAUAUAUUAAAAUUGUCCAAACCUUACAACAUCAUCAUUACAAAAGCAGAAAAUACAGCACAUAUCCUGGUGUAUAUGACCGACGUCUUUCUGCCGCACUCGCACCCCGUGAGCAAAACUCGAUGUCGCGAUUGGAUCCCUAGAACACCCUUAGAACCAGGGCCAAUCAUUCUCUACGUGUUUUACAGUGAGUGCUCGAUUCCUCAAAAAACAAUAAAAAAAAUAUCAUAUGUGAAUACAGCUCUUUGGUCUUUGAUGGAGCACGAAAGGUUUGUUUGUUGUGGAUCCUAUAUGUGUAAUCUAUCUAUCUAUUACUAUACUAACUAGAGAUUACUUAGAAACUCCCACGGCUAUUCAGAAUUACGAAUUGUUCAUCUGGUGGGACCGAGUUUGGCAUUGGGUUUGGUCGAGGACCCGGAAAGGGAAGGGAAAUGAAGUGAAGGCAAAGGACCAGCAGACAAAGAGAAGCGAAGGCCAUGCCAGGAGCUACUCAGUAAGCGCAGGCGGAUUUGACAUUAGAUACCCUUCUUUUAUUACAUACCGCCUCCAAUACUUACUGUAGGCGGUUAUGUUGUUCUAACAGUCUGCGGUGUGUGCAUAUUACAGGUAACUACGUCCCAGUUGAUCACAACCGAUGUUGGUUUCGUGCAUCAACUUGUGAUGAUUGCUUUGUUCAUACUCGCCUUCGGUGAAGUUGGAGUCGGUGGAUCAAGGACGAUAGGUGAUGACGAUGAUGCUUGUGUGCAGCCAUGGCAGUUGAUGUCUUCCUAGUUAAGUGCAGAGUCUAGUUGGUAGCCAGGUUGGACGUUGCAUGUGUAUUGUCAUGUUCCAUGAUGGUUGUCUAUUGGGCAUGUUGUUACGGUUUUUGCUCAAUUAUUUUUAAAUUAAUCAUGUUUUCUUUUUAAUUAAUGAAAAUGUUAAAUAUUUUGCCUCAGCUUAAUAAUAAAAGAGUGCAAAUCUAAGUAACUAUCAUGUACUUCGGGGAACGACGCCAACGAUACAUUUGCACCAAACCACUAGCAUAAUUGGCCUCAUUGCCGAUUGACGCGGCUAGCUCGCUAGGCCAAAAACUGGGAGCGCCCAGACAAAUAGAAGAGAAUUCCUUAUUUGGUCCUUUCUUAAAAUCUGCUUCCCUUUUUGGCCCAAAAUUUUUCACCACAACUUCAUUUUCUUCUUUACACUUCCGAUAUUUUCUAUUAACACCAUGAAGUGCUGAGAUGAAAAUUCCUAUUUACCCUUGAUUUAGCAUGCUGAAAAAACAUAGGAAAACCCGCGUGCGUGAGAACCCUCCCACACGUUCACUCCCCUAUUCUCUCCCCGACUUACUGCGAGAUGCUAGCCCUAACCCUACGACGGCGGCGGAGGGCACACAACGGCGACGACGCGAGGCUGGGAGAGCGGUGUGGAGGAGGGUGUGGCCGAGGUACUUAUGGAUGGUAGGGUGGAAGGCACGAUGGAGGAGGGCCAUGUCGCUGCACCGGUCUCGGCCUCGGGCGGCCAUGGUGGGGCGACGGAGGGGGCAUGGUGGGGCAACGGCUACAGCGCGACUGCUAAGGGGUGGGGCGACGACUACACUUUGGCUGACGCUGAUGUAGGAUCGGUAAGGGCAGAGCUGGGUGCUCGGCCUCGACGACAUGGCUAGAAGGGGGACUCCUCUCUUUCUUCUCUAGAUUUCUCCAAAUAUAACAUAUUACUUUGAGUUCAUUCAUCAUUGGCUAUUUGACGGUUUUGUAUGCAAUAAAUUAAUCACCUCAAUUGUGCAAUAAAUAAAUUAAUCAGUCUUGAUUGAGAUAUGAGAUCACCUCAAUUGUAUUGUAUUCUUAGAGAUGAAUAUUUGCUGUGAGAUCUAAAAUGGAAAAAAAAGUCAAAAACAUUAGUUUGAUACUAUAAAGCAAGUAUGUUCAUAGAUCUUGGAUACUAUAUUUACAGAUAAUACUUUUAUUUAUUUUAAAUAUAAAGCAAGUAUGUUCCAGUUCAUACAUAAUUGAUCUUCCUUUUAAUGUUUGUUGAAAAUAUGCACAUGGGUUUGAUCUGCUUGUGCUACUGUAUAAGGAAGUUGUAGGAGUAGAACGUACUCAUGAUUAGGUUUCUCUUGCUUUUACAGGAUGGAUCCAAAUUCAACUUAUCUGCUGAAAGUAUUCUAAUUUCUUCCUUACCACCAUGGCCAAGGCUUGGAGAACACAAAACUAAGAAAACGGGAAAAUUGACUAACUCUGAAUCUUGAGGAUAAAAAAUGUAACCUAAAAUAUGUUUGAAAAUUGGUUCACAAGUAAUGCAUUGUUUCUAUUAUUUGUUUACUCUACCGUUGCCAUGCAUGCACAUGAUUGUCUCAAGUUAAUCUGGGCCCAUUUUUCAUUGAAGUGAUAUGCCAAACUAGCAAACAAUUGUUCCUUGGAAGGUAAAUGCCAAACGGAAAAGGAAAAAACUUGCUACAGAAAUUGCAAACAUUCCUAUGGUGCUAAAUGACAGCCUUGCGAUGUGCACAAGAAGCAAAAGAUUUAACCCAGCCAGCCCUGCAUUGAGCACGAGAAGCAAAAGAAGGCUUAGCUCGUGAUUAUCUAGUUCAUUACGUGUUUAUUGCAAACUGUUCAUGCGCUCAAUCUAUCAUGUGAGCUUUUGCAUACUGUUUAUUCAAGAUGCUCCUUUUGGAAACUAUUUAUGUGCUCAGCUCAUCAUGUGAGCUUGUGAGCUUUGGUGUUGUUUAUGUGAUGUAUGUGACUUGGAGGUGUUCUAAUUGGGCUUGUGUAUGUGAUGUAUGUCACCUGGUGGUAUUCUAUAUGAAACUGGAUGCUAUGAUAGUUGUGGAUGGUACUUGAUGAGUUACGUGCAUAUGUUGAAGAGUUUGUAGUCGUGUUGUCAUGAUAUUAUAUGAAUUGUGUGCAUAUAUGAAUUGUUGGCAGGGUAUAUGACAAUUUUCUUAUUAAAAUCCAAUGAUUUAACUCUGCAUUGAUCAUAUAAUCUGCUCACAUACUACACUGGGGGGUAAAGCAGUCUUUUUAGGUUCGACUUAACACCUUUAAUGGUCAAAACUGGCGGAAAUGGCACAUAUAGGGAACCAAUUGAAGUUUUAGUGCUAAGAGAAUCUACAGCCGGACUUGGAAAAUUUGGCCCCUCAAACGCUCGCGGGCGCGUUCGGGGGCACUGACCGGUCACACCUCCUAUUUGGUGAUAUGCAUUCAAACACCUCAUUUUCAUCCCCUAAAUCCAUACAAACCAGGCAAAAAAAAUUCCUAUGUAAUACGUACACCACGUUAUUCUAAACUAUGUUUCGCCGUCGGAGAUGUCCACGAUGUCCGUGCCGGACGCCAGGUAGAUGGGCGCGUAGGAGUGCUCCGGCUCCUCCUCCUCUUCCUCAUCCAUAGCCGCAGGCAUCUCGUUGACGUCCGCGGGGUGCUCCGCCUCCGCCUCCUGCAAACCAUCCGCGUUGUGCUCUGUUUUGCCUCCGCCUCCUGCACACGCCGCCGCUUGGCCUCCGCCGCCGAUUCCGACCGGAGAGACUCGAGGAUCGCCUGCAGAUCCACGGCCCCAGCGUCCCCCACAUCCUCCUCCUCCUUCAUCAUGCUCCUCCUCCUCUGGAUCUACCGCAUCCAGGGGUAGCCCCACUGCUAUCUGGGCUUCGUGCCUUGCCAGGACCUGCUCAAGCGAGCCUCAAACGCCCGGGUUGGCCGGCACCCCUCAUAUCCAGCCCAAAUUCGGGGAGAGUAUGGGGGCGAAGACCGCCCCAAACCUGUCUGGGUCAUAUUGUCGUGACCGGGCUGUCCGCUCGGACAUUUGUGACGGGUUUGAGGCGCCCGGCUAUAGAUGCUCGAAAAAGGAAAGCAUUCUCUUUCGAGUGCCAAAAAGGAAAGUAAAUUUUCAGAAAGCGUCAAAUAAGAAAUUCUCUCCAUAAACAGAUGUGAGGGCAUGUACAAUGGUUGAUAAGAUAGUCGUAUCUUAUGUCUUACAUGUAAUUUAGAGAUGCCAAAAAAAUGUCUACAAUGGGUCAUCUCUUAGUCUUAUCUACAAUAACUAGUUAUUCCUAAAAAUGUGGUGAAACAUAUUGUGCUAAGAGAUCAUCUCUUAUCUUCUUUUAAAUAAGAGAAGACAAGUCUUUUUUAUGAGUUAUAUCUCCUCCACCUCAUUAUUUAUCCUACAUGGCGCUGUACAUGGCCUGAAAAGAAAACGGACACGGCACUCACGCACAUGCUCCUACGUACGUGUUAUCCUACUCACCAACACGCUGCCUGCUAGCAAUCGAUGCCUCCUCUUAUCCGGUGCCGAGUGUAGUGGAGCGCCCGCCCAUCACAUGCUCGGUUUUCUAUAUGACCAACGAGCCGGCGCCACCUGUGCUCUGCCGCAGCGCCGGCCAUCCCGUCUGCCCGCCGGUACCACCGCCCGUCUCAAAACCACGGUCUCGCUUCCCACUGUAUCAAAUCGCCUUUCUCCCCGCCCGCUGGUUGCGCGGUUUCCUGCAACCUAUAAAUCGAGCCGGAGAACCUCACCUGUCCAUCCAUCUCAUCUCAUCCAACUCACACUACUACUGAUCUCAGCUAGGUGUACUUGAGUUCACUAGCUAGCUCUCUCCCACGAAGAUGUCUACGGUGACUCGUGCCCACCUCGACCAGAGGCUCGCCGCCGCCAAGCGCUGCUCCAAAGGUAACCAAAACGAUAUCAUGUCGUGCCGGUCCUCAAGGGCACAUUGCAGCUUUCUGUACAAUCUCUGCUGAAAUUUGAUCGUGACUAAAAUGUAUCUGUUGAUUCGGAACUGCAGAGGCUGCCAUGGCGGGAGCCAAGGCCGCGGCCGUCGCCACCGUCGCUGCCGCAGUCCCCACGGUAAGUUGCCAUUCAGUUCUUCGAUGAAAUCCUUGCACGGUUCAUAGCAUGUCUCAUGAAUGCGUUACCUGUAACUUCAGCUGGCGAGCGUGAGGAUGCUGCCGUGGGCCAAGGCACACCUGAACCCCACCGGGCAGGCGCUUAUCAUCUCCACCGUCGCCGGGAUGGCCUACUUCAUCGUCGCCGACAAGACCAUCCUCUCCAUGGCCAGGAAGCACUCCUUCGACGACGCGCCGGAGCACCUCAAGAACACCUCCUUCCACUAAUUAGACUAUAAUAGUAGAUCCAUUAGUAGUGCGCAAUAAACUGCAAGCACUUAUCUGAUAAUGAUGUUCAGCCAGCUGAGAAGCGACGACUUAUCUGAUGAUGCGUGCAAGCACUUAUCUGAUUAUGUACUAAUAAUGUAGCCGUGUAUCUUACUACUAUCUUUCCACUUAUCUGAUUAUGUACUAAUAAUGUAGCCGUGUAUCUUACUACUAUCUUUCCAGAGAUCUUGAACUAAUAAAGAUUAAAGACUAGUUUUUGUACAACUUUGGUUCAAGUGACCCUUUUCAUGUUUGGGAUUACCAUUUGACAUGUGUCAUACUGCCAUAGCAUUGCAAAAGCCCGCUACACUAUUUCAUUCGUUCGAUCCCCUGCUCCUCCCCUGUUCGAGAUCUCUGUUUCCGGCUUCGUGCUGGCGGCGUGCUGGGCGACGAUGGUGGCACAGUGGCGGUUGGAGGCCGGAUCUGGCCGAUGCGGAUCGAUUUGGCUCGUCGGCGUUGCUGGCGUGAAGUUCCCGGUUUUGGUGGAAGCGGCUUCGGCUGGGGGGUGGUGCGCGCGUCUGGGCGUGGUGGGUCGUGGGAUCCCACAGCCAGCGCGAGGUUGGCCUCGGCAGGAUGGUGUUUGUUGGCUGCGUUGAUGCGGGCAGGUGGUGGUUGAGCAUUUCCGGGGGAAAUCCUAUGUCCGGCCUUGGCUGGAUCCGAGGGCGACGCCCGCGGGCGUCGUGCUCUUUCUUGAAAGCGUUGCUGUUGUGUGGUGCUCCUCCUCCCUCCCCGCGGCCUUGGCUCCGGAGGGAAAUUUCGGAUCUUCGGGAUCGGGCGAUGAAGGCGCCUUCACGUCUUUUUCCUCCUUGGGGGCAUCGUCUUGGAGUCGGCCACAACCUGGAGACCAGUGGAUGGCGGCAUCUUUGCCGCGUGGGUUGCGGCAUCUUCGCCGCAUGGUUUUGCGGCAUCUUCGCUGCGUGGUUUGCGGCAUCUUCGCCGCGUGGUUUGCCGAGGCAGCCAUUUCGGGGGCGCUGAUUCCUGUUUGGCAAUGACGAUGGCGCCGAGAGGAGCUUUGGUCGCGGCUCGGGCUUCGGUAGUCGGAUCUUCCCAGCGUGUCCGAGGUGCUCUUCCGUUGGUUGCUUGGUUGCUUUGAAGUCGGAGCUGCGGUGGAGUGUGUCCAUGCGGUGACGAUGACAGGCGCUCAGUGGUCGGUUACAGAGGGCACGGUCAGCGCAAGUCCUGCAUAUUUCCCUUGUGAUGAUCGUCGUCUGAGUCGGAGCUGUCGGUUGUUCGCGCGUGCGGUCUUCUGUUGGCAUGUGCCAUCAUGGUUUCUGUGCAGCUGUUUGUAGCUAUGUGAUCCCAUGUCGGUGGCCAGGUUGACCGGUGGUACCCAUGUUAUGUGGGUUGGAUUGUAUCGGUUUUAUCCUGGUUUCCCGUCAAUUAACCGGGCAAUUCUCACUCCUUAAUCAAUGAAAACGGCACAUCUUUUGCCUAGUUUCAAAAAAAAGAAAUGCACGUUAAAUCUUGGACUCAACAAGAAAUGUGAUGUCAGAUUUUUUUUACAAUCGCAAAUUAAUUUUUUUAUGUCGAUUUAUGUUUACCAUUGAUGGCAAGUUUAGUUGGACAAAUCCGUCCCAGUUCAUUUUCUCCCAGAAAAUUGCCGUGCUUGCAAAAAUAAAUUAGCUAUCCUCGCGCUAACAUAAUUUUUUAUAGAAGCGUUUGAUUUGUCAUGUUUAAAAUCUAACAUCAAAUUUUUAACAUUACCGUAAAUCUUUUGAUACGCUUUAAUAGAAUGGGUUGAAAAAUAAGAAUAAUCUAUAUCUAUACCUAUACCUACUAUUAAAGGGAAUAGGUAUUCUUGGUUUGGUCCCUCUUUGGUUCGUCCCGUUUUUUCGUAUCUUUGCCCGUCCGUCUUUCCUUUUCUCGUAAGUCAAGAGUGCCUUUGUACGUCACGAUCAAUUGUAUUGGGCUUCUGGUCUGUUCACCCAUCGCUUGGCUGGGCCUCAGCCCGUUAAAUUAAACACGGCUGAACCGUGCGCUGUAAGCUGGCCCAGCUACCAGGCCUGCCGCGCGCUAUAAGCCGGCCCAACUACACUGGCAGCCCAGGCAAAAAAUAAGCGUUUCAUCAUGGGUUUUGAACACAUGACCUGUGCUCUAUCCAUAGAUGGUACGUAACAUCUAGCUACGUCAUUUUUUUGUUAGAUAGAUAUGCAAAGGUUAGUUUUGUUUAGUCCCACCUCGGUUUCUUGCACACAAUACAACCAGUUUAUAUACAUUUUUAAGUUUCCUGGUUAUCAAGGAGUUAUCCCAGGAAAUAAAGAAAGAAGAAUUCAAUGUUUUCAAGGCGUGGUGUGUGAUGAGUGGCUACACAAUUCUAGCAGACAUUGCACAAAUCAAUCGUAUCAUUAUGUUGAAUUAACAAGUCUAACAUCAGUUCUGAACUUCCGAUGAAUUCAAUCAUUGUCAGUCAACUAAGGUUGGCCCUCGGCCCCCAGAGAGCAUGCCGCAAAAAAAAAGAUGGUGACCCCCUUCCUACAAAUUAGGGGAGGGGCUCUUUUGUGUAGAAAAAUAACUUGCAUCCGAAAUGUGAAAUAUUUAGAGCAUUUCUAGUAAUACCUCUAAACCCUCAAAAAUAACCGCUUUUUACGGGUUGAGACGAAAAUUUCCUAAAGAAUAGAACCCUUAACCCUUAAACCCUCAAAAAAAUUUAGAGGCUCAACCCCUAUUCUCCUUCCCAGCCUGUAGAAACAGGGGUUGGCCAGCCCAACCCCUCCCCCACCCGGUUCCAUCGCCAACGACGCGCGGGAGCGAAUUUUCAGCUCCCCCUCCCCGGAUAAGGCCGCCCUCCCGCCGCGCCGCGCCCCGGCGCUCCAUCCCCGGCCGCCCCNNNNNNNNNNNNNNNNNNNNNNNNNNNNNNNNNNNNNNNNNNNNNNNNNNNNNNNNNNNNNNNNNNNNNNNNNNNNNNNNNNNNNNNNNNNNNNNNNNNNNNNNNNNNNNNNNNNNNNNNNNNNNNNNNNNNNNNNNNNNNNNNNNNNNNNNNNNNNNNNNNNNNNNNNNNNNNNNNNNNNNNNNNNNNNNNNNNNNNNNNNNNNNNNNNNNNNNNNNNNNNNNNNNNNNNNNNNNNNNNNNNNNNNNNNNNNNNNNNNNNNNNNNNNNNNNNNNNNNNNNNNNNNNNNNNNNNNNNNNNNNNNNNNNNNNNNNNNNNNNNNNNNNNNNNNNNNNNNNNNNNNNNNNNNNNNNNNNNNNNNNNNNNNNNNNNNNNNNNNNNNNNNNNNNNNNNNNNNNNNNNNNNNNNNNNNNNNNNNNNNNNNNNNNNNCCGUCCAAGCCGCGCCCCGGCCGCCCUCCCGCCGGCCGCCUCCGCCGCCUCCUCCGAGGCGAGGUAUGUGCUUUUUUUCAUUUUGUUUUAUUUUUUAUUGUUUCAUUUUUUAGCACUAAUUAGUGACUGUCCUUUGCAGAUGGAGAUGAACAAUGAGGAGAUUGUCAUGGACUCGAUGUCCGAUUCGUCGGAUUGGUCGACAUCCGACGAUUCCGACAUUUAUGAGUUGUUGCAAGACGACGAUGUCGAGAUGAUGAGCCUCCUCAUCGACGUGCAAUCGUUUGAAAACCGCGUGAAGCUGAUGGAUCAGAGGAGAGGGUCGAAGAUGGGGCGAGUCACCAUCUACCGGAACCGCGCUCUCGGACACGAGCAUUUGAUGGAAGACUACUUCGCGGAGGUACCUACAUACCCUCCUCGUCUCUUCCGCAGAAGGUACCGAAUGCGGCGUAGUUUGUUUGUGAAGAUUGUCACCGAUUGUGAGGCCGCCUCCUAUUACUUUAAACGUCGUAGAUCCGCCGCCGGUAUCAUGUGGUUUAGUGCAUAUCAAAAGAUAUCGGCGGCAAUGCGGGUACUCGCUUAUGGCAUACCCGCGGAUUAUACCGACGAGUAUCUUCGCAUUGGGCAAGAUACAACUACGGAGUCAGUCCGUAGGUUUGCCAAGUUGGUCAUCCGGUUGUACGGUGAGCAGUAUCUUCGGGCACCAAACAAGGAAGAUACAAAGAGAUUAAUGGAAAUGAAUGAAAAAAGGGGAUGCCCGGGGAUGCUUGGUAGUCUUGAUUGCAUGCAUUGGAGGUGGAAAAAUUGCCCAAAGGCAUGGCACGGAAUGUAUUGCGGUAAAAGCCGUGAUGCUACCAUUGUGCUUGAGGCCGUAGCAUCUCAGGACACAUGGAUUUGGCAUGCAUUCUUUGGGUUGCCGGGAACACUCAAUGAUAUCAAUAUCCUCAAUAGAUCUCCUUUGUUCAAAAGAUUAAUUUCUAGGGAUGCUCCAGCUUGCAACUACAAAAUCAUGGACAAUGAGUACUCAAUGGGAUACUAUCUCACCGAUGGCAUCUAUCCCGAAUGGGCAACUCUUGUGAAGUCCAUCAAGGAGAAAAAUGGGGUGCCCUUAACAAGAAAAGAGGCUCAUUUCACCAAGGCACAAGAGGCAGCCCACAAGGAUAUUGAGAGAGCUUUCGGUGUUUUGCAAGCAAGGUUUGCCAUAGUUCGUGGUCCAGCUCGGUUUUGGGACAAAAAAACCUUGGUGAACAUCAUGAAAUGUUGUGUGAUUCUACACAACAUGAUCCUAGAGGAUGAGAGAGGGUUAAACCUCCCUUGUUUCUAUGACAAUGUUGGUACCCGUGUGCAACCGGAAAGAAACCCUUCUCGCAUACACGCUUUUCUUCAAGCACAUCGUGAGAUUGAGGAUGCAACCACUCAUGGUCGGCUCCGGGAUGAUCUAGUAGAGCACCACUGGCAGUUGGAUGGGCGGCGCAUUGGCCCAUGAUGUAUCUUUGUUUUACUUUUCUAUGUCCUAUUUGAUUCGAACAAUUAGUGUAAUUUGCUCAAACAUUGUUGUAAUAAUUUGAAUGAUUAUUGUUUUAUUCGGUGUUGUAAUAAUAACUAGAAUGAUUAUUGUUUUAUGUCAAAUGUGAUGGAAUUUGUGAUAUGUCAUAUGAUGAAAUGUGAUGAAAUGUGUGAUAUAUGAAAUGACAGUUUUAAAGGUUGGGGUUGAGGCAAAGACUAGAACCCUCAAAUCCAACCCUUAAAGCAGUUUAAGAGUUGGGUUUGAGGGUUCUAGUCUUUGCCCCUGUUUUUCAACCCUUAAAAGUGUCAAAAACUAGCACUUCUCAACCCUUAAAACUGCUAUAAGGGUUUGAGGGUUCUACUAGUAAUGCUCUUAUACAAAGAGGGAGAGAUGAAGACAAUGCAGCAGGGUUGGUUAUCUAAUUGGCUAGUCAAACAUGAGGUGGUUCAUAGAUCUUUGGUCAUUAUGUUGAAUUAACAAGUCUAACAUCAGUUCUGAACUUCCGAUGAAUUCAAUUAUUGUGUUGCAAACUGUGAAGACCCAUCAGCAUAGAGAACAUCCAGUACAACAAUAAACAUAAUAUUAUACAACGAUCAUAGUGGUUAACUUAUUAUUUUCAGCGUUUUUUUUUCUGGAACACCAAUGCACAGGCACCGUCUGUUAUAUCUAAGCAACGACCCACAACGGCCAUAUGAAACAACAUAAUCUACACCCCAAAUGAAGCGACCUUGUUUCCAAUUAAGAUUUUUAUAAUCUACAGUUUUUUUUAGAAAAGGAGGAUGACCCCCGGCCUCUGCAUCUGGGCGAUGCAUACGGCCACUUUAUUAAUUAUUCUCACAAGACCUUACAAAGCCAAACAAGAGCAAGACUACAGCCACCGUCUAAGCAACAACUGUUGCUAUACCUAUCCAAUUGAUGAAGGGGCGCAGAUAGUCUGGGCCUAAUACUAAACAGACAUCGUAGCCAAACCUAAACAUCUAAGACCUGAGGUCCCAACCAGGACGCCUGCCUGGUAUGGGGCACCUACCAAUCCGGCGCACUCCUCAACCAGGACGCCUGCCGGGUAUGAGGCCGCCGCAGCCACCUGCCAUCAAUCCAUCUUCAGAGCUGUACUGUUGCAUGUACCGUGUCAGGUCUCUCUGCCAUCGACGCCAGCACGAUGUCCGACAGCGUCAUCCUCCUGCGCGAGUGCAUCCUCCCACAGCGAACUCCGAAUCUGCACUGCGCCACGCCGUCAAGAUCCGUCGCCAUCAAUGUGUAGGAUGAAUCACCGCUCCACCAAAGAAUCCGUCCUCUGGUCCCUCGAUCACGUGUGUACCUCCAAGAAUGACGCCCCCAAGGGAGGAACGACACCAGAGCGCCGCCGACAUCCGAUCAUCCGAUCUAGGGUUUCCCCCGAAGGUAGCAGAGAGUGGCCUUGAACUUCUCCACGGCGAUGCCUUCAAGAAGGGAACGACGCAGAUAGCGCCGCCACCGCCGGCCUUAGCAGACGCCAAAGGCAAGUUUUCACCCAGAUCAGUUCGAAGGGAUCCAGCUCUCGUGCAUGGGCCGCCGUCACCAUCAGCACCACCAGGCAGAAUACGGGAGCACCGGCAGAUCAGCGAGUCGCCGGCACCACCGCAUCCAGAUCGCCGGCCACACCGGGCCGCCGCCAUCCCCCGCGUCGUCCGGAUCAGAGACGGAGCCGCCUACCGCGCAUAGGGACCACCGCCGCUUGCACACGCCGGAACGCCGCCGAGAGCCCAGCGCCCGCCACCACUUGCCGAGGGCCGCCGCCGCGCGCCCCGAGCGGACUCCCACGCACACCAGGGGAAGCCACGAGCGUGAUCCCUGCCGUCGCCCCCAAGCCCGCGCCGGCGCGGCCCGCCUCCAGCGCGUCGCCAACAACCUGCCGCGAUCCACGGGCGCCAGAUCCAGCGAUUCGUGGGAGAAGAGAUCCCGCCGCCGCCGACGCCGACCGGGCUUUGCCUGGCGGCGCGCCCCGGCGGCGGCGAGGAGGAGAGGUCGGGAGAGGCAGGGGCGACACGGGACGAGUCGGGAGUGUUAGAAAGAGUUAUGUAUACGGUAUACGGUAUUCUAUAAACCGCAUAUGCCCGUAGAGAGGUAGAUCACGUGCGUGUGUUCUGUUGUAAUCUAGGUAGUUAGGUUGUUAGGGUUUAUCCUCAGAUCUUGUAUAGGUUUUCUUGAGGAUCAAUCCAUAACCUAACUACCGCACCUUGUAUCCUAUCCUUGGCUAUAUAACAUGUACGCGUCCCUGCCCAAAGGCAUACGCUUCCACGCAAUCUUUCAUGGUAUUCAGAGCCUAGUUCCUCUACCGCAUCCAAUCUAAUAGUCAUGGCUAGCUCCAGCACCGCCGCCGCUCCAUACGCCCUCAUUCCCAUUGCUGAUACGAUUCACCGCGGCAACUAUCUCGUGUGGCGCGCGCAGGCUUUAGCUACCAUCUGCGGAGCCCAACUGAUCGACCACCUCAACCCCGAUCACCCGUUCCCGGAGCCCAAGCUUGCCGACAAGGAUGGCAAGCCCACCGAUGUGCCGAACCCGGCGCAUCACAUCGCUCUGGCGCAAGACUCCCAGGUGCUAAGUUUUAUGUUCAAUUCAAUCUCUGCUCCUGUGAUGAUCCAAGUCGCCCACUGCACCAAGGCCGCCGCGGCGUGGACCACGAUCAGGGAGAUGUUUCUCUCCCAGACGCAGGCCAACAUCGUCAACACGCGGAUCACCCUCUCCACCACCAAAAAGGGCACCGUGACCAUCGCCGCGUACAUCGGGCGCAUGAAAGCGCUAGGCGGCGAGAUGGCUUCAGCAGGGAAGCCGCUCGACAAUGAUGACAUAGUCUCCUACAUCCUCGCUGGAGUCGACUUCGACUACAUCUCGUUCGUCUCGUCCAUCUGCGCUGCAAGAACCGAGCCCAUCAAGGUAGCUGAACUUUAUUCUCAACUGAUCAGUUUUGAAAAGCGUCUUGCCAUGUUUGAAGGAGGAAACCAGUCCUCUCAAUCCUCGGCCAACGCCGUGUCUCGUGGCCGUGGUGGUUUCGGUCGCGGAAGCGGCCGUGGCAAUGGUAGCCGUGGCAACGGAGGUGGUCACCGCAAUGGAGGCCGUGGCAAUGGAGGUGGUGGCCGCGACAAUGCAGGCCGUGGCAACGGCAAUGGAGGAGGCAAUGAUCUCCCUGAGGUUGUCUGCCAGAUCUGCAAGAAGCCAAACCACACCGCCGUCGAGUGCUACCGCCGCUUCGACAUCUCCUUCGCCAAGAACGAGAAAAGUGCAGGAUCGGCCACCACCUCGUCCUAUGGAGUGGACACGAACUGGUACCUCGACACGGGGGCCACAGACCACCUCACCAGCGAGCUCGACAAGUUGACCGUCCGCAACAAGUACAACGGCAACGAGCAAGUCCAUACUGCAAACGGAGAAGGUAUGGAAAUUUGUCAUAUUGGUCAAUCCACUGUUCGAACCCCCACUCGUGAUCUUCAUCUUAAAAACAUAUUGCAUGUACCCGAUGACACCAAGAAUCUUAUUUCAGCUCAUCGCUUAUCCACUGACAACAAUACCUUUCUUGAAGUUCACCCAUGUUUCUUUUUCGUUAAGGAACAGGGAACGAGGAGAACCCUUCUCCAAGGCAGGUGUAGACAUGGUCUCUACCCCCUAUCAUCGACUCCGUUGAAUUCUAGCAAGCAGGAAUUUGGUGUCAAAAGUGUCCACGGACAGGUGGCACAGUCGGCUAGGGCAUCCUUCAUCAACCAUAGUUCGUCAUGUCCUUAGCCACAACAACAUUCCCUUUUCAAGUAGUGAGUUGAAUAAAGAAGGCAUUUGUGAUGCUUGCCAAUUGGGCAAGAGCCACCAACUACCUUAUCCUAGUUCGUUCAGUGUAUCUAAAGCUCCUUUAGAGCAAAUUUUCUCUGAUGUAUGGGGGCCUGCCCGUGAUUCUAUCAAUAGGAAAAACUAUUAUGUGUCCUUUAUUGAUGAUUAUAGCAAAUUCACAUGGAUCUAUCUUCUUAAGCAUAAGUCUGAAGUUUUUAAGAUCUUUCAUGAAUUUCAAGCAUUAGUUGAAAGGUUGUUCAAUAGGAAAAUUAUCACCAUGCAGACAGACUGGGUUGGCGAGUAUGAACGUCUAAAUUCCUUUUUUCGCCAACUAGGAAUCACCCACCAUGUCUCCUGUCCACAUGCUCAUCAGCAGAACGGAUCAACUGAAAGAAAACAUCGUCCCAUCGUAGAUGUGGGUCUUUCUCUCUUGGCUCAUGCCUCCAUGCCUCUCAAAUUUUGGGAUGAGGCUUUUCUCUCUGCCACAUAUCUGAUAAAUCGCACCCCUAGUAAAGGUGAUCAACUAUGAAACUCCCUUGGGCCGUCUGUUUCAUGAACAACCAAACUACCAUUCACUUCGAGUCUUUGGGUGUGCUUGUUGGCCCAAUCUCCGUCCCUAUAAUUCUAAAAAAUUAGGAUUCCGAUCCAAACAAUGUGUUUUCCUCGGAUACAGUAAUCUUCACAAAGGCUUUAAAUGUCUUGAUGUUGCUGUUGGCCAAGUUUACAUAUCCAGGGAUGUCAUCUUUGAUGAAACGGUUUUUCCUUUCAAGGCCUUAAACCCUAAUGCAGGCACUCCCCUUCGAUCUAAGAUUUUGUUGCUACCUGAAAUUACACCUUCUGAGACUAUUGAUCAUGGGGGUGAACAUGUGCUUGAUCAACAUGCAAAAUUUCCUGCUAAUUCUGGUGAAAAUCCAGCUCCUAUGCGUCAUUUAUGCAGGCAGUACAGGACAAAAAUGGCGCAGAGCACGGAGGAGAUUCAGGUGCUGCCGCCGCUGAUCCUGAGGAUGACAGCGCAGGUGCAGGCGGCAGCCCAGGCGAAUCUGCCUCGGAUCGCACCCCUCCCAGGGGACGUGUGGGCGCGUCGGGCGCCGGUUCCCCAGGUGGGCCAAGCCCUGAUGGGCACAUGGUGCAGGACCAGCUGACCGGUCCCUCGCGCCGCACGCUGCCUCAUGAUGACCGCCAGGUGGACCAACCUGGUGCGGGGGCGUCGGCCAGCGCAUAAGUGACAAGGCGGGAUGUCGGAUCUCCUAGUGUUGACGACGGGAUCGACAUGGGAUCCCGUGCAACUGACGGCAUGAUCGAUGUGGGAUCCCAUGCGGCUGUGAUUCCCUCGGUCGGAUCUUCUGCGGCGCAGUCUGCUCCUGAUGUGCCGUCUCGGAGGACAAGAUCGUGAUAACCCACAAGUAUAGGGGAUCGCAACAGUUUUCGAGGGUAGAGUAUUCAACCCAAAUUUAUUGAUUCGACACAAGGGGAGCCAAAGAAUAUUCUCAAGUAUUAGCAGUUGAGUUGUCAAUUCAACCACACCUGGAUAACUUAGUAUCUGCAGCAAAGUAUUUAGUAGCAAAGUAAUAUGAUAGUAGUGGUAACGGUAACAAAGGUAACAGUAGCAAAAGUAAUAAUUUUGGUGUUUUGUAGUGAUUGUAACAGUAGCAACGGAAAGUAAAUAAGCGAAGAACAAUAUAUGAAAAGCUCGUAGGCAUUGGAUCGGUGAUGGAGAAUUAUGCCGGAUGCGGUUCAUCAUGUAACAGUCAUAACAUAGCGUGACACAGAACUAGCUCCAAUUCAUGAAUGUAAUGUAGGCAUGUAUUCCGAAUAUAGUCAUACGUGCUUAUGGAAAAGAACCUGCAUGACAUCUUUUGUCCUACCCUCCCGUGGCGGCGGGGUCCUAAUGGAAACUAAGGGAUAUUAAGGCCUCCUUUUAAUAGAGUACCGGAAUAAAGCAUUAGCACAUAGUGAAUACAUGAACUCCUCAAACUAUGGUCAUCACCGGGAGUGGUCCCGAUUAUUGUCACUUCGGGGUUGCCGGAUCAUAACACAUAGUAGGUGACUAUAGACUUGCAAGAUAGGAUCAAGAACUCACAUAUAUUCAUGAAAACAUAAUAGGUUCAGAUCUGAAAUCAUGGCACUCGGGCCCUAGUGACAAGCAUUAAGCAUAGCAACAUCAAUCUCAGAACAUAGUGGAUACUAGGGAUCAAACCCUAACAAAACUAACUCGAUUACAUGAUAGAUCUCAGCCAACCCAUCGCCGUACAGCAAGCCUACGAUGGAAUUACUCACGCACGGCGGUGAGCAUCAUGAAAUUGAUGAUGGAGGAUGGUUGAUGAUGACGACGGCGAUGAAUCCCCCUCUCCGGAGCCCCGAACGGACUCCAAAUCAGCCCUCCCGGGAGGUUUUAGGGCUUGGCGGCGGCUCCGUAUUGUAAAACGCGAUGAAUUCUUCUCUCUGAUUUUUUCUCCCCGAAAGCAAAUAUAUAGAGUUGGAGUUGAGGUCGGAGGAGCUCCAGGGGACCCACGAGGUAGGGGGGCGCGCCCUCCACCCUCAUGGACAGGGUGUGGGCCCCCUGGUCUUCAUCUUUUGCAAGGAUUUUUUUAUUAUUUCUAAAUAGACGUUCCAUGGAGUUUCAGGUCAUUCCGAUAACUUUUGUUUCUGCACAUAAAUAACACCAUGGAAAGUCUCCUGAAAACAGCGUCAGUCCGGGUUAGUUCCAUUCAAAUCAUGCAAGUUAGAGUCCAAAACAAGGGCAAAAGUGUUUGGAAAAGUAGAUACGACGGAGACGUAUCAACUCCCCCAAGCUUAAACCUUUGCUUGUACUCAAGCAAUUCAGUUGAUAAACUGAAAGUGAUAAAGAAAAACUUUUACAAACUCUGUUUGCUCUUGUUGUUGUAAAUAUGUAAAGCCAGCAUUCAAGUUUUCAGCAAAGAUUAUGAUUAACCACAUUCACAAUAACUCUUAGGUCUCAUGUUUACUCAUGUCAAUGGCAUAAUCAACUAGCGAGCGAUAAUAAUAAAUCUCGGAUGACAACACUUUCUCAAAACAAUCAUGAUAUGAUAUAACAAGAUGGUAUCUCGCUAGCCCUUUCUGAGACCGUAAAACAUAAAUGCAGAGCACCUUUAAAGAUCAAGGACUGACUAGACAUUGUAAUUCAUGGUAAAAGAGAUCCAGUCAUAGUCAUACCCAAUAUAAAUUAAUAGUAAUGAAUGCAAAUGACAGCUGCGCUCUCCAGCCAGUGCUUUUUAAUAAGAGGGUGAUGACUCAACAUGAAAGUAAAUAGAUAGGCCCUUCGCAGAGGGAAGCAGGGAUUUGUAGAGGUGCCAGAGCUCGAUUUUGAAAUAGAGAUAAAUAAUAUUUUGAGCGACAUACUUUCAUUGUCAACAUAACAACCAAGAGAUGGCGAUAUCUUCCAUGCUACACACAUUAUAGGCGGUUCCCAAUCAGAAUGGUAAAGUUUAUACUCCCCCUCCACCAACAAGCAUCAAUCCAUGACUUGCUCGAAACAACGAGUGUCUCCAACUAGCAACAGUCCCAGGGGGAGUUUUGUUUGCAAUUAUUUUGAUUUAGUUUGCAUAAAGCAUGUGACUAGGCAUCCCGGUGACCAGCCAUUUUCUCGUGAAUGAGGAGCGGAGUCCACUCCUCUUGAGAAUAACCCGUCUAGCAUGGAAGAUACGGACAGCCCUAGUUGAUACAUGAGCUAUUCGAGCAUACAAAACAGAAUGUUUAUUUGAAGGUUUAGAGUUUGGCACAUACAAAUUUACUUGGAACGGCAGGUAGAUACUGCAUAUAGAAAGGUAUAGUGGACUCAUAUGGAAUAACUUUGGGGUUUAAGGGAUUGGAUGCACAAGCAGUAUUCCCGCUUAGUACAAGUGAAGGCUAGCAAAAGACUGGGAAACGACCAACUAGAGAGCGACAACAGUCAUGAACGUGCAUUAAAAUUAAUAAACAUUGAGUACAAUCAUGAGUAGGAUAUAAUCCACCAUGAACAUAAAUAUCGUGAAGGCUAUGUUGAUUUGUUUCAACUACAUGUGUGAACAUGUGCCAAGUCGAGUCACUUAAAUCAUUCAAAGGAGGAUACCACCCCACUAUACCACAUCACAACCAUUUUAAUAGCAUGUUGGCACGCAAGGUAAACCAUUAUAACUCGUAGAUAAUCAAACAUGGCGCAAGCAACUAUGAUCUCUAAUUGUCAUUGCAAACAUGUUUAUUCAUAAUAAGCUGAAUCAGGAACGACGAACUCAUCAUAUUUACAAAAACAAGAGAGGUCGAGUUCAUACCAGCUUUUCUCAUCUCAGUCAGUCCAUCAUAUAUCAUCAUAAUUGCCUUUCACUUGCACGACCGAACAAUGUGAAUAAUAAUAAGAGUGCACGUGCAUUGGACUAAGCUGGAAUCUGCGAGCAUUCAAUAAACAGGAGAAGACAAGGAAAUAUGGGCUCUUGGUUAAAUCAACAAUAAUGCAUAUAAGAGCCACUUCAACAAUUUAAUCAUGGUAUUCUCCUACGACCCCCAAAGAAAAGAAAAGAAAUAAAACUAUUUACACGGGAAAGCUCCCAACAAACAAAAGAAGAACAAGAAAUCUUUUUGGGUUUUCUUUUUAAUUAUUACUACUACAGCAAGAAAAGUAAACUAACUAAAACUUACACUAUUUUUUUUGUUUUUCUUAAAGUUUAUUAAACACACAAGAAGAAAGCAGGAAAAAGAAAAUAAACUAGCAUGGAUAUUACAGUGAAAGAGUAUGAGCACCGACAUCUAGCAAUGAGUGUGUGAACAUGAAUGUAAUGUCGGUGAGAAGUACGUACUCCCCCAAGCUUAGGCUUUUGGCCUAAGUUGGUUUAUUGCCAAGGAUGGCCUGGCAGAUAUCCGUAGUUGUAGCUGGGGUCGUACUGAGAUGAAGAGGACUCUGACUGCCACUGGCUGGCAGUCAUCUCCGGAUCCCAAAAGUAAUCAAACUGUCGUGGAGGUUCAAAUUGUGGUUCCGGCUCCGGGGCUGGUGUAGGAUUCCGGUAAGCGUAAAUGGCCGCCCACGGAACGAGAUACAGACCUUCAGAUAAAUUAAACAAGGAAGGAGCAGUCAAGGUAAUAGUCUCAGGGUGAUGUUUAACAAAGAACAACUUGUAUUUAAGCUCCCCUUCCUUGUUCUUAACAAUAAAGUCAUGCGUUACCAUACUCUUAUAAUCUAAAUAAGCAUUGGGCAGCAAUUUUUUUCUUUCUCAUAGUGCCUAAUAGGUAUGUUAUAAUGUGCAGCAAGGCGUGAAACAUAAAUACCUCCAAAGAUGGGACCCUUAGUACGAUUCAAACUUAACCGUUUAGCAAUAAUACCGUCCAUACUAACAGUGUUAUCAGAAAAUAAACCAUGGAACAAAAUGAUAAUAUCAGGAACACUAAGGUUUCCACAGUUUCCACGACCAAUCAGGCAACGACUAGCAAAUAUGGCAAAGUAGCGUAAAACAGGAAAAUGUAUGCUAGUGAUUCUUUACGAUAGAGGAUCGCAACAGUUUUCGAGGAUAGAGUAUUCAACCCAAAUUUAUUGAUUCGACACAAGGGGAGCCAAAGAAUAUUCUCAAGUAUUAGCAGUUGAGUUGUCAAUUCAACCACACCUGGAUAACUUAGUAUCUGCAGCAAAGUAUUUAGUAGCAAAGUAAUAUGAUAGUAGUGGUAACGGUAACAAAGGUAACAGUAGCAAAAGUAAUAUUUUUGGUGUUUUGUAGUGAUUGUAACAGUAGCAACGGAAAAGUAAAUAAGCGAAGAACAAUAUAUGAAAAGCUCGUAGGCAUUGGAUCGGUGAUGGAGAAUUAUGCCGGAUGCGGUUCAUCAUGUAACAGUCAUAACAUAGCGUGACACAGAACUAGCUCCAAUUCAUGAAUGUAAUGUACGCAUGUAUUCCGAAUAUAGUCAUACGUGCUUAUGGAAAAGAACUUGCAUGACAUCUUUUGUCCUACCCUCCCGUGGCGGCGGGGUCAUAAUGGAAACUAAGCGAUAUUAAGGCCUCCUUUUAAUAGAGUACCGGAAGAAAGCAUUAGCACAUAGUGAAUACAUGAACUCCUCAAACUAUGGUCAUCACCGGGAGUGGUCCUGAUUAUUGUCACUUCGGGGUUGCCGGAUCAUAACACAUAGUAGGUGACUAUAGACUUGCAAGAUAGGAUCAAGAACUCACAUAUAUUCAUGAAAACAUAAUAGGUUCAGAUCUGAAAUCAUGGCACUCGGGCCCUAGUGACAAGCAUUAAGCAUAGCAACAUCAAUCUCAGAACAUAGUGGAUACUAGGGAUCAAACCCUAACAAAACUAACUCGAUUACAUGAUAGAUCUCAGCCAACCCAUCGCCGUACAGCAAGCCUACGAUGGAAUUACUCACGCACGGCGGUGAGCAUCAUGAAAUUGAUGAUGGAGGAUGGUUGAUGAUGACGACGGCGAUGAAUCCCCCUCUCCGGAGCCCCGAACGGACUCCAAAUCAGCCCUCCCGGGAGGUUUUAGGGCUUGGCGGCGGCUCCGUAUCGUAAAACGCGAUGAAUUCUUCUCUCUGAUUUUUUUCUCCCCGAAAGCAAAUAUAUAGAGUUGGAGUUGAGGUCGGAGGAGCUCCAGGGGACCCACGAGGUAGGGGGGCGCGCCAUAGGGGGCAGGCGCGCCCUCCACCCUCGUGGACAGGGUGUGGGCCCCCUGGUCUUCAUCUUUUGCAAGGGUUUUUUAUUAUUUCCAAAUAAACGUUCCGUGGUGUUUCAGGUCGUUCCGAGAACUUUUGUUUCUGCACAUAAAUAACACCAUGGAAAGUCUGCUGAAAACAGCGUCAGUCCGGGUUAGUUCCAUUCAAAAUCAUGCAAGUUAGAGUCCAAAACAAGGGCAAAAGUGUUUGGAAAAGUAGAUACGACGGAGACGUAUCAGAUCGCAACAUGGUAUUGUAAAGCCGCAAAUUCAUACAGACGGUACGGUCAGGUAUGACAAGCUUAAACCUCGGUUUGGAGGCUUAACGACUACUGGUGAGCCAAUUAGUUUACAUGAAGCUUUGAGUGACACAAAAUGGAAAAUGGCUAUGAAUGAUGAGUAUGGUGCUCUUAUUAAAAAUAAGACGUGGCAUCUAGUUCCACCAACACAAAACAAGAAUGUCAUUGAUUGUAAGUGGGUCUAUAGAAUUAAGAGAAAAGUAGAUGGUCAAGUUGAUAGGUAUAAGGCAAGACUAGUAGCCAAAGUUUUUAAAGAGAGAUAUGGUAUAGACUAUGAAGAUACCUUUAGUCCUGUUGUUAAGGCAGCCACUAUCAGACUUGUUCUCUCUGUUGCAGUGUCAAGAAAUUGGAGCCUAAGGCAAUUGGAUGUAUAGAAUGCGUUCCUUCAUGGCGUUCUAGAGGAAGAAUUCUAUAUGAGACAACCACCUGGGUAUGAGGUAAAAGGAAAGGAGAGUUAUCUCUGCAAGCUUGAUAAAGCCCUGUAUGGACUAAAACAAGCACCUAGGGCUUGGUACUCCAAGUUAAGUGAAAAACUUCAAAUACUUGGUUUCAAAUCAUCCAAGGGAGAUACUUCUUUGUUCUUCUACAGGAAAGGAAAUAUCACCAUUUUUAUGUUGGUUUAUGUUGAUGAUAUUAUUGUUGCUAGCUCAUCACAAGAUGCAAUUGUAGCAUUACUAGAAGAUCUUAAGAAGGAUUUUGCCUUGAAAGAUUUGGGUGAUCUGCAUUACUUCUUGGGUAUUGAGGUGAGAAAGGUAAAAGAUGGAAUACUUCUCACUCAAGAAAAAUAUGUCUUGGAUAUGCUUAAGCGUGCGGGAAUGGUAAAUUGUAAAGCUUCAAACAUGCCUCUCUCCACGUCAGAAAAGCUAUCAAGAGAAGAAGGGGAGCCUUUGGGGGCCGAGGAGUCAACAAAAUACAGGAGCAUGGUAGGUGCUUUGCAGUACUUAACACUGACAAGACCUGACAUUUGUUUCCCUGUUAACAAAGUAUGCGAGUACUUGCAUUCUCCCACCUCUCAACAUAUGACAGCUGCUAAGAGAAUUUUGAGAUAUCUCAAGGGUACUAUGAGUACGGGUCUGAAAUUUACUAAGUCAACUUUCAAUGUUGUUAGUGCUUUCUCUGAUGCUGACUGGGCAGGAUGUCCAGAUGACAGAAGGACAACAUGAGGAUUCUGUGUGUUCUUCGGUCCAAAUUUGAUCUCUUGGAGUGCACGUAAGCAAGCUACCGUCUCUCGGUCUAGUACAGAGGCAGAGUACAAAUUUUUAGCUAAUGCCACUGCUGAGAUUAUUUGGGUUCAAACCUUGCUACGUGAACUUGGAGUUAUGCACUCACCAGUUGCACGUCUCUGGUGUGAUAAUAAUGGUGCUACAUAUCUGUCAGCAAAUCCAGUGUUUCAUGCUAGGACAAAACACAUAGAAGUGGACUAUCAUUUUGUUCGAGAGAGAGUAGCUAACAAAUUGCUGGAUAUCCGUUUUAUUCCCACAGGUGAUCAAGUUGCAGAUGGAUUUACCAAAGCUUUAUCAUGGAAGAAGUUAGAAGACUUCAAGGGCAAUCUCAACUUGGUGAAGCUGUGAUUGAGGGGGCGUGUUAGAAAGAGUUAUGUAUACGGUAUACGGUAUUGUAUAAACCGCAUAUACCCGUAGAGAGGUAGAUCGCGUGUGUGUGUUCUGUUGUAAUCUAGGUAGUUAGGUUGUUAGGGUUUAUCCUCAUAUCUUGUAUAGGUUUUCUUGAGGAUCAACCCAUAACCUAACUACCGCACCUUGUAUCUUAUCCUUGGCUAUAUAACACGUACGCGUCCCUAUCCAAAGGCAUACGGUUCCACGCAAUCUUUCAGGGAGGGGCGACACGGCGGCGCUGUCAAUUCCCUGCAUAAUCUACAGUGAUCAUUCAUUUUCAGCGUUUUUUUUUGGAACACCAAUGCACAGGCACCGUCUGUUAUAUCUAAGCAACGACCCACAACGGACAUAUGAAACAACAUAAUCUACACCCCAAAUGGAGCGACCUUGUUUCCAAUUAAGAUUUAUAUAAUCUACAGUGAUCAUUCCUACUGAAUCGGCAGCAACAGCAGCAGCAGAUAAUAAUAGUACUAGGAGUAUUGUGCACUACAGCAGAUCAAUCGUCAAGAAAGAUCAGAACAUAGUUUCAGGGCAAUGAUAACUACAGCAUGCUAACCAUAUACUGUAUUAAAUUACAAUAUGAGGGUAAUUUGCCACUUCACCUUGUGACCUUCAGCAGCCAGGUUCUCCUCUACUGAAGGUGCCUCUGGUGAGAUAGUAAUGCUCUGCUGUGCCUGCACACCUUCAGCUCCAUAGCUCCCUCCAACUGCAGCUGUUGUGUAGUAGUCUGAUGCCAUUAUCCUGUCCAGCAUAGCCGUCACCGCACCAUCUACAACCAAAAGCCACAUCUUUCAGUCAGCAAUCAUUUCCAAUCAAACAAGAUAACAAAUCUACUAUAUCAAUAACACUCACAAGUAACAGAGGAGCCAAGGUGUCAUCGGCGUGGGCGAGCCAUAAGCGGGCGCCACAGGCCUGGAGGGCGUCGCGGUGGGAGAUACUCACUGCUGAAGCAGGGCGGGCGGAAUACCGCGUUAUAGCGUAUUGAGAAUUGUCUCGCUAAAUAUAUUGAUGUACAACGUCUUGCUAAUAGCACGCUAUAGCGCGAUAUAGCAAGCUAAUAGCAUAUUUUUAGGUCGCCGCUAUUUUGCUGUAGCGCGCUAUUUUUUUCAUUACUCCUUGGAGGCGCUUGAGCUCGCCAAUUAUGGUGGUGAAGCUGGGCUUGGAGCGCAUCACCUCCUUCUGCUCUUGGUUAAUCCUCUGGCCGACGGCGGCCGCCUCAUCCAUCUGUGUGAUGCGGUUCUGCUUCUUGCGCACACACCACAAGAGGUCACGGCCAUGACGACCGUGCGCCGCCAAGGUCGACGACCACAGCCACGGCAGCAUGGGACAAAAGCCAGGAUGUGGCGCUCGGGGCAGUGCAUAGACGACGCCGGGGAGACCAUGUUAAGGCGUGGGAGUGUUGAAUCCACUUGGUAGAGAAGGUAGUGUGGGCUGAGAUGUGCAUGAGGGGUGCAGGAAAGCGACGGUUCUCACCGGCGGCGGUUGGAAUUGACCGGCGGCCGUGAGGUGGAGAAGGGGAUCGAGGACAACUUCUGUGAGAGAGUUCAGGAGGGAGGAGAAAAUGAGAGAGAUGGAGGAGAGAACACACAGACACAAGGGGUGCCGCCCGGCGCGUGGCACUGUGAGCUGGCCGUCCCCAAUAAGGUAGAAAAUGAGCCUGUUUAUUACUCCCUGCUACUUUGUCUAUACGAGUAUUUUUUUACCCCUUAAAAAAAUCUAUAUCUUUUUCUAAGAAAAUACUUUACUUUAUAUAUCUAUUAUAUUGUCGAAAAUACAAAGGUGAACAUGGGUGCGCGCGCACCCACAUGAAUAGUAAAUUCAUAAAAAAUACUAGAAAAAUUUAAAAAAUUCUGAAAUUUUGCCGUAUGAAUCUUAGACGAUCAUUCUACUCACGUGUGAAGUUUCAUGAUGUAUUUACACCUAUGGUAUUCUUAGUGAAGAAAAUAGAAAUGCGACCAUACUAUUCAUUAAACAGUGUUUUUUAAUAUAGCUUCGAUUACCUUCGAUUUUGUCAUUUUUGCCAAGAUUAUCACGGAUGUGAUUUCUUCGUGAUACUUCAUAUGCGAGUAUACCGAUUGACUAUGUAUAUUAAAAAAAAAUUCAGAUUUUGAUUUUUGCUAGCAUUUUUUUGAAUUGGCUAUUCAUAAAGGGUGCGCGCGCACCCAUGUUCACCAAAUCCGCGUCCUUAUAUUGUAUACUUACUAAUAAUAUAAUGUUCACUUAGAGGUUAACAUCAAGGAUGUGGCGGUGAUGCUCAAAGGUAGGCGGGGUUAGAAGAUGCAAAUAAUGUGGCUAACAUUUUAGCACGAGAAGGUGUUAUUAGUAACGAGGUGUGUAGGGUGUGGGUUCAGGACCCAUCGGAUUGUAUUAUGGAAACUGUAUCAGACAAGAUUACUAAUGCAUUUUUUAAUAAGUAAAGUGGCUUAUUGUUGUAAAAAAAAUGCAGCUCUCGGGCAAGCCGUUGAUCGAUCGGGCUCUGCUCCUUAGCAUGUCCAAUGGGCUACAGAUCGUGUCCUGAAAUACGUACUGCUUCUGACGCCCGACAAAACCAUAGUUGUUGAAAUUCUAAUGCAAGGCCUGCUUCCUGCUGCGCUGGGGAUUUUUCUAUGUCUAUGUUGAGUUGUCGGUGAAACUAAGAAUGUUAACGAAAAAAUAAAUAUCAUAUAUGACUUUGUUUUUAACAAGAACCGUGGCCAGCCCCAAACACUAUUUUAGUACAAUAUUUUUAAAAUCUAGAAAAUAUCCAAAUAUCCCCACUCGAACAAGCCCAAAAAUAUAAUAGUUGUUGCGAAGGUAUGCUAUCUCUCUCCAAAUUUUCUGAGCGGUAUUGGCUAAACUUUACCGAGUUCCUAAUUUCUUUUAAGGAGAAGUUUGUAAUUCUAUUUUGUUUCAUGGAGGAAAGUAUGUUGAUGUAGGUAAAGAAAUAUUCUAUAAGAUUAGCAUGUCCUAUUUCGAUAAUUUUGGACCUUAAAAAAAUUGAUUAAAAUUUGCAUGAACAACGAAUGUAUUUUUGCACAUAUUAUUAUAAAUAAACUUGAAUAUAAACGGUUUUUUCCCGUUGCAACGCACAGGCAUUUGUGCUAGUUUUAAAAAUGAAAUAAGGAUAGUAACUGCAAGGCAAACUAUUGACAAGUCAAAAGAUUGUGACAAGAAGAGAAAUCGGAAAGGAAAAAAAAAAGCUUAGCCGUUUUUUUUUAUGGUAGCUUAGCCGUUUCGGAACAAACUAACUGUGCUAGUGUAGUCCCUGUUCGCAGGUUGAGGUGUUUUUCACAAGGGAUCGGGACACCUCGACAUUUUUCUUGGUGGAGAGUAAGAUAAAAUAACAUGGGUAAAAUUUACAUUGAAAUUCCUAGAGUAGAGUUGGGCUCUCAAUUUAAGGUUGUAAACUCUGUUAAUUUUAUAGAUUAGAAAGUCAAAUAAUGAAAUAGAAAAAGGCUCUCCCCUGUUGACCACAACUUUCUUUUCUCUCUCUCAAGGUGACUAGGGAAAUCUUUCAACUCCUAGAUCUUCGACGAUGAGCCCAUGGAUUCACCUUCUCUCUACCAGCCGCUCCAGCAGCCGAUGGUGGUGAGAAAAAUCCUAGUGCCUCGGCUCGGGCUAGUUGAUAUGUUAGUAUUUUAGUCCUUGCAGAGACGUCGCUCGGGCGGAUGGUCAUGCUUCUUUUUCGAGUCAAUCUUCUUGGCUUCGAUCCUCCUUAAGUUUGUCCAUCAAGACGGAUUAGACGAAGCUCUGAUGUAGAUUCCUGCAAGCUCCUCGGGGCUAUGAGAUUUGGAUUUCUUGUCGUCUGUGCGUGUUUGCAAAAGUUUGGUAUCAGGUUGCUCAGAUCGAUCCAAGUGUUCAAUAGCAACAACUGUGGCUCCGGGGUGCUGGCCCUUAGGGGCACGUGCCUGAAAACUCCUAGUUGACAUUAACAAGGUCAGGCAAACUCCGGUAUGGGAGCGAAGAAGCUAGCAGUGCGUCAACGGCUUGUUCUGGCAACCGCAGUUGUCGUUUGAAGGUCCAGAGACUUUGAUAUAAUUUUUAUUAUGUUUAGGGUACUUUGUAUUGGGUACAAUUUUAUAAUACCACAUGAGAAUAAUUUCCACAAAAAUAAUAAUGACGAUGAAUAGGCAAAAUCUUGUUGAGCAAAUAUGAUAGUAAUCCACAAACUCUACAUGAUUGACUAGUUUGUUUAACAUGGUACAGACAUAGACGCUUAUACAUACACACAUAUACUCAUCCCUAUAAAUGUACACAUGCAUACUCUACCUCUACGAGCAGAGACUGAGCCGGCACAUCAUUUUGAGAUUGAUGAAGUCGCAACAGAUACCUUCGUGAACGCACAUUGCCGGAAGGUCUGAAAUAAAUCGAGCAAAGUGUGAGUACCGAUGUCAAAUCUAAGACUUGAACCCUGAUAGACUAAUCAUCUCACAACAGGUUGGUUCGCAUGUUUGACUAGAUUAUAAAUGUAUGCCAGCAUAAAAGCACGAGUUCAUCAGGAAAAAAACAAAGGUAUCAUUUUACAGUUAAAAAAGAAAGCAUGAGUUAUGUUUGAUCAAAGCAUCAAGACCGUUAAAAAAGAAUCGAUCCGUAAAUGUUCUUCACCAGAAGCGCCGGCAAAAUGGACAAAAUUGACCUAUGGGCGAUACAAUUUCACAAAGUGAACUGUGAGUGAAAAAUUUCACCCAACUGACCCUUUUGUGUGGCGCCUGACAAGUAGGCGCUGCACUACACUGUGUAUCGCCUUACUGACAGGCACGAUACAUCUGGCCAGCGUGGCACCCCGGGCCCCACUCCUGAUAGUGCAACGCCUAGCUGAAAGGAGCUGCACAGUGUAGUGCAUCAUGCCAAGUUUGUAAAUUUUAAUAGAUUCUGUCAGUUAUAUUAUGUUGCACUUUUGCGACAGGGUUUUCAUCAACCAAAUUGAUCCUAAAAAAGAUGAAAAUGCCUCCAUUGCGUAGAACACGUAAAAAUGCACAACAUUCAUAUAAGGCACGUUUUCAUCGGAUGCAUGGAUUAAAAGUUGCAGCUCCUUUCAGUUAGGGGCUGCACUACACCGUGCAACUCCUUUCAGCUAGGCGCUGCACUACACUGUGCAGCUCCUUUCAGCUAGGUGCUGCACUAUCAGGAGUGGGGCCCGGGGUGCCACACUUGCCAGAUGUGUCGCGCCUGUCAGUAAGGCACUACACACUGUAGUGCAGCGCCUACUUGUCGGGCGCCACACAAAAGGGUCAGCUGGGUGAAAUUUUUUCACUCACAGUUCACUUUCUGAAAUUGUUUCGCCCAUAGGUCAAUUUUGUCCAUUUUGCUGAAAGCGCUCUACUGGAGGGACAGAAGCUGGUGGGCCGUACGGGCUGUCCCAAUACACCGUGCUAACACGCACAUUUUGGCUGGUUUCGCUGCUCCCCACACCACUCGCACGCCGGUUUCGGCUGAAAACCACCGUCACCCCGGCCACAGGUUACAUUCUCGCAGACGGGUUUGCAACCGAGGGUCCGUAUAAAUUCACAACCCUUCCCAAGCAUUCCAUCUCACCUCACCUCUCCGCACUCUCUCGUGCUCCCAGUAGAUUUCUUCUCUGGCUGAUGUUAUGUCGAUUAGAGCAUCUACAGUCGGACUUGAUAAAUCUGGCCCCUCAAACGUCCACGGAAACGAUCGGGCACACCUGCGGGAGCAUCCGGACGGGCCCUCAUAUUUUCUUUCGGGCAUCCACAUAUCUUAAAUCUGGACUCUCAAAUCCAUGCAAAUACAUGCACGUCGAUCAUGCAACACAAUGUCGCACGUAAAUAGCAAUUGUUGGUAUCAAGCAUAGAUAGCGUUUACAUAAAAUUUAUUUAAAGUGUCAAACUCAAGCAUUGCCUCCUUUGUUACCAUUGUGGAUCCACAUGUGCUCCACAAGAUUAUUGAGUAGCUGCGUGUGCACCUGCUAAUCUCGAAGAUUCUGAUGCAUCUGCAGAAAGUUCAAAAGCUGAGCCGCAUCUUGAUUUUUCGAGAUUUCAACUUGUUCUCCGGAUGCUUCGAAAUCAUGGGUUUGGGCUACACCAUGACCCUCAUCCCUGACAAUCAUAUUGCGCAGAAUAACACAACAUGUCAUCAACUGCCACAAAGUUUCUGAUUCCCAUAUCAUUGCAGCGCUCCGCACAAUUCCCCAACGAGCCUGAAGGACACCAAAUGCCCUCUCCACGUCCUUCCUAGCCGCUUCCUGCAUUGUUGCAAAGUGGCUCUGUUUAUUGCCACGCGGCUCGGAUAUGUUCUUCACAAACUCCACCCACUAAGGAUAGAUACCAUCGAUAAGAUAGUACCCCAUGUUGUAGUCUCAGCCGUUGACGGUGUAGUUGCACAGCGGUGAUUCCCCAUUGCAAAGCCUCCUAAACACUGGAGAUCGUUGAAGCACCUUGAUGUGUGAGAACCGGGCAUUCCAAAGAAAGCGUGUCAAAUCCAUAACUCAUGUGAUGCCACCGCUUCUAGUACGAUGGUGGCCUCUCUCGUGUGACCUUGAUACCUUUCCCGCAGACCUUUGGGGCAGUUCUUCCAUUGCCAAUGCAUGCAAUCAAUUGAUCCGAGCAUUUCUGGAAACCCCCUUGCCUCUCCAAUAGCCAAUAACUUAUCUGUCCUGCGUAUUUGGUUCUCUGAGAUACUCAGAUCCAAACACCUCCACCACACGCGCGGGCAAACUUGACAGUAGUCUUCAGACACGUUCUCUCUCCAUCUUGACCAUCUCACCAACUACGUCUGCAACAGUACCAAGUGCAAGCAUCCUCAGAUCAGUCGUGCACUUCUGCUUGGCCGAGAAAGAGAGUUGGCCGCCGCAAUCCCUUAUGAGCUUGAAGUAGUUGUCAUGUGCCUCCACUCCCUCCACAAUGCACAAAAACAAUGGUUUCGGCAUGCAAAAAGGGUGGCGAAACCAUGGAUCAUCCGGGAAAGCAGGUUUGGGAGCAAAAUAGUCAUUGUGUAGUAGCUUUGCUCCGGACACCCUGUCCCGGUUGAUCACUCUUCUCCCUUUGAUUAAGCCCUUGAAGCUGAGAAUAUGCUCCACUUACCGGUCAAUUUUCUCUUGCAUGCUCAUGAGCAUGAUCAUGUCCACUUCUCGUCUGAAUCCGACGAAUCGAAGAACUCAUCUUGAAUCAUUUGGUCAAGCUCCGUCGGUCCAUACUCCUCGUCCGACGAAGCAUCGGAAUCCAUCAUUUACCUAACCAAAUCACAAAAGUUUCGGUCGGACAAUGUGUCAAACACAUCAAGCGCAAGGCAGAGCCGGAGAGUUGCCGGACAUACCACGGUGGCGUAAUCGGGCCGGCGACGACGACCCCCGUGGCGAGGACGGGAUCAAUUUUCCGGAUCUGGCGAUGGAGAGCCUGGGAACGGCUGCGGGGCAGGCGUGGCGGCGGAGCGCGAGACGGAUGGCGCAGAGGAGGAAGAAGAGAGGAGAUGGCAAAUGAAUCCUGCUGGUCUUCGGGGUGGAUUUGGUGUAAUUUUGGGUAGGGUCGGGCUGUCGGGUCCGACGUGGUGGGCAUGCCUGGCGCGCCCGGGCGCCCCCAUAUCCGUCCCAUAUUUGGGCUGGAUAUGGAGGGUGCCGGUCAGCCCGGACGUUUGAGAGCCGUUUGGGCGGCCCGCCCGGGCGUAUAAGGUGGGUUUGAGAGGUCCGGCUUUAGAUUGUGAGGCCUUAAAAAAUAAGGAGCUUUGAGAAUAAUAUAAAAGAAUUGAAUGGGAAAGCUUAUAGAAUUUUUUUACCCGGUCAAAAUCGGUGACCAAAUCUUAAUUGAAGACUUCAAUUGAAUGUGGGCUCUUAAAAACUAGGGAACUUAGUGUUAUAGAGGAUGUGGCCAUGCUCUCCAUCUUUGUAUCUUUCCAGACAUCUUUAAUUAAUAACAACUACUACCUCCGUUCCUAAAUAUUUGUCUUUUUAUAUAUUUCAAAUGGACAUAUUUUAGAGUGUAGAUUCACUCAUUUUGCUUCGUAUGUAAUCACUUGUUAAAAUAUCUAAAAAGACAAAUAUUUAGAAACGGAAGGAGCAGGAGUAUUUUUUUCGUACAACUUUGGUUCAAGUGCAUUCACUCAUCUCUUUUUUUUUCUUGUCUGCGAUUACCACUUGACAUGCGUCAGAGCAUUGCAAAAGACCGAGAUAACACUAGACUACUAGUUCUGUCUCUCCUCUGUUCUUCCCGAAAUGCACGUGACUACGUGAGGAUCACGCCACCUUAUCUCACACUUUAAAUCUUUUGAUACAGUUUAUUGGAUGCCUGGAACAUUUAGCAGUUUUGAAACAAGCUUUCUGUACCAGUGGAUGUGUUUCUCGAGACCAGAGACACCUCGACAUAUUUCCUGGUCACGAGUUAAUAAUAUACUCCCUCCGUUCCUAAAUACUUGUCUUUCUAGGCAUUUCAAAUGAAUAUCACAUACUGAUGUAUGUAGACAUAUUUUAGAGUGUAGAUUCACUUAUUUUACUCCGUAUGUAGUCACUUGUUAAAAUACCUAGAAAGACAAGUAUUUAGAAACGGAGGGAGUACAUUCUUAUCGCAUCCCCGUGUAAGUGUGCAUGUGAGAUAUUCCAAAAUAUGAUAACAUGUGUACAAUAUACAAAAGUUCCUAGAGUUGGGCUGGAUUUACAUAAGAGCUUUACAACCGAAGCUCCCAUAUCCGUCCAAAACUUCUCAAAUGCUUAAUCAGAUCUGUCCGAGUAACUAUGGUAAUGUCUAAAGGCAAUUGAUAGUCAAACAUGUCACUAAAUUGUCAAGCUACCAUCGGACAGGCGAUCGGUGUGACACCCGUGCCGAAUCUUCAACAACAUCAUGAAGCUAUUGGGUGGCACCAACCUACGCAACGUAGCAUAGCAUGACCACACUAUUCGAAACACAAAAGGGAAUCACAAAACAACACAAGAAAAUGGUUUAUUUCUUUACCCGAUGGGAGAAAUGACACUUUCACCCGGCUCCAGAGGCUGCCUUCCCUCGCCGCCAUCAAGAUCCAGGCGAAUAGAGGCCGUGUGCAGCCAUGGCAGAUGUUGUUUCUCAGUUAUGUGUAGAGUCUACAUUGGUAGACAGGUUGGUCGCUGCCCUGUGUGUUAUCAUGUUCCAUGAUGGUGGCGUGUUGUUACGUUUCUUGCCCAGCUACUUAAAACCAAACAUUUGCUUCCUUUUUAAUUAAUCAAAAUGACAAAUCUUUUGCAUUGUUUUAAAAAAGAGACAACAAAUGUUUACUGGAGGGGGAUGGCAAGCAAAUUAUCUUUGCUGGCAGUUUUAGUUGUAAAACAAGAUCGAACGACGACGUUUUAAACGAAAAUUGUUUACAAAGGGAAAUUGCCAUGUCGUCUGAAUAAACUGUCAGCUCUCCUCCCUCGCUCUCAACUAAAUUUGCCGGACGAACAUUCGCAAAUGCCACCCUCCCUGGUGAAGGUUCGCCAGUUAUGGACGUUCAAAACAAAUGCAAAUCAAUCUAACUAUCAUGUACUCCGCGGAACGACGUCGGCCAAACAAACAAAUGUUUUGCACAUAACCACAGGCGGAAUGGGCCGGAUGGACGAUGCAGCUAGCCGAGCUUGUCAGGCCGACUUCCUUACUGUCUACUACAACAAGUUUUGUCCGGCUCUGGCGAGGGAGGGACGAUGACGGCGGCGCGCCUUCGCCUCGCUCCAGUGCUUAUAGUUCUCGCUAGAUGGUCCACAGAUCUGAAUGUACUUUUUAUUAUUUCUGAUGUUCGUUGCACUAUCAUGUUUAAAUAUAAAUAAAUCAGAAUUUUCUACAAAUAAAAAGAAGAGCUUGCCAGGCCGAAAACUAGGAGCGCCCACACAAAAAAACAUAUUUGAACCGGAACGGAGUGCACGCUGACAGACACUGACUCCACUCAAGCACGUGCUCCUACGUGUUAUCCUACGCAGAGCCAACCCCGAUGGAUCUAUCCAUGCCUCCUCUUAUCCACCUGUGCUCUGCCGCAGCGCCGGCCAUCCCGCCCGCCCGCCGGUACCGGCGCUCGUCUCAAAACCGCGGUCUCGCUUCCCACCGUAUCAAAUCGCCUUUCUCCCCGCCCGCCGGUUCUGCGGUUUCCUGCAACCUAUAAAUCCAGCCGGAGAACCGCACCUGUCUAUCCAUCUCAUCUCACUCACACACUACUACUACGGAUCUCAGCCAGGAGUACUCGAGUUCACUAGCUAGCUACUAGUUCACUUCCUUCGGCACCAAGCUCUCUCCGGCGAAGAUGUCCACGGUGACCCGCUCCUACCUCGACCAGAGGCUCGCCGCCGCCCAGCGCUGCUCCAAAGGUACUAACCAAAACGAUAUCAUGGCCCGCCGGUCCUCAAGGGCACAUUGCAGCUUUCUGUACUGUCUCUGCUGAAACUUGAUCAUAACUAAAAUGUCUCUGUUGAUCCGGAACUGCAGAGGCUGCCAUGGCGGGAGCCAAGGCCGCGGCCGUCGCCACCGUCGCUGCCGCAGUCCCCACCGUAAGUAGCCAUUCAGUUCUUAGGCGAAAUCCUUGCACGGUUCAUAGCAUGUCUCAUGAAUGCGUUGCCUGUACUGUAAUUUCAGCUGGCGAGCGUGAGGAUGCUGCCGUGGGCGAGGGCGCACCUCAACCCCACCGGGCAGGCGCUCAUCAUCUCCACCGUCGCCGGGAUGGCCUACUUCAUCGUCGCCGACAAGACCAUCCUCUCCAUGGCCAGGAAGCACUCGUACGAGACGGCGCCAGAGCACCUCAAGAACACAUCCUUCCACUAAUUAGACACUUGAUUAGCCAGUGCCAAUAAAGUGUGUACGCAGGCCCGUACGUGUCUUCUGAAACAUAUAGUAGUAUAAUGUUGAGCGAGGCGAUGGUUGCUGUGCGGAAAGGUGGUGUAUAACCCUUUUCUGCGAGCAAGCACUAAUUAUCUGAUGAUUUAUGAUGUAGUACUCCAUAAUAAUGUGGCCAUGUUCCCCAUCGUACUAGUAUCUUUCCAAAGGUCAUGAAUCAAUAACAACCAUAGUUUUGAUUUUGUACAACUCUGCUUCAAGUGCGCAAAAGACCGCCUACUCCUGCCCUGUUCUGUUCCGAAAUGCACGUGAGCAUCAUGCCGCUUCAAGCACACGUUAAGUCUUCUGCUAUGGUUUUGAAAGGAUGUUUUUGAAAAUAAAAAAUUAGCCAUUUUGGGACAAGCUUUCUAUACUACUACAUCCGUCCUGGUUUAUUGGUGCUCUUCGUAUUUUAUGCUAAAAUUUGAUUAUAGAUUUAACUGACAAAAUAUUAAUGCAUGUCAUAAAAAGUUAUAUUGUUACAUUCGUAUUUGAACAUAAUUUUCAAUGAUGCUAUUUUUUGUGACAUGGAUUAACAUUUUGUUACUUAAAUUUAUGGUCAAAAUUUGGCACAAAAUAUUAAGGAGACCGAUAAUCCAGGACUGACGUAGUAGUGGUGUACCCCGUGGGUUUGAGGUGUUUGUCCCCAGAGACCGGGACACAUCAACAUUUUUCUUGGUCGGGAGUCAGAUGAAAUGCAUUCAUAUCAUAUCCGCGUGUAAGUGUGCAUUGUCUAAAUACUUGAAAGAAAACCGACAUGUCUAGAAAACGCAUUGAAGUCCCUAGACUUGGGCUCAAUUUAAGGUUGUAAAACUAUGUGCAUUGAACUAGUUCAAUAAUAGCUUAUGACAAAAUGCUUGUCGGAGAAAUGGAUGUAUGUAGACGUAUUUUAGUCCAGAUGCAUCCGUUUUUAUCCAUUUCUCUGACAAGUAUUUCCAGAGGAUGGGAGUACGAAAUAGGCAAACUCUCCUGGAGCAAACAUUUUUUUUAUGAAACACAAUUGUGUUGCAUUUCAUUGAUGAUGAAGAGGAAACAUUACCAUUUACCAAGCCCUGACUGAGCACACAAACACACGACAUCACACACACCAGCACCCCGAGGGCCAGUUCUUUUGAUGGCUUCUAGAAUAAGCUGGAAUAAACUGCCCUACCCAGCUUAUUCUAGAAUCCUAGGCUUCUAAAAAAAUAAAUUCGGUUGGGCUUAUAGAAUAAGCUCGGUAGGGGUAGCUUAUUCUAGAAGACCAAAAAAACCCACCAAAAGAAGAACUUGCGAUAAGCUCGAUAGCAGCACACUUGCACACCAACAACACACAUGACACAACAUAACUGCACUAGAGGCAAAGCAACAUCAACUCGGCUGUCGGCUCCAACGAUCUCGAAUCAUCAACCAAACAAUGGAGUUUACCGAUCUCCCUCGUCAUCUAACCAAGCAAAGCAAGUGCCUUUAGCAUUGGCUGUUUGGUUGCCACCCAACAACACCCUUCGAAGAGAGGGGAUGUGUCGUACAGGAAUGAGAUGAUAAAUAUAUGUCAGCAGAGCAAACAUAAUAGUAGAAAAACUCUACAUGCUUUUACUAGUUUAUAACGCUAGCAUAAAAACACAAGUUCAAGUUAAACAAAAUAGAUAUGUUAUUUUUUUAAGUUGAAAACAAGAGAGUAUGAUUCAUAUUGAUUUAUGCGCCAAGAUUGUUGAAAAAGAAUGAGGUAAAUACUCUAGGAGUGGCCAAAAAAAUUGCGCUCGAUGGUCACUUUGGUACCUAAAAUUGCAAAAUACAUGUUUCUGGUGUUCUGACUCACCACAUCGUGCAAAUAUGGUGCUUUUCCGUAUAUGAUCACUGACCACAUAUAAGGACGGACGCUCCACAUAACACAAAGUCUUUGGGUUCGUUAAAUAAAACACCACCUAUUGGUGUAAUCCGUUGCAACUAACUCUAAUCCAUCAUUUGAUUAUGUUCACAUGAUUUCUAAUAGGCGAGUCCCGCUUGUAACUGCACACCCGGCAAAAAAACAUGUCACAUCAGCCGACUUGGGCUAACUAAAAUUUCUAAUAUCCUCCAAAAUAAUGGUCAACAUUAAUUCAAAAUUUGCUAGAUCUAUACUUGGUACAUAUAUGACACAUUGGAAUUCUUUUACUUCAGAUGUUGAAUUUUGAAAGAAAAAAAAACUGAUUGAGGCAAUAAACUGUCAUAUCUCCAAAACAUGUGCAAGUAAUCUAAUAUUUUUCUUAAAUCAAAUCAGUUUUAGAUACAUACACAAUUCGUUGAUUUUUUUUAUUUUUUAAUGUAAACACCAAAACUGCCUUGUCAGAAUAAGUUUUGCCCAGCUCCGGUAAGGGAGGGGCGAUGACGGCGGCCCGCCUUCGGCAUGCUUCAGUGCUUAUAGUGGUCACUAGGUGGUCUAUAGAUUUGUAUGUAAUUUUUAUUAUUUCUGAUGUUCAUUUUACUGUCAUGAUUGAGGAUGAAUAAAUUGAAAGUUUUCUCGAAAAAAGAAAACUAAAGCUGCUCGGUAGUUCUUAUUGGCCGGCCGAUGACAAUGACAAUAAUUUUUUUACCACGUACGCACUUACAAGCUAGAUCCAAUCCUUUGAAAUCAUGUCAGCGUACAAACAUUGAAUUGUUGCGCAAAAGAAAAUCAAACAAUGAGUUAGAGCUUGUUGCAACAUGUUACACCAAUAGAUGGUACUUAGACCCUAAUAAAAAGAAAAUAGAUGGUAUUUAAUGCAACGAACUUAAAAAUGGAGAGCAGGUCUCACACAGAGGACUAGUCCGGACGGGCAGCACAUGCCGCCGGUUUGGCCCGAAAACCGGGGACCGCCGCUCGCCGACGGAGGAUAACGAGCGAAACCGGUGGCACCUGCUCUGCUCUGUUCCGUUUUUUUUAUCCUAGACAAGGAACAAACGCCUGAUGUAGCAAAAUUAUCUAUCUAUUGUGAUCAGAUAAGCACUGUGGUGGCUAACUUUAGAUCGAUCGAGAUCUCCCUUUUCUUGCCAGCUUUUGUUUGGUGGGUAAAGAAAGAAAGAAAGACGAGGGAAGGAGCAACAAACAAACAUCAUCCAAUCCUGUGGACUCCCAUACCACAGUUUUGGAUAGCCGGAAAGCGUGCUCUGCCCACCAACCCAGUUCAACACUCAGGCGAGUGAGCAGAGCAGCGCACCCACGGUUUGCAAUCAAAAAUCAAAACCGUGCGUGGCCGCCACCUUUUUGCUCGCUACAAAUACAUGGCCGGCUCCUCGUCUGGAAGCAUCAAGCAACAACCAGCCAGCCAGCCCAUCUCAUCCCAUCUCACUCGAUCACCGCACUCUUUGUGCUGAGCCGUUUCUGCACAAGAGAUCAUGGCGAAGAUGUCGUCGACGGCCACCGUCACCCGCGCCCACCUCGAGAACAAGCUCGCCCUCGCCAAACGCUGCUCCAGAGGUACAUAGUAACCAGCAGGAUCCACUUAUUUAGAGUUCUGUUCGGCCAAGUUGUGUAACCAUAGUCUGACACUAGCAAUGCAUUUCUUUUUCUUAAUGUUUCCCAGAGGCGACGCUCGCCGGAGCAAAGGCGGCGGCCAUCGCCACCGUCGCGUCUGCGGUCCCAACGGUGAGCUCCUCCGUCCGGGAUUUGUUGAUUUUCAUGCACGUUGGUCUGGUUUUCAUGACUGAACUGUUUAUCGUGCAGCUGGCGAGCGUGAGGAUGCUGCCGUGGGCCAAGGCGCACCUGAACCCCACCGGCCAGGCCCUCGUCGUCUGCACCGUCGCCGGGAUGGCAUACUUCGUCGCGGCAGACAAGGCCAUCCUGUCGCUGGCGAGGAGGCACUCGUACGAGAGCGCCCCCGACCACCUCAAGGACACCUCCUUCGCUGGCGCCGCCGCCGCCGCUCGUCCCCGUCCGCCGGCAUUCUUCAGGCCUUGAUCUAGCGUCCUGCUAAUGUAUGAUACGCACGCUUGUGCCCUUGUGCGUAUUCUAGAGAACAUGUGCUUUACAUCCGUGUACUGAAUAAAACUGAGGGCUCGAUAUCCUGGUUUCCGAUAAGCGGUGUACGACAGACUUCAUAUCUCGACGAAGAAGAUGGGAUCACAGAGCUAGCCGUGAGGCCGUGACUAUCACAGCAGAGAAUCUAGGCGGCCCGACACGUUAAGAUCCUAAAAUGUCGGUCGUUUGUUUACAGUAGAGGUACAUAAACCUGCGUGGUAACUUGAAACAAAUGCAAACAACUAGCCCACGAACUUGAGAUCCGAGUUCAAUUUCGUCCAAAAUCACCCAGACGCCAACACGUUGAGCUCUUUUUUCGGCUGUCCAUUAAGUGAGGCAGAUUGCCGGCCAUGGAGAGAAAAAUUCGAAAUACUUUCGGAAAUACUAACGCCCACACGUGUGGGCGUUUGCAUCUUGCCCACACGCGUGGAUCAACGUCCGUUUGUGUUUGCACGAAUCUUGAGAUGUUUUGCCAGAUUUUUUUAUGCCACGUAGGGCGGGGCUGGCGUGUGGGCGUUGGAGAGUUCGCCCACACGCCAGCAGCACGCGGUUUGCCAGCUGCGCCGUGUGGACGGACUAGUUUCUGUCCACACAGCCACCACCUAGUCCAUGCGCGUGUGGGCAAACUGCUUUUCGCCCACACGACGCUCGUACGUUGUUGGAUGACAACUGCAGUUACACGUACGUGGCAACUAGGUAACACAGAUGGCAACUAUGAUUUGUUGCUAGACGGCAACUGCAGUUGCGCGUACGUGGCAACCAGAUAAACACACAUGGCAACUGUGAUUAACCAUACAUGCCAACUAUGGUUGGACCACACGUGGCAACUAGAUAAACACACAUGGCAACUAGUGUUUGACCAUAUAUGACAAGUAGUUAAUCACACACGGCAACUAUGGUUUGAUUACACGCGGCAACAACAUAAAUUAGACAUGGCAACUAUAGUUAACCUAAACAGAUAGGGUUGCCAUGCUUUUACAACUACAUUUGCCAUCCCGGAUAACUACAUCUGCCAUCCCGGAUGGCAACUAAAUCGUCAUCCCGUGGGUACCUAACGUAGCUGCGCUAGGACGUGUGGGCAUUUUUACUUCGUGCCACACGCGCGGGGAUGAGUAAUACUUGUUGGGCGUGUGGCACGAAGUAGCUGCGCCCACACGUGUGGGUAAUUAUAAUGUUCGCCCACACACAUCCCCUUGGACUGCCUCCUGCUCAUGCUACACACGGUGUGUAGGCAGAUAUCUAAUAUGCCACACGUAUGGGCGUUAUCUGCGUCCAAUACUUUACUAUGAAAGAUACUUCGCACAAUAAAUACCAAGUCAACAUAAUUAUUUUACUACCAAUAAACUCUGCUGGCGGGUGAGGUCGCCGCUAACGACGUCCACCGAUUCCCUCGCCUGAUGAUGACCUGAGCAGCUGGAAGACGGCCCGCUGCCGAAGGUUCUCGCGGAGGCGGUGCGCGGCGAGGGCACGGUCCGGGACGAAGUGGCAGAGGCACCACUGCAGCCGGUGGCCGAGGUUGGGCAUGCAGACCGGGCGGCGGUGCCCGAUCCAGCGAGCGGCCGCGCCGGCGUAAGCGUCCGACGUCGGCAUGAUCAGCCGCGACAGGAGGCCUCCCCGCGUCACCAUGUUGGUCACCAUCUUCGUGUCCACGUACAGCGGGGCCUGGCACUGCACGUCGAUUCCUUUGCCCCUGUACUCAACGCAGAGGCUGCGGGAGAACUGGGAAACGUACCGCUUGGUGGCGGCGUAGACGGAGUAGAGCGGGUAGGAGGGCAGCGCCUCCGCCGCGCCUGAGCCGAUGUUGACGACGGCGCCCCUCCCGCGCUCCACCAUGCCGGGAAGCACGGCCGCCGUCACCUCCGUCACGGCCCACAGGUUCACCCGUAUCAUUCUCACCCACGCCUCUGCGUCGGCCUCGUGCAGGUACGUCGCAUGCGGCGUCGCCACGCCGGCGUUGUUCACCAGCACGCCCACCUCCAGCCGCUCCACCGCCUGCCGGAGCCGCCCCAUCGCCUCCUCCCCUGCCAAAACACGGUCGAUCAGUACAGCACGUACCAGUACCACGUACGGUAGUUCCUUGAGGAGUGCUGCGUGCGUGGUGCUUUCUUUCACCUUGAGGCGUGGAGACGAGCGAGAAGUCGAACUGCACGGUCUUGGUCAGCACGCCGUGGGUGUCGGAGGCGGUUCCGGCGAUGUCCUGGAGCGCGCCGGGGUCGCGGCCGACAAGGACGAGGUUGAGGCCGCGCCGCGCGAGCUCGAGGGCCAUGGAGCGGCCGAUGCCGGACGUCGGGCCGGUGACGACGGCCCACGCCCCGUAGCGGCGGCGUAGGUCCUUGGGCCCGCGCAGGCAGAGCGCGAGGCCGGACGUGUGGAGGAGGCGGUACGCGACGGCUGCGACGUAGAGGGCGCCGAGGAUGGCGAGCGAGACGAACCAUGGCUCCUGCUGCCGGAGCAGAGCGAGAGCCUCGGCGCACAUCCUCCCCCACGCUCUCUCUCUCUCUCUCUCUCUCUCUCUCUCUCUCUCUCUCUCUCUCUCUCUCUCGCGUGCGCUGGCUCACCUGCGCGUGCUAAUGAAGUGUUGUACGGCCACCAACGCCAUACUUACUCCUACCAACAAACUACCUGGUGUUGUGGGUCUGCUUCACAUUGAUCAUCAGUCAACGAUUGAUUACAGGCCGGACCGGACGGAUAUUGAUGCCGCAAGACUCACCUCUUUUUACCUGAACUAGUUUAAUGCCCGUGCGUUGCCACGAAAAGUAAAAAAAAAUGUAGUGAUCAACAAGUAAUAUAAUUCUCUCGCAAAAAAAGUAAUAUAAUUCAGAAAUGUGAUGGCUAGUGGUUUUUAUUCAUAUAGCGAAAACCUUUUUCUCUCUCCGGCUCGUUUCUUCUCGGCAAUUCACGUGUCUCCGAAAGCACCCUUCCCUUGCACGCAGAUGAAGAGACAUUUUUCUUGUCGCCCCUCCACCAACAUUCUCGCUGCUUUGUUCGACCGAGCGGACAGGUGACAGAAAAAUCGAAUUUGGGAGGCGGCAUUGGUGGAUAGGAUGAGGAUUAGGAAGGAGAUGCAGUAGCCGAGAAGAGAAGAAAUAUUUCAGGCAUUGGAUGUAGGUUUAGGUUUAUUGCCCACCAUUGAAAUUUAGAAGAUGACAAAUCAGGAAUACUCCAGAAUUUCAAUUACCACCAUACCAAAUGUUACAGCACACUACUGAAUCCUGGCCCCUUUCUGAACUUUCACAAUCAAAAGUUCGAAUAAACACUUAGACAAAAAUUCACAUUUUUUCACACUCCGUGAUCUGUGGCCUGAGUAGUACUCCCUUCAUUCCCUUAUACAAGGCCACAAACUCAUAUUACAGGUACCAAGAUAAAAUUUAAUGACUCAUUUGCAAGUCAACUUUUCUUUUCGUUAACCGGGAUCAUUAAUGCACCACAAGCAUGCAACGAAUGAAUGGGAAGGAAGUGGUUGAGUGUCAUUAUGACUACAUGCAUGUAAGUAUUAAAAAGUUGCUAUUACGAGGAAAUAUCAUUAAUUUUUGCCUCGGUUACUGUUGGUGGCCUUGUAUUGAUGCAAAACGUAUUUUUGAUAGUGGCCUUGUAUAAGGCUGCUCCCAAUGGACCGGUGCUUAGAUGGGGUGCUAAGCAUAUUAAAUAGCUUAGCAACCAAACUCACCAAUGCAUAGAUGCUUAGCUUCUUGUAGCUAAGCUCCCUUCAUUUAAUGAUUUAGCUACUAAAUUCUCUCAUGCAUUGGUGAGUUUGCUUCAUUUAAAUGUUUUGCCUAGGUUCGCGCGCUUGGCAUUGGUUCUUCCUGGGGCCAUCAAACCCAUCUCUCUCCUCUUAAUUUCCUUGCCACAUCAGAUUUUUCGUCUACAUGGCAUGCUUAGCACCCGUACAAGGUGGAGCAUUGGGAGGGGCCUAAGGGAAUGGAGGAAGUAACAACAAUCCACAACCCAUGGCCAUGAAAACAGGUUUUAUGUAUUUAGAAUUCUAGACGCAGGUAGUAGAAUAAUCAUAUGUACGCUCUUAUAUUUAUUUACAAAGAGAGUAUUUCCUACCAGCUAGUAAAGCAUAUGCAAAUCCAAAUUCAGAACUAUACAUUUGCACUAACUCGCACUUCCAUACACAAACAAAUGCAAUCAGGUCGGCCUGAGAUGUCUUCUAUGGAAGAAGCACGAACAAGUAAAUUUUACAAUUGCAGAUCCUCUCCAAUUCCUCACUUUUGUUUACAAAAGAAAUUCAGAAUAUACAGAAACAAUCCAAGAAUUUGAGUCCAAAAUAAUUGGAUUGUCCAACAUCAUUGGGUAAGUUGCCAGCUUGUUGUUGAGAUAUUGACUUUCUCAAAAUGACGGAAUAAGCAGCGUAAUCUUUCAACUGAAGAAGGCCAAGGCUGAAACCAAUGUCUCUCCGAAAACCGACUUUUAGUUCUAUGAAAAAAACACAAUAAAAAAAGAAGAAAUGAUACAAAUUAUAUUUAGGUUUACAUGAAUUGUAAUAUAUUGUUUGAUUACAUAAAUCACAACUUAUAUUAUCUGAUUGUAUUUGAUCAAUUAUAUAGGAGUCACCCUAGUAUCCACUAAUUUUGUUGUCUUUACUUUCAGUUUUAAAGAUAAAUAUUAUAUGGGACAAAAAAAACCUAUUUCCUCUCAAAAUCUAUUAAAUGCAUCAGUUGUAAGUGUGAAAACCCCAUAUAAUUAAUGAGUGAUAAAACACAUGCAUUCCUGUGAAUAAAACAAAGCAGAAUUAAUUUACUACGGCCUAUGGAUUGGCCUACUCUAUUUUACUGGACAAUCAUAUAUCCUAUAUUAUUAUUUUUGCGGGAAUAAUAAAUCCAAUACGGUGUUAAACAGUGCCCAUACAGAAGUGUGUAAAACAAUUAGCUGAACAUGGAUCGCCGGUCUUAAUUUAGUAGGGUGUGCCUGAGUUUCUUCUCACGUUCAUAUGCAGGACAUAGGAGUCCAUGUUGCAUUGUUGCUACAUUUCCCAAAACAGAAGCAUGUGAAAGCUAGCUACAAACAUACUCUUGUUAGAAAAAAAGAUUAUGGUGCAAAAUAUUUAACACAUCAUUUGAUUUAGGAGGGUUCAUUUGACACAAAUCACACCAUUGUUCAGUUCCGUAGCAACAUCUAUGUGUUAGGCCUUCUCACAACAGCACUCUCGGCCACAAAAUGCUAAAACAUCCGUUGGGUCAGUGAAUCGAACAACUGGCGUGCGCCCGAGGAGACGAUGGGGAUGCCUGCAUCUACCUGCGAAGCUCGGGGAGAGGAUGGACGAGUGCCGCAGCUUAGGGAGGAUGGCAGGAGCAGCCGAGGGCGCUGGAAGUCAGGCGGCGUCGGGGAUGAGGACGCGCGCAGUCGGGACAGAGCUGCUGUCGUCGAGUACGUAGGCUGUGCGGAGAAGACGACGAAGGCAGCACGCCCUAUACGGCGGCCCGCGCCAUAUCGCGCAUGGGGCGGAGGCUAAGCGGCCAAGCGAGGUCCCUACAGCGGCGGUUAGGUGCCGGGGGCCGCCGCUCGCCGGAGUCGAGGGUGGCGGAGGUGAGAAUUGCCACCGGAACGGCAAAGCCCAGCGGAGCUCCUGUUCGUGCUACCCUGAGUUGCGGCGCCGCCGCCGGCGAGGAUGUGUAGCGCGUAGCCCGCGGCAUACUUGCAGCGGUCGGCCUCCAAGGAGAUGCAGGAGGGGGCCAGAGGAGACGGCGAGGAGAGACGGGAAAGGGGGCAGAGGAGACGAGGUCGUGGUGUUGGUAGCUACGGCGGCAGAAGGCACCCGAGGCAUUAGGGGCAGCCGUCGCCGGUAGCGGCCGGCGCGCAAGAUCGGAGUUCCAUUGCUGGCUAGAAGAGAGUAGCGGGGGAUGGAUCUGGAUGGGUCUGGAACCGAGAGACAGAGGGGUUUUUUGAAAAUAAUAUGGAGAGAGUGGCGGGGUCUUUUUGGAAAAGCGCCAGAGCUCGCAUCAGAUGCAUUAGAUGCAGAUCGGACGGUCGAGAUUGGUAGAUGGUAGGCGCACCAUCAUCACCGAUUGUGCUUUUUAUAGGAGUAGAUAUGUAUACAUCCAGUGAACGUCGGAUUUUUAGGCAUGACAAAUCAAACCUUUUUGAGGCAAAUUUUUUAGCCAUAAAAAACGUUCGAUUUGCCAUGUCUAAAAAUCUGAGCAUUUUUAAUUUCUUUCCAAACUAAAACCCCUGAUUGUAUUCCAAGAUUAGUGUUGGGGGACCACAAGAUAAUACUCCCCCUAUUUUUUAUUUAGUCCGCAUAUUAACUUUGAUUAGAGUCAAGCUUUGUAGACUUUGAUAAAGUUUAAAGACAAAAAUGUUUUUUUUGCGGCGACAAAAAUGUUAACAUAUAUAAUAACAAAUCAAUACUAUUACAUUCAUUAUUGAAUGUACUUUCACAUCAUAUAGAUUUGUUAGGGUAAAUGUUUAUAUUAUUUUCUCUAAGAUUAGUCAAAACUUUGCAAAGUUUGACUCCAGCCAAAUCUAAUAUGCAGACUAAAUAAAAACGGAGGAAGUGCAUUGGAAUACCACAGCUGGCAUCUAACAAAAAUUUCAAACAUGUGAAGAUAUACGUGUACGAAGACACACAAGCAGCACAAAUACAACCUGAAGCUUUCUGAAGCCACACAUGUCCACCAAAAGAUGCAAUAUGUCCAAAGAUCGACGCCACGUCUGACUGGAACCACACUCCGGUUACCACCAGAACGACGGCGGGGACAACCAUCAGAGAGCCUCUGUUUAAUCCAUUGAGUGUUACUCCGACACAGGGGAUGAUGGCCGUGCACAUGUGCCGAAUACCGCAAUAGCACCCGCCGACGCCAUAACAGAAGAAGAAGCACUUGUGACGGCGAGAGAGCAAACUUCUUGGACGAAAGGGACUCCAACUAGAGAGCCAAGCAACGCCAACGACGAGGCUGGUACGGAUGGGCUCUCCCAGGAACCGCACAGCGGGCCUCCAGGCUUGUUUGUGGUCGAGAUCGAUAGCAAGGACCGGCCACCUACCGGUACAUAUCCGGACAGAUGGUGUCGUGGAAUUGUCACGGCAGAUGUCCUCGAGUUAGGACUUAGUCGUGGGACAAGAAACACGAGGGUUUAUACUGGUUCGGCCCCUUACGGUGAAGGUAAAAGCCUACGUCCAGUUUGAGGUGGUAUUGAUUAGGGUUACGAUCACCAGGGAGCUAAACUGCUAUGCCCGGCUCUCGAUGAGAUUGUUCUUGCCCCUAAACCGCUGCCGGGUCGUCCCUUUAUAUAGGGAGGCUGACGCCCAGCAGCCCUUAGAGUCCCGGCCGGCUCAUAAGAGUGUCCGGCUCGGACUCUCAAUCAUACUUGCCUUACACUACAAGUUCUACCAUAAUAAUGAUUGUAACUAUGGGCCUUAAGCCGUAUCCGGGUCUUAGCCCAUCUCUGGCCCAUCGUCUUUAAGCUUGGCUCCGGGCUUCUGGCAACGACCAUACGAGUAACCCGGCCCCUCCUGGCGGGUGACUCUAAGAUCUAUAUCCUCAACAUUAGGCCCCAGAUUGAUUUGAGCCGGCUCAUAUCAAUCUUCAACUCUUCUGACAGAAAAAAUCUCCGGCUUACCAUUCAUGUGAAAGCCAUAACCCGGAGUGACGUCAUCCUCUGGACUCCGGAUAAUCCGCCGUGACGUCAUCCUCCAUUAAGUCCGUUUUUUACUCCGCCAGAUCCGCAACGGAUCUUUGCUUUUACUGUCAUUCCGAAAAUCGAGGCGUCGUGGGGGGAGAUAACCACGCCGUGGUCUCCUUGAAUCUCACGCUCCCUUCUUCCUCCUCGCGCCGCUGCCUUUCUCACUGAGCUCGCACUCCGCCGCCGUCGUCUCGCCUCCGGUCUUCGUCAACCUCGGCCGCUGCAUCACCCUGACUCGGACCAGAUAAACGGCGGCGACUCCCGCACCUCUUCAGCUCCGGUAAGUUCUCACCACCCCGUAGAGUAGAUCUGCCGUAGAGUUCAUCCACGUUCUUCGUGUUCGUCACCAUUGCCCGCAAGUUCGGUAGUUCUCCUAGUUACUGCUCCUGCUUGAUGUUAGUCCUGCAUAGAACUAGUGCGGUGGUUGUUUAAGAUCCAUUUCACACGCAAGUAGCCUUCCUUGAACUGCAUAAGAACUCUGUUUGAACCCAAGAACUCCCUCACUGCUGUUUCUAGGUCUAGAAAUUUUUUCUUUUGCCCGACCAUUUUAAUCCAAAAAAGUUACUGCAAUAUGUGAAACCUGUUUUACCACACUUAGUAAAAACUGCAACCAUUGAAUCUUGGCGGCUUACAAUUCCGGUUUAAAGAAACCACGCGACGUAGAAUCUUCCGGCUUAAAAGAAACCAUGCUUCGUAGAAUCCUCCGGCUUAAAUAACCCACUGUAUUUGAGUAUAUACCAUUAGUCCCCUUCAUAAGCCGCCACCGUAGUUUUGAACUGUAGAUCUCCGGCUUAUAAUUAACCCGGACAUUUUUCCUUUUUGUCAUAGACCACCAACUUUCACCAUGCCUCCCAAGGCUCCCAUCACUUGCAACUGGAUGAGGUCCAACGUCACCAACGAGACUCUAGCCAAUUUUGUUAAGUCCGGAUAUUUGCCUAAGAAGGAAAUCAUGUCCUACCGUGCCCCUGACCCGUCAGAAGAGAGACCACAGCCAAAGGACGGGGAGGUAGUGAUUUUCGCAGAUCAUAUGAGCCGGGGCUUCGCACCGCCCGGCUCAAAGUUUUUCAGGGACGUGCUCAACUUCUUCGACUUGCGGCCUCAAGAUAUAGGACCCAACUCCGUAUCCAACAUCUGCAAUUUUCAAGUCUUCUGCGAGGUUUACCUAGGAGAAGAACCAAGUCUGCUGCUCUUCAGAGAGCUUUUUUACUUAAACCGCCAGAAUGAGUGCGCCAACGGGCCAAGUCUGGAGCUAGGUGGCAUUUCCAUCCAGCGGCGUAGGGACUGUCUGUUCCCUUAUGCAGAGCCGCCGAGCCACCCCAAGGACUGGAACAUGACUUGGUUCUACUGCCAAGAUACGUCCCUGGCUGACGAAAGCCCGCUGCCCGGCUUUCGCCCAACACGUCUAGAGCCGACUCACCCACUGUCGGACAAGCUGACUCCAGCGGAGCGCCAGCCUCUGCUUCCUACUAUCAAUAAAAUCAAGGCCCUCCUGGGCAACGGUCUGAACGGAAUCGAUCUGGUCCGGGUCUGGAUCUCAUGGCGGGUGAUCCCAUUGAGCCGCCGCCCCGGCUUAAUAUGUGAGUACACCGGGCGAAAGGAUGACCCUCAGAGGCACAGUCGCAAUGAUCUUCCAGAAGACGUUGCAGAGGAGGAGACCAAGUUUCUUUUAAACGAGAGCCUGGCAGACUGCGGAAGGACCGGGUUAGCCCCCUUCUGCAAGACCAAUCCAGCCCCAGCGGUAAGCCGCUGACUUUAACUUUUAUCUUCGUCUGCAUAUAACCUUCAUCUGAACCGUUUUAAGAAUCCAUCAUUGUAUUUUUCAGGCUGAUGAUAAGUUCUGGCGGGUCAAAUAUGACCAUGAGGCGGCCAAGAAAGCCAGGAAGGCGAAGAAAGCCGCCAAGAAAGCCGCCCCUCGCAAAAAAGGAAGCAGGCCUACUGCUUCGGAGCUGAUGCAAUUAAGCGACAACUCCGAGUCAGAGGUAACUCCUGAGCAUUUAAAUCCUUACUAUAUUCACUGUUUGUUGCUGUCCGCCUUAUCAAUACUUGCUCAUUGACAGGAUGACACCGGCGCAAGUAACCCGGUGGUUGAAGAGGUAAUGUCACUUUCCUCCGACUCGGAGCCCUUGCCACAGCUGAAAGUCCGAAGGGUAACCCGGAAAGUAAGCUUUUCACAUCCUUUAGCUCACCAAGACCCUCAAUUUAUUUUGAAGCGACAGGUUCAUGAAAGCCGGCGUCACACCCGGACCAACAAGGACACCGAUCUUUCCGCCGGGUUACCCGACGCAACAAGGAAGCGUCGAACUGAGGUUUUUUCUCACUUGUACCGUUUUCAUCCGUUGGCGGGUGUUAUCCGUCAGCCACUCAAUUCUUCUGACUCCAAUUAUCAGGAGACCUCCCCUUCUUCGGGCGACUCUAUGCAGUCGAGUCUUCCGACGUUCAAGACCGCGCCCGGGUAAUGACAACCAUCUCACAUUAUACUUGUCUGUACUUACUCUCUUUGUGCUGAAUGUUUCUGUCCUUUCAGCGCCCAGGCAAAGCUCACCAAAAGAGCGAAGAAGACCAGGUCAGCCGGAGUGCCGGACUUACCUGAACCGGAGGUGACGGCUCAAGAGCCGCUAGCUGCCUCCGCCCCCGAAGCCACCACUCUAAUGGACACGGCACCUGAAGCCACUGCCCCAACUACUAAGGCAACGACCAAAGCUUCGGUUAACCCGGAGGCCUCCGGCUCAGCUCCGCCAGCAGACGAACCGGACGUGGUAAUCACCCGGACGGAGUUCGUUGAGCCGGGGAGACCGACCGUGCUGGCCAAAUGCUCCGCGAAGGGGGAGUUGCUGCAGCCCCACCGGGUGAACCUGGACCUCUCCGACUACACCAACUUGAGCAUUGGAGAGCUCGUCUCUGGCUACAUCAGCCAGGUGCACAAGAGCCGGGACGCCGAGGUCGCCAUGGUCAACCAGAUCCAGCAAAAAUCUGAGGUAUCCUUCUGCUGUCCUCUUACUUACUGCAUAGUUACCUUUGCCAUGCUAGCCCCCAAGUCGACGACUUAUGAUUGAAUAUGUUGUAGACUUAGGUUCCGGCUUACUCCAGUGAGCGGGCAGUAUGUAGAAAGAUACGUUCAAUAUGCAUUAGCCCCCAAGUGCCAAGUGUCUUUGCUUGGAAAGUGCUUGGGACUUAUAUAAUAACUGCUCAUGUCAUAACCCGGAAAUUUAUACAGGCUGUUGGUAAGAAGCUAGAGGCGGACCUUGUGGAUCUCAAGAGCCGGCUGAAGAUGCAGGAGAUGGAGACCCGGAAGGCAAACGCCAAGUUUGUAUCCAGCAUCGCCAGUCAAGAAAAGUUGAAGACCGAGUUUGAUGCUGAGAGAAAAGCCUGGGCCGAAGAGAAGGCCGCACUGGUGACCCGGGCGGAACAGGCGGAGAAGGCUCUCUCUGAGAAGACCGUCGAGCUUUCCGGCCUAAAGCACCAGGUUUCCCAAAUGGUGGCCGCCAUCUUCGGUAAGUCGCCUCACCGGCUUUCACCAAUGUCAGAAUGUUUAUAUCUCAUGAUUCAUCGUUGUCGCCGGCUUACUUGAUUCUGUUAAACAGGUCCCAGAAGUGCCAACCUCAACCAGAGCGUGGUCACCAAGCUAAAGGCCGUGUAUACCCUGGUGGAGCAGCUCUACACCGGGUCACAGCGUGCCUUAGCUGUGGUGGCCCUAUCCAACGAGGUGCCAACUCAUCUGGACGAAGUCCUGCGCCGGCUCGCUGUUCUGCCUCAGCGGAUCCAAGAGCUGCGACGGGCCUCCGCGAGAGCUGGAGCAUUCGCCGCGCUGAGCCGGGCCAAGGCAUUCCUGCCGGAGCUAGACCCGGCAGACAUCGCCCUGGGUUAUCCAAGCCUGAAGGAAGACGGCUCAGCUUUCGAUCAGAAGGACUUCGCGGCGUGCGUGAAGGCUGUACGCCCGGUGGCCACCCUCAUCGAGAAUGACACAGAUCUGACCAAGUACCAGCCGGGUUAUGACGCGGAGAAUCAGAGGAUUCCAACUCCUCGCUAUGAAGCCCUCAACCUGAUCCCGCCGUCUCGUCAGCACACCUUCGCCCCGGAGAUUGACCCGGCCGGGUUAAUUGACGAGGAAGCCCAGUUCGAGGCUCUCAGCGGCAAAGACUGGAAGUCAUCAACCUUCCAAGUCUUGGGAUCAGCCGGAGGAGAGGACAGGAACGAGCCGGAGACUUCCGCUCAGCGGGCAUCGUAACUCGGCUGUCGGUUUACCAAACAAUGCUCCACCCUUGUUAGAUUUGAUGAGUUUUGUAAUAAAGUAGGUGGAACAGUCUAUCUCUGUCGUGCCAUCGUGCACGUAUUGAAUGCCAAGGUCUUUUGAAGUUGUCUCUUUAAUGUUUCUCCGGGUCAUAAUCAUCCCCUUGUUUUUCUCAACCUCAAAGAGGUACCUUUAAGUAUCCUGCAUAGAAAGGCAAAUCACAAGUCUCAAGACGGCUUACCGCCCUGAGAAUCAGGUGUCUUGGAUAGAUAACCCGGAAUAUGAAUCAAAAGAGACUGGUCCUCAAUUAUCUCCUUAACACAACCGUAAUAACACACUUAGCGGCCUGUAAGCAUACUUCCGGUUUAAGUAACCCGGGAACAAGGUUGGUAUCUUAACUCCGAUUUACCUGUCGUAAUGACACCCAUGGCGGUCAACUAACAUGGUAAACCAAAGUUAAGCUGGCAAAGUGAGACCCGGCCGUACACACCUUGACAUAAUCAGAGUUAACUUGUGAUAGAACAUAAGAACUUAGGAGCUUCCGGUUCGAAUACGACCAGAGACCCGGCCGAAAGGGGUUAAGCUAAGAUUCGGAUACGAUCACAUAGCCCCCAGUGGGUGUGGCGAUGCCAAUCAAGAGGGUACCGACAGCUAUGUUCUCUUUGGUUCGAAUACGACCCAUGUUUGAACAGGAAGCCCCCAAGUGAUUUCAAGAAUUGUUUAACGACGCUGAUUCGAAUACGAUCCACGUCGGUUCUCAGAGGGGUUAAACUAUGAUUCAAAUAUGAUCAAAGGUAACUUCCCAAUGAGCUCGGCACUUUGCCAAUCAAAUGGGUAUCGACAGCUAUGUUCUCUUUGGUUCGAAUACGACCCAUGUUUGAACAGGAAGCCCCCAAGUGACUUUACUGCUUACGGCUAAAUUCGAAUACGAUCAUAAGCCAGAUCCUCCUUGAAAUCAUCAUGUAAUCUUGCAAGAAGAACAACACGUGUAUAUUUGGAGGAGAAAAAAGGACAGAGGUCCUGCUUUAUUGCUUACCAUAAUAUAUACAUGGCUGAGAGAAGUAUGCACACCACGAGAGCCGGUGGCUCAAGUGUAGUAAGGCCGAAGCUGAGCUAUGUUCCACGGCCGACGGGUCUCCUCCUCCGAUUUACGUGAAUCUUUGUGCUCCCGAAUGUCAAUGAGGUAAUAUGACCCGUUGUGCAAGUUCUUGCUGACCACAAAGGGCCCUUCCCAAGGCGGGGAUAACUUGUGCGCAUCUGUUUGAUCCUGGAUGAGCCGGAGCACAAGGUCGCCUUCCUGGAAGACCCGGGAUUUGACCCGGCGGCUAUGAUAACGGCGCAGGUCUUGUUGGUAAAUUGCUGAACGGGCUGCUGCCACAUCACGCUGUUCGUCCAACAAGUCAAGAGCAUCUUGGCGCGCCUGUUCAUUAUCCGUCUCAACAUAAGCCGCUACGCGAGGUGAGUCAUGACGGAUGUCACUGGGGAGGACUGCUUCUGCUCCAUAAACCAUGAAGAAAGGCGUGAAGCCUGUGGACCUGUUAGGAGUAGUGUUGAUGCUCCAUAAGACGGAGGGCAACUCCUCCACCCAACAACCCGGCGUCCGUUGCAAAGGGACCAAAAGCCGGGGCUUGAUGCCCUUCAGAAUCUCCUGGUUAGCUCUCUCAGCUUGACUAUUGGAUUGAGGAUGAGCCACUGAGGAGACAUCAAGUCGGAUAUGCUCUCGUUGACAAAACUCUUCCAUGGCGCCUUUGGAGAGAUUAGUGCCAUUGUCAGUUAUAAUGCUGUGCGGAAAGCCAAAGCGGAAAAUCACGUUUUUCAGAAAUUGAACCGCCGUGGCUGCAUCGCACUUGCUAACUGGCUCAGCUUCCACCCACUUUGUGAACUUAUCAACUGCCACCAAGAGGUGGGUCUUCUUAUCCUUGGACCUUUUAAAAGGCCCAACCAUGUCAAGCCCCCAGACCGCAAAGGGCCAAGUGAUUGGGAUCAUCCUCAGCUCCUGAGCCGGCACAUGAGCCCGUCGUGAGAACCUCUGGCAACCAUCACAUUUACUGACCAAGUCCUCUGCAUCAGCAUGAGCUGUCAACCAAUAAAAACCAUGACGAAAAGCCUUGGCCACAAGGGACUUUGAGCCGGCGUGAUGGCCACAAUCCCCUUCAUGGAUCUCACGCAAGAUCUCUUGACCUUCCUCAGGGGAGAUGCAACGCUGAAAUCCUCCUGUAACACUGCGAUGAUGCAACUCGCCAUCAAUAACAAUCAUUGACUUGGCCCGCCGGGUUAUUUGCCUGGCCAAAGUUUCAUCCUCAGGCAACUCGCCCCGGGUCAUGUAAGCCAGAUAUGGCAUUGUCCAGUCUGGUAUGAUAUGGAGAGCCGCCACCAGUCGUGCCUCCGGGUCAAGGACAGCCAAGUCUUCCUCCGUAGGCAACUUAACCGAAGGGCUAUACAGGAUAUCCAGGAAAGUGUUAGGCGGCACCGGCUUUCGCUGAGAGCCUAGCCGGCUUAGGGCAUCAGCCGCCUCGUUCUUCCUGCGAUCAAUGUGUUCUACUUGGUAGCCCUGAAAGUGCCCAGCAAUGGCAUCAACUUCGCGGCGAUAAGCCGCCAUUAGAGGGUCCUUAGAAUCCCACUUGCCUGAUACUUGUUGAGCCACCAAGUCUGAGUCACCGAAGCAUCUUACCCGGCUCAAGCUCAUUUCCUUAGCCAUCCGAAGACCAUGGAGCAAGGCCUCAUACUCGGCCGCAUUGUUCGUGCAAGGAAACAUCAACUGCAGCACAUAAUGGAACUUGUCACCUUUAGGGGAAGCCAAUACAACGCCAGCCCCCGAGCCCUCUAACUGCCUGGACCCAUCGAAGUGAAUAGUCCAAUAUGUGUUAUCCGGCUUUUGCUCAGGCACUUGUGACUCUGUCCAAUCAUUGAUGAAAUCCACCAAGGCCUGAGAUUUAACAGCAGUGCGUGGCACAUAUUUGAGACCAUGAGGUCCAAGUUCUAUAGCCCACUUAGCAAUUCUCCCUGUGGCCUCUCUGUUUUGGAUGAUGUCACCAAGGGGGGCAGAGCUGACCACAGUGAUGGGAUGACCCUGAAAAUAAUGCUUAAGUUUCCGGCUCGCCAUGAACACACCAUACACAAGCUUCUACCAAUGCGGGUACCGCUGCUUGGACUCAAUGAGCACCUCGCUGACGUAAUAAACCGGCCGCUGAACCAGAUGUUCCUUACCCGCCUCCUUGCGCUCUACCACAAUAGCCACACUGACGGCUCGUGCGUUUGCCGCCACAUAUAGUAGCAAGGGCUCCUUAUCAACCGGAGCAGCAAGGACUGGGGGCUCUGCCAGCUGCUUCUUCAAAUCCUCAAAGGUGGUAUUAGCUGCAUCAUUCCAGACAAAGUUAUCAGUUUUCUUCAUCAACUGAUAUAAGGGCAUGGCCUUCUCACCCAAACGGCUUAUAAACCGGCUUAAAGCAGCGAUGCGACCCGCCAAGCGCUGAACGUCAUUUAUACACGCCGGCUUAGCCAGGGAGUAGAUGGCCUUGAUCUUCUCCGGGUUAGCCUCAAUGCCUCUGUCAGAAACCAAGAAGCCCAACAGUUUGCCUGCAGGGACACCAAAGACACACUUGGCCGGGUUAAGCAUCAUCUUAUAGACCCGGAGAUUAUCAAAGGUUUCCCUUAAAUCAUCUAUCAGGGUUUCCUCUUUGAUGGACUUAACCACAAUGUCGUCCACGUAAGCGUGAACAUUGCGCCCGAUCUGUUUAUGAAGACAGUUCUGUACACAACGCUGGUAAGUCGCCUGUGCACACUUGAGUCCAAAGGGCAUAGACACAUAGCAGAAGGCUCCAAAGGGAGUGAUGAACGCCGUCUUCUCCUGGUCCUUAACUGCCAUCUUAAUCUGAUGAUAUCCGGAAUAAGCAUCCAAGAAACUUAAGCGUGCACAACCUGCCGUAGCAUCAAUGAUUUGAUCAAUACGGGGAAGGGCAAAAGGAUCAGCCGGACACGCCUUGUUCAAGUCCGUGUAGUCCACACACAUCCGCCAGGUGCCGUUCUUCUUGAGUACGAGCACCGGGUUAGCCAACCACUCUGGGUGAAAGACUUCAACGAUAAACCCGGCCGCCAAGAGCCGGGCCACUUCUUCACCAAUAGCUUUCCGCCUCUCUUCAUUAAACCGCCGAAGGAACUGUCUGACCGGCUUAAAUUUCGGAUCAACAUUGAGAGUAUGCUCAGCGAGUUCUCUAGGUACACCUAGCAUGUCAGAGGGUUUCCAUGCGAAGAUGUCCCUAUUCUCACGGAUGAACUCGAUGAGUGCGCUUUCCUAUUUUGGAUCCAGAUUGGCACUGAUGCUAAACUGCUGAGAUGAAUCUCCUGGAACAAAAUCAACAAGCUUAGUUUCAUCAGCCGACUUAAAUUUCAUCGCCGGCUCAUUCUCCGUAGUCGGCUUUUUCAGAGAGGUCAUAUCUGUUGGGUCAACAUUGUCCUUAUAAAACUUCAACUCCUCUGUAGCACAAACAGAUUCUGCAUAAGCCGCAUCGCCUUCCUCACACUCCAGAGCCACUUUCCGGCUGCCGUGAACCGUAAUAGUCCCAUUUUGACCCGGCAUCUUGAGCUGUAAGUACACAUAACACGGCCGCGCCAUGAACUUGGCGUAAGCCGGCCGUCCAAAUAUAGUAUGGUAUGUACUUCUUAUCUUGACCACCUCAAAGGUCAAUUUCUCCACCCUGUAGUUGCUCUCAUCACCGAAAGCCACUUCCAAUUCGAUCUUGCCGACUGGAUAAGCCGACUUACCAGGUACCACACCAUGGAAGAUAGUGUUUGACUGGCUGAGGUUCUUAUCAACAAACCCCAUACGGCGAAAAGUCUCAUAAUAGAGGAUGUUGAUGCUGCUGCCUCCAUCCAUGAGCACCUUUGUGAACUUAUAUCCUCCCACUUGGGGAGCCACCACUAAGGCCAAGUGGCCCGGGUUAUCCACCCGGGGAGGGUGAUCCUCCCUACUCCACACUAUAGGCUGCUCAGACCACCGCAAGUAGCGUGGGACCGCCGGCUCAACAGCAUUUACAGCCCUCUUGUGAAGCUUUUGAUCUCGCUUGCACAAACUAGUGGUAAACACAUGAUACUGUCCACCGCUAAGCUGCUUUGGAUUGGUCUGAUAACCCCCCUGCUGCUGUUGAUGACCCUGUCCAGACUGUUGAUUAAAACCCCCUUGACCGUUCUGAGGACCGGAAUUUGAGCCGCCCCCCGGGCCAUGAAAGCCACCGGCGCCCCGCCGCCUGAGCCGCCGCCCGGGCCAUUGUAGUUUUUAAAGGCCUUCAUGAUUGCACAAUCCUUCCAUAGAUGAGUCGCUGGCUUCUCUCUAGAGCCGUGCCUCGGACAAGGCUCAUUCAACAGCUGCUCCAGUGAUGGUCCUGACCCGCCGCCUCGGGGAGGGGGCCUCCCCUUGCGUCGCUGGUUCUGGUUAUUGCCUUGUGCGCUGGCAUUGGCCACAAACUCUAGGCUGCCAUCUGCCUUGCGCUUGCCUCCUCCUUGGUUCCCCGGGUUAAACUGAGGGCCCUUGCCAUUGCCGUUCUUCUUUCCCUUCCCUGUCCUUUCAUCAUCUGAAGGGGGAUCCUUGGUACCAUCAGAAUCGGCGUACUUGACAAGAGCUGCCAUUAGUGUACCCAUAUCACUGCAGUCGCGCUUAAGCCGCCCGAGUUUCAUCUUCAGGGGCACAAAACGACAAUUCUGCUCCAGCAUUAAAACUGCUGAGCCGGCAUCCAUCUUGUCUGACGAGUGUAUGAUCUCCUUAACCCGGCGAACCCAAUGUGUCGUGGACUCACCCUCCUGCUGCUUACAGUUAGUCAAAUCCACAAUUGACAUAGACUGCCUACAGGUAUCUUUGAAGUUUUGGAUGAACCGGGCCUUCAGCUCAGCCCAAGACCCAAUGGAAUUCGGUGGUAGCCCUUUCAACCAAGUGCGGGCAGUCCCAUCUAACAUCAUGGUGAAAUAUUUGGCCAUGGCCGCCUCACUGACCUCCAGCAGCUCCAUAGCCAUCUCAUAACUCUCAAUCCAGUGAACGUCGGAUUUUUAGGCAUGACAAAUCAAACCUUUUUGAGGCAAAUUUUUUAGCCAUAAAAAACGUUCGAUUUGCCAUGUCUAAAAAUCUGAGCAUUUUUAAUUUCUUUCCAAACUAAAACCCCUGAUUGUAUUCCAAGAUUAGUGUUGGGGGACCACAAGAUAAUACUCCCCCUAUUUUUUAUUUAGUCCGCAUAUUAACUUUGGUUAGAGUUAAGCUUUGUAGACUUUGAUAAAGUUUAAAGAGCAAAAUGUUUUUUUUGCGGUGACAAAAAUGUUAACAUAUAUAAUAACAAAUCAAUACUAUUACAUUCAUUAUUGAAUGUACUUUCACAUCAUAUAGAUUUGUUAGGGUAAAUGUUUAUAUUAUUUUCUCUAAGAUUAGUCAAAACUUUGCAAAGUUUGACUCCAGCCAAAUCUAAUAUGCAGACUAAAUAAAAACGGAGGAAGUGCAUCGGAAUACCACAGCUGGCAUCUAACAAAAAUUUCAAACAUGUGAAGAUAUACGUGUACGAAGACACACAAGCAGCACAAAUACAACCUGAAGCUUUCUGAAGCCACACAUGUCCACCAAAAGCUGCAAUAUGUCCAAAGAUCGACGCCACGUCUGACUGGAACCACACUCCGGUUACCACCAGAACGACGGCGGGGACAACCAUCAGAGAGCCUCUGUUUAAUCCAUUGAGUGUUACUCCGACACAGGGGAUGAUGGCCGUGCACAUGUGCCGAAUACCGCAAUAGCACCCGCCGACGCCAUAACAGAAGAAGAAGCACUUGUGACGGCGAGAGAGCAAACUUCUUGGACGACAAAGGGACUCCAACUAGAGAGCCAAGCAACGCCAACGACGAGGCUGGUACGGAUGGGCUCUCCCAGGAACCGCACAGCGGGCCUCCGGGCUUGUUUGUGGUCGAGAUCGAUAGCAAGGACCGGCCACCUACCGGUACAUAUCCGGACAGAUGGUGUCGUGGAAUUGUCACGGCAGAUGUCCUCGAGUUAGGACUUAGUCGUGGGACAAGAAACACGAGGGUUUAUACUGGUUCGGCCCCUUACGGUGAAGGUAAAAGCCUACGUCCAGUUUGAGGUGGUAUUGAUUAGGGUUACGAUCACCAGGGAGCUAAACUGCUAUGCCCGGCUCUCGAUGAGAUUGUUCUUGCCCCUAAACCGCUGCCGGGUCGUCCCUUUAUAUAGGGAGGCUGACGCCCAGCAGCCCUUAGAGUCCCGGCCGGCUCAUAAGAGUGUCCGGCUCGGACUCUCAAUCAUACUUGCCUUACACUACAAGUUCUACCAUAAUAAUGAUUGUAACUAUGGGCCUUAAGCCGUAUCCGGGUCUUAGCCCAUCUCUGGCCCAUCGUCUUCAAGCUUGGCUCCGGGCUUCUGGCAACGACCAUACGAGUAACCCGGCCCCUCCUGGCGGGUGACUCUAAGGUCUAUAUCCUCAACAGAUGGGAUAUAUUUUGGGACAAAAUCACUGUUUUGACCUCGUGAGCAAUCUUUGUCGCAAACUGAACUCGACAUAAAAGUAUUUCACGAUCUGACCCUUUUAGCAAUGUCACAACCCACGGCGUUGCGGCCCAACACAGAAACGCCAAGCAAGGUCGCGUUUAUGCUCCACAUAGAAACGCCGAGCUAGCUCGCGUUGCUGCCCAGGACAAGCUGGCAUCGCUCGCUGACGUGGCAUGCUGGAAACGCCAGGACCGAUGGCGUUUCUAACUUGUGUACAAACGCCAGAGUGCAUGGCGUUUUUGGCUUUGAUACAGCGGCGGCAGAGGCCUAUGUCGGGCGAUGGAAAACAGUCCCACGCUGCAAAUACCCAAUUGCUUAAUCGUGCAGCUGCACGAUUCGGCGCGCGCGAGCGCACGCCGCUCGACCGUGCGAUUCGACAGAUCUGGACCGCGUGUUGGUAACGGUUCAGACCAGGAGGUAGUGGUGGGCCCCGCCCCAUUAAUUCAGGCGAAACCGCUGUUCGCACGCCCUCCCCUUCCCCUUUUCAUUCGAAAUCCUCCAUCCCCUUCCCUCCAUUUUCGAAACGGCCUUCACCUCUUUCUCCGAAAACAACGACGUGCGCGGGACUGCGGUCGUGGAUUCGCCGGGGAUUCACCGGCGUGGGAGGCCGUUCGCCGGCGUGGGGCGGCUGUGGCGACAGGCGGAGGUAAUUCUGCAUCUCGCUCUUGGUGGUUUUCCCCCUAGAGAUUGGCUUGGUGAGGGUGAGGGCUAGGGUUUGGGUGAGGUGUCGCCCAGGUGUCGGGGGCGAGCACGGAGGGCGAGGAGGGCGAGCACGGACGGCGAGGAGGGCGAGCACGGGUUGUCCAUGGUGUCCGCAAGCUUGGAGGGGGAGCGGGGCCGUGGGCGUCGUGGAGGGGGAGCAGGGGUCGACACGGUGGGGGUUGAGAUCCCGUCGAGUUUCUCGCUGGGGAGUUUCGGCUUCUGUUCUGAGCGUGUGGAUCCAUGAGGCGAUUCCUGUUUUUUUUGUCAGAUAGUUGCCCUGUUUUUGUGAAGCAUGUGUUGAUUUUUGUCUCAGCCAUCGGCGCUGUUGGUGCCUGGAUCUAAUGUGGGGCAUUGUGCAGCCAGGUGAUAGUAGUUGCUCACUUUUUCUCACAAUUAGUUGCUAUGAAAUUGCGCAGCGGUUGCUNNNNNNNNNNNNNNNNNNNNNNNNNNNNNNNNNNNNNNNNNNNNNNNNNNNNNNNNNNNNNNNNNNNNNNNNNNNNNNNNNNNNNNNNNNNNNNNNNNNNNNNNNNNNNNNNNNNNNNNNNNNNNNNNNNNNNNNNNNNNNNNNNNNNNNNNNNNNNNNNNNNNNNNNNNNNNNNNNNNNNNNNNNNNNNNNNNNNNNNNNNNNNNNNNNNNNNNNNNNNNNNNNNNNNNNNNNNNNNNNNNNNNNNNNNNNNNNNNNNNNNNNNNNNNNNNNNNNNNNNNNNNNNNNNNNNNNNNNNNNNNNNNNNNNNNNNNNNNNNNNNNNNNNNNNNNNNNNNNNNNNNNNNNNNNNNNNNNNNNNNNNNNNGAUAUGGUGAGGGAGGUUUGGGGUUGAGAUCCCGUCGAGUUCCCAGCAAGGGGGGGGGGGAUUUUCGGGGUGCUGUUUUUGAGCGUGUGGAUCCAUGGGAGGAUCCCUAUUGUUUUAAGGAUAGUUGCCCUGUUUUUGCGAAGCAGUUUUUUGGCUUUUGUCUCAGCCAUCAGCGCUAUUGGUGCCUGGAUCUAAUGUGGGGCAUUUGUGUAGCCAGGUCAUAGUAGUUGCUCAUUUUUUUUCUCACACAUCGCUAUGAAAUUGCGCAGCAGUUGCUGUAUUUUCCUGUGCUCACACAACCAUUGCGGUGCUGUUUUUGUUGUUGUGAGUGCCUGGAUCUAACCUAAUGGGGCACUGUGUAGCGAGCCAACAGUAGUUCUUUUCCUAUGCUUACACAACCAUUUGGGUUUGUUUGGAUCAGCCGGGUAGUUUGUGUAUGUAUAUGACAGUAGUAUUGCUUAAUUUUAGUACUAAUUUUUCCUAAUUUUUUUGCAAAGAAAUAUAUCAUUAGUUGCUAAUUUUGGGUAUUUAGUUAUUUUUAUUGUCCUUUUAUUUUGUUUUGUUGCUACAAGUUGCCCACCCAACAUCCUGCAGUUGCCUAGAUUCAACAACUAGUUUGCCCGUAUAGUGGACGAGAUGUCAUUAGGAAUAAUAGGCAUUCUUUCUCUUUUUUCGCAGUAGUCGUGGUGAAUCAAGUUAGGAGAUGUUAAAACAGAAGCUCAUUAUUAAGCAUUUCCUUUUAUCGCAGUACUAUCUGCAAGUAUAAUUGUGCUCAUAGGUCUUUUUUGUGUUUUUCCCCAGGAAAAUGACAUUUUUUUGCUGUUGCAUACUUUGUUUUACAGAAUGGCCCGAGAAAGCAAGAGGAUUGCAGGUAGGACUGAUGGCGAAGGUGGAAAUGCGGGAAACGAGGAGCUGGUCCAAACGGCAAGCAAUGUCCGAUGCAAGCGCGGGCGAACGAACGAUAAUCCUGUCCCUGCUGGACGGGCUGGGAACCGGGCCACCGACUCCGCUCCUCGUGAUGAAGAAGGGAGGCAGCCAAAACGUGUGAAGAAAAGCAGAGACGAGGUUUUUUUUCUCUAAGAAACUUGAACUCUGUAGCGGGAUGUUUCUGUUGUAGUUUAUCUAAAGGCAGGGACAUUAGGUAACCAGAAUAUAGUAGUUGUACCAGUUGAACAUAGUAGUUGUCCAGAAUAGUAGUAGUAGUUGCCUAGUAUAGUAGCACCAGUUGCUUUUUAGUGUAGAUGUAGUAUAGCAGUACUUGCUGCCUAGUAUAGUUGUACCAGAUGCCCAGUAUAGUAGUACCAGUUGCCUAGUAUAGUUGUACCAGGCGCCCAGUAUAGUAGUACCAGUUGCAUAGUAUAGCAGUACUAGUUGGCUAGUAUAGUAGUACUAGUUGCCCAGUAUAGUAGUAAGAGUUUGCAUACUAUAGCAGUACUAGUUGUGUAGUAUUUGUAGCACCAGUUUGCUAGUAUAGCCGUACUAGAUGUAUAGCAUAGCAGUACUAGUUGCCUAGUAUAGUAGUACUAAUUGCCCAAUAUGGUAGAACCAGUUUGUUUUAUAAUGUAGAUGUAGUUGCUCAGUUUCCCACGCAGAGCAGCCUUGCCUUAUUUUUUAUUUUUUAUUUUUCUUCUGGUUUUUCUGUCUCCACAGAUUGGAACUAGUGCCUCGGCACCAAGGAACAGGGCAUCACCUUCAAGGCUAUUCACUCUAAAUGCCGACCUUGUAGACACACAAAAGGGAGUCAUUUAUGAAAUUAGUUUUGGUGGCGUACUUGAUAUCGACACGAGAACAAUGAAAGGAUCUAUCAUGAAGUUUGUCAUCGAUUGUUAUGACCCGGAGUUCUCCCAGCUUCUUAUACCUGAUAGGGGUAAGAUCCCUGUCGAUGCAGACAGCGUUGAAAGGAUAUGGGGUCUGCCAAGGGGGCGAAACAAGGUUGCAUAUGAAAUUGAUCCAGACAUAGUAAAGUUUUUCAACGGGAUGUUCAACAUUCCUUCAGGCCUUGCCCCAACAGUGACCAAGUGGGUGGAGAAGAUAAAGGAAAUGGGAGAUGCUCAUGAUGACACGUUCUUAAGCGCCUGGCUUGUCAUUGUUUUCAGCUGUUUUCUCGCACCGACUACGGGCUUGAAGGUGUCGCCGCGUGCCUAUUCAGCUGCGUUGAACCCACUCGAUAUUGCGAAUUCAGAUGUUUGCCAGUUUGUCAUUGACCAGCUUAGGAUCGCUUUCAUGGGGCUAGGAGACAAGAAGAAUACCAGAUGUUGUUGCCUUUUCCACCUAGUGGUAAAAUGAUCUAGAUCCCCCCUUUUUUAUGGUCCAUUGUCUUUCUUUUCAUUGUCAAUACUUUACAGGAAACUAACAUUUUUCCUUUUUCUUUUUGUUUGUGUUUUGGUCUGCGAGACAACUCGUUUACCUCGACUCGCUAGAUGUGGACUUCAGGACCAUCUCCAAGGACUUUGUGCAUGAAGACAUGCCGAAUAUUCUUCCAAGGGUUGAGGCCUGGAACGAGGGUCUUAUCAAGGCAGUCAUGAAAAAGGACAGGAUCAGAAAGGGUGUAUAUGGAAAGCUGCGAGUAAGUUUUUCCCUGUUUUUUUCAAUGCACUUUUUUCUCAUGGUUGUUCAGCAUGUAGAGCCUCGUGUUUUAUCAAGUAGGCAUGUAGUUUUUGAGGUCGACUUGCUCACCAGUAGGUUUUUGUAGUUGCCCAUAAUCAGAGGUGGACUUGCGCUCUAGUAUAUUUUGUAGUUGCCCAUAAUCAGAGGUGGACUUGCUCCAUUUACAGUUAGAGUUGCCCAUGUACAUAGUUGUAUUUGCUCAUCAGCAUGAUCCAUUCUUUUGGAGUUAUAUGUUGUUCAGUCCAAAUAGUUAUGUAUGGGUUUUUCCAGUUUUAUAUCAUGUGUUCUGCGGGAGUUGCCCAACAAUAUGCAUGUUGUUGCCCUAAUUUUUAGGGAAUUUUACCACUAGGUCGAUUGAGUGUAUCUCGACUUGCUCACCAGUAGGUUUUUGUAGUUGCCCAUAAUCAGAGGUGGACUUGCCCUCCAGUAUGUUUUGUAGUUGCCCACAAUUAGAGGUGGACUUGCUCCAUUUACAGUUAGAGUUGCUCAUGUACAUAGUUGUAGUUGCUCAUCAGCAUGAUCCCUUUUUUUGGAGUUCCAUGUUGUUUAGUCCAAAUAGUUAUGUAUGGGUUUUUCCAGUUUUAUAUCAUGUGUUCUACGGGAGUUUCCCAACAAUAUGCAUGUUGUUGCCCUAAUUUUUAGGGAAACACUUUGAUAAACCUCGCAAUAUAAUAUCUUUUUUUGCGUGAUUGAUUUUUAAUUCCCUCAACCUUUUUUCCCCUGACUGUUGAUCUCUAACACGUGCCCAUCAACACCACAGUUGAAAUCUAAGUUCUCAAGGUGUGCUGAAGACACUCUGUUUGGUAGCAUGGAUCAUAUCGAGAAGUUUGUUGCUGCCAGGCUACCCCAGAAUUACGACAUCAAUGUAUGGUCCUUUUACUGUGCUUCCUAGUAUCCGACACUUUUUUUAUGCAAAGUUGAUAAUGAAAUGCAUGUUUUAUCUAUGUUUUGUCUUGUUUGUUUUUUGUAGAAACAGAAGAAGUUGACGGUGCUUGUACACAACAUGUGCUCUGGAAUAUCUUCCCAAGUGGGGAAGUUUGUUCUAGGUGUUGGCAAGCUUGAUGAGGAGGAACAUGUGCCAGUCACGAGUACUUCCAGGGACCCAGAACCACGCCAACCAUUGGUGAAGGAAAGGCAUAGAAGAGCAGCGACAGUUUCUAAAGUGAAAAAUGUUGAAAGGAAGAAGAAAGGAAAGGGCAGCAGAACUCAUGAUGGGGAGAGCCCUUUGUUGUCUGAUGAUAAUGAGGAGGAAACGGAGGACGACGAACUGAAACUUUCAGAUGAAGAUGAAGAGGAGGAAGGAGAGUACGAUGAUGAAUGUGGAGAUGAGGACAUUUCCGAUGGGGAAGGUGACGACGACGAUGAUGAUGAAGAUGACAAUGACAACAAUGAUGGUUUAGAGAGCCCGCCAGCAGCAACAGAUCCCACCGACAUUGAGCGCAUGGAUGCCGAAGGGGAUGAAGACGAGGAUGAAAAGGAGGAGGAAGAGGGGAGUGAUGAGAAGGAGGAAGAAGAGGUUGAUGAGGAGGAGGAAGAGCUGGGUUAUGAGGAGGAGGAAGAAGAGGACGAUGAGGAGGGGGAAGAGGACGAUGUUGAGGGGGAGGAGGAGGAUGAAGACAAGGAUGAGGAGGAUGGGAAGGAGGAAGAUGCAAAUAAUGUAGACGAGGACAUAAAUCAGGAGCAGAGCAAGGGAAAUGAGCAACAGGGAAAAGAAGAGCUUGAAAAAGAGUAGAAACGGGAGGAUGAAAAGAACAAAGAUGAGAAGCAAGAGAAGGAUGAUUUUGGGAAGGAUGAAGGUGGAGAUGAAGGAGAGAAGGAUGAGGAGGAAGAAGGUUGCAUGGGAGGGAAGAAGGGGGAAGACGACAAGCAUGAUGACUGGACAGGCAGCAACGCUAGCGCUGACAACACCACUUGGAGCGGCCACGAUGGAGGUGCAAAACCCCCAGGGUGGCGUACGGACAGUUUUGAUGAUGAGGUCUCGCUGAGCACUAUCAUGGAGAAGCUGAAGCGUGGUGCCAAGGAGCAGGAGCAAUCACACCCGUGCACGAGCACCAGCAAAACACAGGGGGGCAUGCAAAGUGCUAGCAGUUUUUUUCACAGCGACUUUGUUAAGAUGCACAUUCAAAAGGAACCGUUCGAGGUAGACAGCGCACCCGCUUUGACUGCUGCGGAGGUGGUCAGAAUGGGAGAUUUAGCUUUAAAGCAGAAGAAGAGAGUGCUUGAGAUUCGAGAUAUACCUUUAUUCCCGUUGCCCGUGCUGCCACCUGAAGAUUUCUUGCCACGUACGGACUUUCACUGUGAAGAAAUGAUUGUGGAAGAUGGGUUGAAACGUUUUACUGACGUCCCAAAAGAUGGUAGUGAUACACAAUUAGAAAAAGGAGCCGAGGCGGGUGGGAAGAAGAAGGUUAAGAAAAUAAGCCACAGAACAGUGAAGGCUAGCGCUGCAUCCCCUUAACCAAGCCAAACAGCUAAGCAGCAAGCUCCCACACAUGUCCAGAGUUUGGGAACUGAUUCAAAAAAACAGACAGUCACGGCAGCUCCAAAACCCAAGGUGUUUCAGAAAAAAUCAGCAAACAAGCAAAAAAAACUGUUGGCAUUUUGCAAGCAACUGCAGCUACAUCUCAAGCAACUAUGGUCAACAUGCAGGCAGAAGCCCCUCGCAAGCAACACACCGAGCCAGUGGUCAAGAGUGCACUUGUAUCUGGACAGGACAAGCAUGGAGGCAAAGUGUUAGAACCAGCAGAGUCCAGAAAAAUGCAGCCAGCACAGACUUGUGAGCAGUCGAAAUAGCCAGCAGUCAAUGAGAGUGCCAAAGAGGAUAUCAAGGGGAAAGGAGUUGCAGUGCUGAAAGAAGCAACUGCAGUGAUUAAGGAAGCAACUCCUGUAGUAAACCAGGCAACUACAGAUGAAGUUGCAGCCCAGACAACAAAGAAGCCUCCUUUUGUUCACACCAAGCAAGCUUGCUCUGGACAAAGGAAAGAAAUAUCUUUUACUGAUAUCAGGGACAUAAACGAGCUACUGGAAAGGUGUGUGACUCCAGGGUCAAUGCCACCACUCAUGAAAAGUAAGUCUGCCGACACUAUUCCUAUAAUACGGGCGUCUCCCGUUCUUAAUCAGGCAACAAGCAAAGAAGUCUCUGAUUCAGGUGAAGCACAACAAUCACUCCAAAGAUCAAAGUCUGGAAACGCUGUUUGGGAUAAUUAUUGCCCAGGCCCACCUUUCGAUCUUGGAAUAGAUGAAAUGCCAGAAAACAAAGUGGAGGAGGACAAGGAGAUGUCAAAGGACAAGGCGGUGACAAACGAACCUGCCACUGCCGACAUUGAGUGGGGAAUUGACUGGUGCAACCUGGAUUUCGAUGGAGUUGUUGAAGGGGCAGUCAAAAGUGUUGUAGGUGAGGGGUCGGGGCAGAUGUCACCUUCUGGAUUUUGCACACCAACCGGUGAGGCAAAAAUUCCCGGUGCAGGGGAGUCUAGCCAAGGUGGUGCCAGCAACCACGACGAUCCCAUUGCCCAGAAGCGUGAGAGGAGAAUACUAAAACCACCUCCAUCACAAAGGUCACCGUAUGUGAACUUAGAAGUAAAAAAGGACUUCAAUUGUUCACCAGAUGUAAACAGGUUGUAUGCAUUGGUUUUGAUGCUCAGAGGAGCAGGAACGGGGACAACAAGGACAUCAAGUCAGGAGGAUCAAACGUGCGGUUCUUUCUUUUUUUCAAUAACAUGUUUUUUGGCAUCACCCUAACUUAUCCGUUGGUCUUUUCUGAAACACCUCCUCCUUCUGCUUAUACAGGCCGCAUAUCAUAAAUUACCGUGGCUAUUUUUGCACAUUGAAGGAGCUAGCUCAAUCAAUGAGGAGGAAUGGGUGGCUCAGGACCCAUGUCUUUGAGUUAGUGAUCGAGGCAAUCAUGUUCAACAGAAGGCAGGGCUCCAAGAAAGUAAUCAUGCCUCUAAGGUUUUCAGUAAGAAUAAUCAACUUCUAUUUUUUUCAAAUUAUUUUUUCUUUGUUUUCUUAUUUUUUGUUGGCACUGAUUUUUCAUUUGGUGCUUGUUCCCCCCAGAUUGCGCUCCAAAAAGUUGAUUUGAGCGGGGCUGAGUUGACGAACAGGUUUAAGGCAGAAAACCAUCUGGAUCAGCAAGAUAUGGUAUGUAUCCACACAGCAACAAGUGCUCUUUUUUAGAUAUCUAAGUUGCUUUCAACUAUACCCAGAGUUGCUUGCGUUAAGUAGCUAAGUUGCCUCCAACUACACCCCAGAGUUGCCCAAAAUCAAACACAACAAGAAAAUUAUUAACUGGCCAGAGAUAUCUUCAGAGUUGCUCACAACCACACCCCUCAAAGAUUUUUUGAGGCCUGUUUUAUAACCACACUCAAAUUGUAAGCACAAUCAAUGUAAGUUUCAUAGCGUUUUGCUGAAUUUUUGUUUUAUCACUUUGCAGUUUUUAAAAUUUUUAAAGUUGCAUACAACCACACCCAGAGAUGCUUAUAAACACAUUUCAAUUUUUGUUCUACUAGUCGCUUUAUAACCACACUAAAAUUAUAAUCACAAUCAAAUUAAAAGUUGCAUAUAACUGUUGUCUUUUUUUCGAGAUCUAAGUUGCUUUUCAACUAUCCCGAGAUUUUUUUAAAUACCUAAGUUGCCUACAACCACCCCCAGAAUUUGUUCAAAACCACACUCAAAACAAGAUCAGCAACUGGUCAGAGCUACCUUCAGAGUUGCUCACAAACACCCCCUCAAAGAUUUGUUUUCCUAGUUGGUUAUAACAAUACUCAAAUUCCAAGCACAAUCAAAUGUAAGGUUCAGUGAGUUUUGCUGCAUUUUUUCAUCACUUGCUCUUUUUAAGUAUUGAAGUUGCCUGUAAACAGUCUCAGAGUUGCCUCAAAACUCUUGUUGAUUGUAACCACUUUUUCUCAAAGAUUUUUGUUUGCUAGUUGGUUAUAACAAUACUCAAAUUCUAAGCACAAUCAAAUGUAAGGUUCAGUGAGCUUCGCUACAUUUUUUUCAUCACUUGCUCUUUUUAAAUAUUGAAGUUGCCUGUAAACAGCCUGAGAGUUGCCUCAAAAACUCUUGUUGAUUGCAACCACUUUAUUCUCAAAGAUUUUUGUUUGCUAAUUGGUUAUAACAGUACUCAAAUUCUAAGCACAAUCAAAUGUAAGGUUCAGAGAGAUUUGCUGCAUUUUUUUCAUCACUUUGCUCUUUUUAAAUAUUGAAGUUGCCUAUAAACAGUCUCAGAGUUGCUUCAAAACUCUUGUUGAUUGUGACCACUCUUUUUCCUUCUGCAGGUGAUGAUCCAUGUGCUUGAAAACCUAGAGCUAGACACACCCAAUCGCACAUGCCACUACUGGGUUUUCAACAUAAAUUUGAGGGACGGCAGGUUUGAGGUGUUUGACUCGCUGAGACUCGUCAAGAAAAGCAAAAGGUUGGACGGGGUAGCAAGGUGCAUUGUAGCAUCUGUUCGGACAUUGUGGGAUAUACAUUAUCCAGAGCAGGCAAAAAUCAUGGAGAAAUUCCCACUAGUUGACAUUGAUGCACCGAAGCAGAUCAUAGCGUAAGAACUACUUACUUGCAGAGUUCGUAGGAGUUAUGUGUGGUUUUUUUCAAGUGUUCUUCUGACAUAAAGGAUUCUCUCUUUAUUUAUGCAGAGGUGAUUGUGGGAUUUUUGCUCUGAUGAACGUACUAUUCUGGAAUGGGACAUGGCUUCCCAACUACGGACAAGCUGACAUACAGAAUAUCAGGAAGCGAAUGACCAUCUCCAUGAUCAAAUGUGAACUAAACAAGGAGCCAUGGCAGGAGAUUCUCAAACCAGUCAAAAAGUAAAAGGACAUCGGUACAGAGGUUUUUCAUCUUUUUUUCAGCACAUCAAGUGAAACAACCUCACAUUACUGGCAAUCAAUCAUGUUUUUUGAUUUUUAUCAUUUGAUUGAGCAUACAAUGGAUCCAGCUAUGAACUUAAAGCAAAGAACUAGGUGUUAACCAUUUUCCAUAUCACCUGCCCAAAAUCAACGCACAAGUGGCUUCAUACUGCCCCACUGUUUGCUCAAAAACUGUGCAUGAGUUGUUUUUUUUAAACACAGCUGCUGACAACUUUUUUGGCAAGAGGAAUCAAAAACCACAGAAUGAUUAAGCAUAUAGAUUUCCACAUUUUCCUUUCAAGCAACGACCAUUUUCUUUGAAGCUAUAUGUCUGCAAUUAUGAAUUUAAAGCGAAGACAGAAACAAGGACAAAUAUAAAUUAUUACAAGCUUCUCCAAAUCGAUCGACACGUUUUUUGACAUAAAACCUGACCUGUGGCGCGGUUGCUUUAAAUUGCCUCAUCAUCUGCUCAAAAAAUGAGGUCAACAGUUGCUUCCAGUGUACGGCACCUAGACUGAGUGGGUCAUUUUCGUCUGUCCACGUCACUUCAACUUCUAAGUGUACUUUUGAGCAUUGUGUUCAAUUGAAUCACAAAGGUUGCAUUUGUUCUUUCUUUUUGGUUGUAGUUCUAGAGCUGAUUUGAACCGUCUGGUGCAGGUGCGGCCUUUUGUGACUGACCUGGGUGGGUCCAUAGGGGGUAGGGGGCAGGUGGAGGAGGAGGUUGACCCGAUGCACUGGGGGCUGUUGGAUCUGAUGCUUCCUUAGCCCGGACUGCUUCCCGGGCUGCCUUGAGCUUCUUUCUCCUUAAUUAGUUCAGUUUAGUAACCUCAGCGUCUGCUGCCUUCAUGUGCCUCGCAACCACAGGAGCAGCCUCAUCACUUGUCAUUGCUUUCUUUGCCAACCUUGCAAAAUCCAUUGUCAUAUUCACUUGGCGCACUUGGUUCUCUGACUCAGGGGGCAAGUCUGGGCCAGAAUUUUGGUCAAUUGGCGAGGGCACACUUGGGACUGCAUCUUGCGUCCAACGUUGCUUGAUGUAGUGUGUAGGGAUCUCAUUAACGCCAAGGUGUCUGAAGAUUUUCAAUACAUGGCAACAAAGUAUGCCGUCCCUAUGCCACUUGCAACAUUCACAAUCAUAGAUUGCUGGCUCUGGCCUCACUAUGACUAGGUACUUCCUUGAGCCAUACCCUAGAACUUCUUCUAUAUUGGGCUCAAGGUGAUAGAAGUGGAUUCCAGCGGGGAACACAUCGUACUGGCCAAUCAUCUAAAACUCAGUUCUAAAUUUCACAUAGAUGUCCCUAGUGUAUGCCUUGUAGGCAUGUCUCUCAAUGGGGAAACACGACCAUCUUUGUGCGUCUAGAUGCUCUGUCCGGUAGUCGUUCCCGCCUUCCCUCACGAGUAUGUGUACCUAAAUUUUCUCAUGUUGCUUGACAAAAUUGAGGAGCGACUUGUGUGGGUUCACAUAGCGCUUCAAGACAACGUUGAACCCUUCGCUGCGUUGUGUUGAUUGAAGGAACGGGAAGAACCUGAAUUUGAAGUAGCAUGGCACCCAUGUAGCCUGGUCUUCAUACAAUUUCUCAAAGUGCCCAUACAUGAGCCCAUCAUACUUUAUCAAGAGUGCAACCCACUUUCGCUCAAAUUCCGCAGGGGUGAAACUGAAGUCAAUACACUCAUUGAAGUCCUUCACCAAAUCUGGGUUCCUAGCCAACACUGGUCCAAGUUUUUCUUGCGCCUUCUUCAUAAUAUGCCAACGAUAACAACGAUGUAUUGCUGCGGGGAACUUGUUCUUGAUAGAUGCCGCCAUUGCAGCAUCUUGGUCUAUGAUUAUGUUGUCCGGAGCCAAUCCAUCCAUUGCCUCCAAGAACGCAUCAAAUAGCCAGUCAUAGCUUGAGGCUAGCUCCUUCCGGACAAAGCCACACCCAAGCAUAAUAGAUUGCCCAUGUCUGUUGAUGCCAAUGAAGGGGGCAAACGGCAUACUGUACAUGUUCGUGAGAUAAGUUGCAUCAAAUGAUACGCAAUCGUGGUAAGCCGUCGCAUAAGCUUUCCGGGCUGCACCAUCCACCCAAAACAAGUUCUCACACCUGCCUUCCGCAUCCGUCUUGCACUUGAAGAAAAAACCAGGGUCUGCUUCCUUAACUUUGCAAAAGUAGUUCAGGGUUUCUUCAACGUCGCAGUCUUUAGUUGCAGCAUUCAGCUUUGAACAGUGGUUAUGUAUGGCUUUGCACGUGUAAGGGAUGAUCAACUCUGACCCAUAGUAUGAUGACAUCACCAUCAUCAUUCUCCCUGUCAAAGACAUUUUUUCACAAUACCUUGUGUUAUUUUUUUGAAGCAACAAAAACAUGAUGUAAGGAGCAACUUAUGCAUAAAAUAGAGCAACUUCAUAUACAUAAAAAGUUCUUUCUUUUUACUAGUUUUCCCCCUAUGCACACGAAAUGCACAAUGUGAGAAGUUAGUAGUUUUUUAUAUGCUGGGCACCACGUAUCUUAUCAGAGUUGCUCAAAGCCAAAACAGAAUUGCUCAAAUUAAAAAAAGAGAGUUGCCAGAGUUGCUUUUUUCUGACCAAAAAGAUGAGGGGUGGUGGGGUGUUUUUUGAUGUACCUGUCUAGUUGUUGUCGUGUAGAUGAGUCAGAAAUUUUUUCUCCUCUGGGGGGAUGCCUUGGUGGGAACGGAGAUAUUUGGAUAGUGAAGGUUUGUCAACCAACGGAUGGGUGUGAUUUGCAAUGAAGUUUAUAACUUCCCAUCUGCCAUCUAUUAGCUUGACCACCAUCUUAGCAGGGCAUUUGGUUUGCUUUAUAGUCUCCCUUUUUUGCUUCUUCUUAUAAGUGGGUUCUUCAUCAUCCUCUUCAAUAUCUUCUUCAGGGGAGCUUGUGCAUGCACUUUUUUUGCUUGAUGAGACAUCUGAUACUCCAACCCUCUCCACAGGCAUACGAAACUUGUUACAACAGAAUUGUUGCCUGUCCAGCACCCCUGUGUAUGCCGACCUGUGGGACGUGUUUGACUUGAUUGAAAAACCCACCCCUAGAGCAUAGCGAUUGUAGUGUUCUCUUGCCCCCACUAGCGUGUCAAAGCGCAUACCAACAUAGGGCAGUUGCGGCUGCGACCCUGCUUCUUCAUCUUCCAAGUCAGGUUUAUCAUCAACUGUAGCAUUAGCAGGACCAAGUACAGCAUUGGGAGCAGCGACAUGGGUGGUCAGAGCAUGAGCAUCAUUAGAGCCAAUGCGGGGUCUAGUGACUCACCAACCCCCUCUUCCAAAUGGAUAUAAGGCUGAUCAUAUGCUGUAUUUAAGAACGGCGCGCCCAACUCAACCGAAAUGUUGACAGACUCGACGUCAACCGGUGGUUCAUUGAGUUUUUUCAUUGUUUUAUUUUAUUCUUCUUGUCCCUCUUUGUUUUGUUUACCAGCUCACCCUGCAGAGACAUUUUCAUUGUCAAUAACACAACCAAUAUAAACAUACUUUUCUGUUAGGAGGACAAAUUGAAGUAAAAGUCUAUACUAGAUUAAAUCAGGGCAACCAUAUACAAUUUUCUAGGCAACUGUAAAGGUAAGCAGAGGCAACUUUUUGUGUUGUUUUCACACAAGUUCAAUUUUUUUGUCAUACAUUUUUCUUCUCUGUGUUACCCACCAGCGCACAAUAUGUGUAUAAUUUGCUGACAAGUGUGUUCCCUUUUUGUUCUUCAGCAGGAGGUGGCAAACACUUUUUGCAGUGGGGGAAAGAUGCAUAUAUGUUAGGCAGGUCUAAGCAUGGGCAGAAGACCUUUUUUCAUUUUUAGUAGUGGAUUUGUGUGGAUUUAGGCAGAUCUUCUAUGCAAUGUUGUUACUUUUAAUAUGUUUUUUAUUUGUGUCCUUAUUUAUGAGAGGAUACACAUGUACUGAACUACGUUUGAAUGCUUUUGUGUGAAUAUUUUCUGUUUUUACCAGAUUGAGAACCGUAUGCAGUUUUUGCCGGAUUGAUGAAUGCAAGCAUCUUGAUGCAUACUUUUGUUCAUGACAAUUGUAUGUUGCUCAGUUUUGUCUGUAAAACCAUUGAGAGGUGGGAAGUUGCUUGGAAAUUGUUUCUCUUUUCUUUACAUAAUGGACAUAGUUGCUUAGUUUUACAAAUCAGGAAAAGAAACACCCCCUCUUGAUCCCUCAAGCAGGGGAAAAGAUAUUUUUUUGCAGUUGUUCAACGAACACAAUACAAUUGCGUAAAGUAGGAGGAUCAGUUGCUCAGUGUUUUUUUGCAAAACAACUGUAAGCCUAUUGACCAGGGACAGACAAACACAAUGCACAUAGAUGCUCAGUUUUGAAACCAGUAACAUGCAAACCCUUUUGAUAUCUCAAGCAGGGACAAAGGUUUUAGGUUUUUUGUUCAUAUCCCCCUCAUUUUUUUGCAGUUGCUCAACGACCACAAUAGAAUUGCCUAAAGUUGUAGCACUAGAUGCUCAGUUUUUUUUUGCAAAACAACUCUAGGACUAUUGAUAUGGAACAGACACACACAAUGCACAUAGAUGCUCAGUUUUGAAAUCAGGAAUAGACAAACCCUAUUGAUAUCUCAAGCAGGGACAAAGGUUUUAGGUUUCUUGUUCAUACCCCCACAUUUUUUUGUACUUGCUCAACGAUCACAAUGAAAUUGCCUAAAGUUGGAGCACUAGUUGCUCAGUUUGCUUUUUGCAAAACAACUGUAGGCCUAUUGACCAGGAACAGACAAACACAAUGCACAUAGAUGCUUAGUUUUGAAAUCAGGAACAUACAAACCCUAUUGAUAUCUCAAGCAGGGACAAAGGUUUUAGGUUUCUUGUUCAUACCCCCACAUUUUUUUUGUAGUUGCUCAACGAUCACAAUGAAAUUGCCUAAAGUUGGAGCACUAGUUGCUCAGUUUGCUUUUUGCAAAACAACUGUAGGCCUAUUGACCAGGAACAGACAAACACAAUGCACAUAGAUGCUUAGUUUUGAAAUCAGGAACAUACAAACCCUAUUGAUAUCUCAAGCAGGGACAAAGGUUUUAGGUUUCUUGUUCAUACCCCCCUCAUUUUUUUUGCAGUUGCUCAACGACCACAAUGGAAUUGCCUAAAGUUUGGAGUACUAGUUGCUCAUUUUACCAAACAUGAAGGGGGGUGGGGUGUUCAUGAUCAAGCAUGAGAUGGACGGUUUUUUGUAGUUGCUUAGUCAAAGUAAUAGAAUUGCCCAAAAUCACUAGUUCCUUAGUUUUUUGCACACACCUACAAAUCCGACCAGAGAGGGACGGGAUUUGUAGGCAAAUCACGAACAGAAGAGGGGGUAGAGGUUUUGGAGGACGGUAGUUACCUUCUGAUCUUGCUUUGUCAAGACACCAUGGACACCCCAAGAUCAGCCUGAUUCUUCAAAUCUGGUUACAAAGUUAGAGGAAGGAGGAAAGGAGGAGGAAAGGAUGAGGGGAGAUCUGAACGUGCUGGUCAAGAAAGAGAGAAAAGAGAGGAGAGAGAGGGGGAUUGCGGGGGCGCGUGAGAGAGAGAAGGGGGCCAACGCACGGGGACCAGGAGGUGGACCAGGUGUGAUCGGGGCGCGUGCGAUCCACCCGUGAUUCGCGCAGGCUUCAGUUCCUUGAUUUCGCGUGCGCGGGGCUGUCUUUCCCUUUUCGGUUGUCUGCUCGCACGCGGGUCGUUGCUUCCUUUUAUGGGAGAGUGCUCGGUGGUGCGAUCGGGCGCCCGUGCGCCAGGGAGCCACGUCCCUGCAAAUAAUGUACCUUGUAGGCUAUGCUGUAAGCUAGGCUGUAGGCUGUUGGACAUGCAUGCUUGCACGGCUGCUAACAAUGCGCUGCACUACAAUCUACUUCUUGCAUACUAGGGGUUGGGGCGCACCCAUGGCGCGCCUCUUGACACGAAGUUGUGCGCACCUGUAUUGCUGCAGCGUCUCGUGCGGCCAUUUUCAUACGCCCACACACAUUAGUCCUCGAUUGUUAGCAAACAAACAGUUGUUGUUAGCAUCACGAUAUUUGUUGCAUCAUUUUUAUGUCCAAUUUAUAUAAACAUCGAUAAUUAGGUUAAUUUUGGUAAUUUUCUUAUUUUUAAUAAAAGUUAACAUUUUCGUAAAAAAUGAAACACUAUUUCCACGAAUGAGUUACCGGUUGAGUACAUGAAGACAUCCUCCUUCGGGACAAUCAAGUAGUACUGAAUUCUAAGUCCAAAGUUGACAGUUGGAUCGUUCUAUAGAAUCCAAGUAAUGAAUUUAAGUUUAGAAAAUUAGUAAUGCAAUGUGUAACAUAAAUGCUUAAGUUUGUUUUAUAUUAACAUAGAAUUAGAAACUGAAAUUUGAAAUGUUGCAUUACCUAUUUGGUCAGGUCUUCCAUGUAGACAAUAUUCUUGGUGUAUGUCUCGCUUGUACUGGUCUUAUUCUUCUUUUUUCUUCUUCUUCUUCCUCUCCUUUGUUUAUGUGUGGCGUGUACUUUUCUUCUUGUUUGUUUCUUUGUCCAGAAGUUGAAAAUUGAUGGUGAUAAAUUUCAUAAUUAACUGAUUUUACUUGUCCAGAAGUUCAAAAUUAUUGAUGAUAAAUUUUAUGUAUAUGCAUGGCAGGUACCACAUUGUUUGUAAGGAUAUUGAAGGAUGUUGUAUGGACAGAUGGAUUAUAGAGUUGGUGUAUAUUAAUCAUGAUAAGGGGAUAAGGAAUAUACUUAUGGCUCCUUGGCUCUGGUUGGGUCAGUAGCUUGGAGAUUGCUUGUAGAUUGAUCUGCUCUAGUUGGCUCAGUAGCUUGGAGUAUACUUGGAGAUUUGCUCUUCUUUAGAAAUCAAAAUCAAUAUUUGUAACCUGGGUGUGUACUAAGUUGCCCGUACUUUUUCGUGUGUACUAAUCUAGGCGUCCAAUCUCUGAAAGCUGGGUACUUUAUAUUAGUCCAACUUUUGCUGGUCCGAGUUGGUGUAUGGAUUUGCUUCCGAUUGGCGAUUGUUUUUCCCCUUCCACGUCCGAUCCAGUAAUCUGUUUCCUUUUUAGUUUGUGAUUCCGUCAAGGACACAAACUGUGAAUGAAUCACUUCAAAAGCCGGCUGAAUCUCAAGAAUGCAAGCUGUUUGAUUGGAACUAAAUUGUACAUUGGACUAUGCUAAUGUUGAUUCCUGGGUAUGGUAUACUUCUCCUCUGUCAGUCGAUUAACCGACGACAAAAAAGUAAAUAAGAUGCAUGGAUCGAUAAUAUUUGACAUCUACAGCUGAGCAUAAAAAAAUACUGACAUGAAAUGUAACGCCCACGAUGCGGCUAUAUCUCCCACGUGUCGAGGCACGACUUAGAGGCAUAACCGCAUUGUGGUUUUGUCGCAAGAAGGGUCAUCUUCACACAAUCCCAUGUAAUGAACAAGAAUGGGAUAACGAGAGUUGGCUUACAAUCGCCACUUCACACAAUACAUAAAUAAUUCAUACAUAUCAUCCAAAAUCCACACAUAGACCGACUACGGUCAAAACCUAAAUGAAAAUAAGAUAACUCCAAAUGCUAGAUCCCCGAUCGUCCCAACUGUGCUCCACUACUGAUCAUCAGGAAAAGAAAAAUAGUAACGACCACGUUCCUCAUCGAACUCCCACUUGAGCUCGGUUGCGUCAUCUGGAUCGGCAUCGUCGGCACCUGCAACUGUUUUGGUAGAAUCUGUGAGUCACGAGGACUCAGCAAUCUCACACCCACGAGAUCAAGACUAUUUAAGCUUAUAGGAAAGGAUGGUGUAAUGAGGGGGAGCUGCAGCAAGCACUAAGCAUAUAUGGUGGCUAACAUACGCAAAUGAGAGCGAGAAGAGAAGCAAUGCAACGGUCGAGAAGCUAGAAAUGAUCAAGAAGUGAUCCUGAAACUACUUACGUUCAUGCAUAACUCAAACCGUGUUCACUUCCCGGACUCCACCGAGAAGAGACCAUCACGGCUACACACACGGUUGAUGUAUUUUAAUAGGGUCAAGUGAAAAGUUUUCUACAACCGGACAUUAACAAAUUCCCAUCUGCCUCAUAACCGUGGGCACGGCUUUCGAAAGAUAAUGCCCUGCAGGGGUGUCCCAACUUAGCCCAUCAUAAGCUCUCACGGUCAACGAAGGAUAAACCUUCUCCCAGGAAGACCCGAUCAGUCUCGGAAUCCCGGUUUACAAGACAUUUCGACAAUGGUAAAACAAGACCAGCAAGACCACCCGCUGUGCCGACAAAUCCCGAUAGGAGCUGCACAUAUCUCGUUCUCAGGGCACACCGGAUAAGCGAAGCGUACAGGUACCAACGUAACCCAAGUUGCCAAGGGACGGUCCCGCACGGUGCUCUAGUUUGGACCAACACUCGGAGGAGCACUGACCCGGGGGUUAAAAUAAAGAUGACCCUCGGGCUCGCGAAAACCCAAGGGAAAAGGCUUAGGUGGCAAAUGGUAAAACCAAGGUUGGGCCUUGCUAGAGGAGUUUUAUUCAAGACGAACUGUCAAGGGGGUCCCAUAAAUCACCCAACCGCGUAAGGAACACAAACUCAAGGAACAUAAUACCGGUAUGACGGAAAGUAAGGCGGCAAGAGUGGAACAAAACACCAGGCAUAAGGCCGAGCCUUCCACCCUUUAUCAAAUAUAUAGAUGCAUUAAUUAAAUAAGAGAUAUUGUGAUAUUCCAAAAUAUCCAUGUUCCAACAUGGAACCAACUUCAACUUCACCUGCAACUAGCAACGCUAUAAGAAGGGCUGAGCAAAAGCGGUAACUUAGUCAAACAACGGUUUGCUAGGAAAAGGAUGGUUAGAGGCUUGACAUGGCAAUAUGGGAGGCAUGAUAUAGCAAGUGGUAGGUAGCGCAGCAUGGCAAUAGAACGAGCAACUAGCAAAGCAAAGAUAGAAGUGAUUUCGAGGGUAUGGUCAUCUUGCCUGCAAGGUUCUCAAAGUUGUCGAAAGCUUAAUCCUCGUAAGCGUACUCGACAGGUUCCUCGUUCACGAACUCGUCUCCCGGCUCUACCCACAACAAGAACACAAGCAACGUAACCACAAUCAAUCACGGGAAAUGCACAACCAACAUGAUGCAAAACAUGUAUGAUAUGCAAGAUGUGGUAUGCGAUGCAUAUGCGUGCUCCGGAAGAAAAAUGAUGAACAAGGCAGUAACUUGGCAAACCAAGCAUGCCACUGGAAAGAUGAGAUGAUUUCGGUCGAAAUUGAUAUAAAGAUCACCGGAAACGGAUGCACGGUUUGCAAAUGGCAAGCAAAACAAGAAUGACACGAUUCUGCGAUUAACAGCAUGAUAGCACUUAGAAUGCAACAAGUAGCAACGCUACAGCACUCCAACAUAGCAACAAAGCAUAUGGAAGUAAUCUACAGGAGAUGCUUGACAAAAGAUGAACACUGAGCUACGGCUAGAUCACAACAUAACAGGUCCAAACAAGCAUGGCAAAAGUGCAAAAGAUAUCAGGUUCACAGACUUGGUGAAAUUACUGGACAUGGCUGAAACAAUAUCAGGUAGCAAUGUUCAGAACAAGAAAUCAACAUGCUACAGGAACUUAACAUAGCAAAACAAGACAUCGCAUGAACCUACUAAAUGCAUAGAACAAAAGCUCCUUACUGACCAUAAGCCAAAAAAGAGCAGAAGAUAUGAUGGCAACCAUGUAAACAUAGCAACUUUCGUUAAUAGGUUUCAGACUUGGCAGAAAACAGAGCAUGGCAGUAAUAGCAUUAUGAAGGCAUCUUGGUGAGCUUGACUCACUCAGCACAAAGCCAUGCAUGACAAAACAAGCAUACCUACAGCAAGAUGGCAAGUUUAUGAAGCUAUCCAUGGCAAGAACAAAUACAAAGCAUGAAUGGAUCAACUACAACAAGCUUGGAAAAAUUGAAUAACGCGUAAACAAUCUGCCAGAAAUAUUUUAUAACAAAAGUAGAGCAAGAUUGAGUCAUGCUAGGUACUCCCUAAUUGCAAACAGGGACAUGGAUGCAUAGAGUACAACUAUAUCUACAAAACAUCCUUACUGAACAUCAUCAAAAGAAGCAUGGAUCCCUCUGUAGCCACAUGGAUACAUAGCAACAAAAUAACAGCAGUCACAGAAUUAGCAAAAUUACUAAGCCCCUGAAAACAGAAACAUCACAAAGCCUAGUUUGCAUGCUUGUGCUAGUCACCACAGAGAUCACAAAAAUACAUGGCAUACACCUCUGUAAAGAUGGGAUGGCAUACAUCAAAACACAUGUAGAGCUCAUGCCCAUAAGAUGCACAUAUUAAAUGCAAAACAAAUAACAAAUCCUCAUGUUCUGAUAAGUAACAGCAGGUAACAGCAUAUAGCACUCUUGCACUAGAGAUUUUGGCAUCAAGAUGGACUCAAAUGAACAUGGCAUAAUGGAACAAAAUGAAGAGCAUCUCGAGAAGAACAUUUCGAUAUAUUACACGCGCGAAACGUAGUUAUAUGGAGAGAGUUAUGCCAUGAUGAAGUAUGCCACAGUAUGUGAAAAUAUCCGAGACUUGGCAGAAAUUAGAGGAGGGGGGAGUCAACCCUAGAGUUUCCAGAUCGGAUCGGGAGCAGUUCGCCGGGGCAGCGGGCUCGGGCGCCGGAGAGAGCUCGGUCGAGGGAGGAGGAGGAGGCGCCGGGGGACGCGGGGGUCGGUUGGGACGCGGCGGGAGGAGGCAGCGAGGAUGGCGUCGAGGCACGCCGGCGCAUGGGCGCGCGGGUGCCGGCGGGCACGGGUGGCGGCCGGAGNNNNNNNNNNNNNNNNNNNNNNNNNNNNNNNNNNNNNNNNNNNNNNNNNNNNNNNNNNNNNNNNNNNNNNNNNNNNNNNNNNNNNNNNNNNNNNNNNNNNNNNNNNNNNNNNNNNNNNNNNNNNNNNNNNNNNNNNNNNNNNNNNNNNNNNNNNNNNNNNNNNNNNNNNNNNNNNNNNNNNNNNNNNNNNNNNNNNNNNNNNNNNNNNNNNNNNNNNNNNNNNNNNNNNNNNNNNNNNNNNNNNNNNNNNNNNNNNNNNNNNNNNNNNNNNNNNCCCGAUCCGGGCUCUCCGGGCCGCGGCGGCGGGGACGGCGGCGAUGACACUUGGCGGCGGCGGAUUGGGCGAGGGCGGCGGCGCGAUUUCGUCCGGCGCCGGGCGGACGUGUCCGGUGCGCGGAGGGAAAGGGCUAGGGUUUCGGGGAUCCGGAAUUUCGGGGAGUCUCACAUAUAUAUAGCUAGAGGGAGCUAGGAGACUCCAAAUGGAGCACGGUUUUCGCCCACACGAUCGUGAUCGAACGACCUAGAGCAUGGAAGAGACUUAGAGGGGUUUUUGGAAUUUUUGGAGGGGGGUUUUGCUGCAACACACAAAAGGACUUUGUGGUUGCCAGGUUAACCGUUGGAGCAUCAAACGACCUCCAAAUGGAAGUGCUCUACCAGUGGUAUACCAAGGCCACUUGGCAAGCCUCGGUCCAUUCCGAAAACGUUCAACUCCCGUUCAUGAAAAGAAACAAGAGGGGUGCGCCGGUGCAUGUGGGAGUGCCGGAUUGCAAAACGGAUAACGGAGAAAAUGCUCGGACUCAUGAGACGAACAUGUAUGCCCAUGAGAUGCACAUGAUGAAAUGAUAUGAGAUGCAUGACAUGAACAAAAUGCAAAACAAAAAACAUAAUCCGACCACGGAGAGAAUAUCAUAACACAUAGCCGAAAAUGGCAAGAGUUGGAGUUACAAAUAUGGAAAGUUACAUCCGGGGUGUUACAUGAAAGAAUUCAUAAACAAAAAAAUAAUUCUUAUCCACAUGCCAAACCAACAAACGUCACAAAGAAGUAAAAAUAAAAUAAAUACACAUGCUGGGUCUAGAAAGAACAUCUGCAGCAUUAGUUUCGGAAGACUAACCUCAACAUAUACACAUGCUCUUCCUAUGCCAUCACUCUAGAGAAAUAGUAGAACCAGAAGGGGAUAAACCAUGCUGCUAGCUGUUAUAGUUGUACGUACAAGUCAUUGUACUCUAGAAGCUAAAUAGCAGAAAUAAUGCUCCAUCGACAAAAUUUCAGUGUGAGUCUCACAGAUGAUCAUUGAUGUGUUCUUGCACAUCCGGCUGCAGUUAGAUCUGGGACCAUCUUUUCUGGUCCUGCCAUUUCAGUUUCUCGUGUUGGUAAUCCAUUGAAAUCCCCCUCGGCACUGGCUUUGACCCCGACCUGCUUAUCUGGGAUGCCAAGAUCAUUUUCUGCAAACCCUUGUCUAUGGAGGACUUCAUUGCAGUUGGCUGGAAUAGUUGGAAGCAAAGGAAUGUGAGGAACGAUCACAUGAAAGAAGUCAUGUGAACAUAUCAGACAUGGUUGUCUGAUAGAACAUUCUUCUGAACAAAGCAGGUUGUACAAAGACUACAAACAAAGUACUCCCUCUGUUCCUAAAUAUAAGUCUUGUUAGAAGAUUUCAAUAUGGAGUACAUAUAGUGGAAAUGGGUGAAUCUCACUCUAAAAUCUGUCUAUAUACAUCCAUAUCUAGUCCACAUUGAAAUCUCUAAAAAGACUUUAUUUGGAAACAGAGUGAGUAGUUCUUAUCAACAUGCUGAACCCAAAAAAUGUCAUGAAGAAGAAAAAAAAAGAAACAUCACCUGCAGCAUUAGUUUCAAACUUUUCUAUCGCUUGGCUUGCAACAACUCAUGUGCAUUACCAAAUUAAUGAAUAGGAGCAUUUAUCAGUAAGGAGAAAAGUGAAGUACCAGGCUCCAACCAGCCUCCUGGAAUGAGGUCAGGAACUAUCCAACUACAGAUCAAGAUCCAUACAGUGCGACAUCCAUACGCCACCAAGAAGUAGUAUUUUGCUGUAGUGAAUUAAAGAAGCAUCAAGUGUGCUCGUCCUCGGACCCACUCGUGCCCCCCCUGAUUUCAUCGGCCUUGUUGACGUGUGAGCCACUGCCGACGACAUGAACUCAUGCAGCAGCCUUGUUGACGUGCUCCCCCAUGAACUCAUGUAUUUUAGUUUAACAUCUGCUUUGGGAAUAAGAAAUUAUGACCCAUUAAAUACGAUAGUCGAACUUAGUCUUACCAAUCCACAUAUUUUUUUUAGAAAUCUCCACUGAUGAUUGUAACAAAAGAAUUCAGUCGACACAAAAAAGUAAGUCACGCUUCAAAUCUUGGGGCAUGCAAAGCCUGUUGGAGGCUCGAACACAAAUAAGCUAGUAGAACCAUGCACUCCCUUUGUCUGUUGGUACAACAUGAUGCAAAUUAUUUAUGACAAUCCAUUAUGCGAAUUACCUAUGAUAAUCUGAAUUGAAUCACAGCAGUUAAUAUGUUGCACAUUUUCAUAUUGAGGAUCAGGGAAGAAAUGGCCAUACUGCAAAAAGAUGGAUACAUUAAAAUUAGAUGGUAUGGUUAAGUGUUAAAUCCUUAUCUGUCACUGCAAUUUUUCAUAACAGUUAUGCCACUAUUGCACCAAUGGCAUGUGGGUCCAAACCUAACAGGUCAGUGGCACCCAAGGUGGGUUAAACACUUUUACUGUGACAGACAUGGGAUUUGAUCCUACAGAUAAUGUGAAUACGGGUAGCUUGAAGGCUUACAGAGUGGCCCGGAUCAAAAUCUUGUGAUGUUCUCAGCCUGAGAACACAACCAAAUGCAUAGGAUCAACUCAACAUGCGAUACCUGUUCAUAAGAAAAGGCAAGGCAACAAGGAGAAGACCAUUCACAUCUUAUCAAGAACCUAGGCGGUGGAAUUUGACAUCUUAUCAGGAACCUACGCAGGGGAAUUUCAGAAAUAAAAUACAGAGGACAAUCAUAAGAUCAAGCUCACAUGUCCUGGUGAAGUGUUGAAUCAUCCGAGUUUGCAUAGACAAAUAAUGAACCACCACUUUCAAUACUUUAAAACUUCGACGAAGCCAAAUUGGUGUAUUCAUCAGUUACAACAAAUAUGUCUACACAUACUCCUGCUUGAAUAGCCUGUUACAAAGUUCACUAAAGGAUAGAUAUGGUCAAGAAAAUGUAACUUUUUUCCGCUGAAAAAAUCAACAGAAGCUUAUUAGAUCUCUACUAUAGAAAGUUAUCUGCUCAUGGAGCAACACAACAAAUGGCAAGGAGGAGGAGAUGCGUGCACCUACCAAGGAAAGCAAAUCCCAUGCCUUAGGGAAAGGAAAGGGAGGGAAUAAGAGGAAAUCAAGAGAGAGGGCCGUACCUUAAUGUUGCUGCUGCUUAUCCUGGGACUGGGACUGGAGGAAGGAGCAGCGGACCUUGAUGAGCACAUGAGCAGCGUCUCGGGCAGAGGAAGCUCCGCUCCGUGGCCCCUAGUACAGAGAUGAGACAAGACGGGGGUCAGAGAGGGCGAGAAGAAGGAGGAGGAGGAGAGAAGGGAUUGAUAACAUACCACCAUCGUCGAGGCAUGUGCCUGCGGUCGGUCGCCAUGGCCAGACGGCUAGGGUUUCUGGCGCGAGGACGGAGGGGCGGAUCUGACUGUGGGCUGUGCUGCUCGAGUGGAUAUGCGUCCAGGGAGAGAGGGGGAGAGGCCGCUGGCGGUGGAGUGGAGGUCGGGGUUGGGGAGUCGGCGGCGGCUGGCUUCGGCUUGGGGAAUCGAGAGAAGAGAAACAUGAGAGAGGGGCAGCGAAGGAAGCAAUCGGGGAUUUCUUUUUUUUUGAACUUGGGAAUUUCUUUUUGUUGAUUGAUGGAUGUAUCGCUGCGUUUUUUUCUCUCUCGCUACCGAAAUCGAUACACUAUUCCUAGGCUGCCCAUGUGGACAUCACCAGCGUGCGCCCUUCACGCGCAGCUGAAUGUGUUUAAUGCUUGCAUGCAAAGCAUCGAAAAAGGAGCAUGCAAUGGUACAUAGUGGUAAAGUAAAAAAAGGAGCAUGCAAUGGCACAUAGUGGUAAAGUAAAAAUAGGAGCAUGCAAUGGCACGUAGUGGUAAAGUAAAAAUAGGUAAACUUGAUCAUGCAAUGGCCUAUGGCCUAGCCUGCGUAUUGUUUGCAGCGUCAGACUGUUUUCUACAGCCCGACAUAGGCCUCUGCCACGGCAAACCUCUCAAUAAAUUAAUACAUCGCGGACAGAGGCCAAAGGGUUCAACGCUUCCUCCAACUUUAACAAGACAUUCCAAAAGUUAAAAAACAUAUGUAGAAUAUACAAAAGUUCCUCUUGUUGGGCAGGAUUUAAGGCUGUAAAACUGUGUGUGUCGAAUUUGUUACGUAAGAGCUUCUACAGCCGGAGCUCCCAUAUUCGUCCUAAACUUCUCAAAUUGCUUAACCAGAUCCCUCUGAGGUACUAUGGUAGCGUCUAAAGGCAAUUGAUAGUAAAACAUGUCACUAAUUGUCAAGCUACCAUCGGGCAGGCGAUCAGUGUGACACCCAUGCCGUAUCUUCAACGACAUCAUGAAGCUAUUGGGCGGCACCAACCUGUGCAAAGUAGCAUAGUGUAAGGGCAUAUUUAUCCCUAAGGUGUUUUGGUGAUUGAUGACAAUGCUUUUGCGGACUAAUCGUGUGCCUAGAGUUUCUCAGACGUUUCAUCGCUAGGCACAAGACGGUUUGGUGCCCCUCGAAGACUAUUGAAGACGGCAUUUUUCUACGUUUCUUUUCGGUGGAUUUGAGUCGUAGGAAAGCCGUACUAUUAAGAGGGGGUCCGCUUCGGAAAGGUCCGGGUGGAAUCAUCACGUACACGUUUUCUUCCUCUGCACCACCUUUCCCCUUGUGCUUUGGAGCAUCCUCCGUUUUCCUCAUUUCUAUGCAAAGAGAAGGAUUCCUAAGUGUUGCUGUUCUGGGGCAUGCGGUAGUACUGCUCUACGGAGCGGUAGUACCGCAUGCCCUUGCGGUAGUACCGCAAGCCUUUGCGGUAGUACUGUAGGCGCCCGCGGUAGUGCCGCUCCUACGGAGCCGUACUACCGUGGCCUCAAACCAGACUCAGUUGCUCGUGCGGCUGUAGGGGAAGAUGUAAUUUUUUACGUCCGCGCCCUAGGUGGUAGUACCGCCCCAUGCGCGCGGUAGUACCGUGAGUCCUGGUCUAGCACAGUUACAUGAGCGGAAGUAGGGGCGGAUGUACUUUUUUACAUCCGCUCCCUGCGCGGUAGUACCGCAUGCCAUGUGCAGUAGUACCGUGUUGGAUUUUUGAAUCGAUUGAUUUUCAGCGGAUGUAGGCCAUUCCUGCCUUGCGGUAGUACCGCAUGGGGGAGCGGUAGUACCGCGGCUGCGGCAGUACCGCCCUCAGCCACUAUGCUUCAGGCCUGACCUAGUUCCUGCCGUAGCAGCGAUAGUACCGCGGUCACUCGCGGUAGUACCGUGUGGCCUUGCGGUAGUACCGCUUGUCAGGGGCGGUAGUACCGCAGGUCGCGGGCUGGUUAAGUGGAUAACGGUUGGAUUUGGUUCUCCACUAUAUAAGUGGUGUCUUCUUCCUCUAGUUGACUACCUCUUCCAACCCUAAGCUCCAUUGUUGCUCCAAGCUCCACUUUCGCCCGAUCUCUCUCCCUAGCCAAUCAAACUUGUUGAUUUGCUCGGGAUUGGUUGAGAAGGCCCCGAUCUACACUUCCACCAAGAGAAAUUUGAUUCCCCCCACCAAUCCCUUGCGGAUCUUGUUACUCUUGGGUGUUUGAGCACCCUAGACGGUUGAGGUCACCGCGGAGCCAUAGUCCAUUGUGGUGAAGCUUCGUGGUGUCGUUGGGAGCCUCCAAUUAAGUUGUGGAGAUUGCCCCAACCUUGUUUGUAAAGGUUCGGUCGCCGCCUCCAAGGGCACCAAUAGUGGAAUCACGGCAUCUCGCAUUGUGUGAGGCGUGAGGAGAAUACGGUGGCCCUAGUGGCUUCUUGGGGAGCAUUGUGCCUCCACACCGCUCCAACGGAGACGUACUUCCCCUUAAAGGGAAGGAACUUCGGUAACACAUCCUCGUCUUCACCGGCUCCACUCUUGGUUAUCUCGUGCCUUUACUUGUGCAAGCUUAUUUGUGUUAUAUCUCUUGCUUGCUUAUGUGCUUAUUGUUGUUGCAUCAUAUAGGUUGCUCACCUAGUUGCAUAUCUAGACAACCUACUUUGAUGCAAAGUUUAAAUUGGUAAAGAAAAGCUAAAAAUAGUUAGUUGCCUAUUCACCCCCCUCUAGUCAACUAUAUCGAUCCUUUCAAUUGGUAGCAGAGCCUCUUCUCUUUAUUAAGGACUUUGCCGUCCGAAGAGUAUGGUUGACACCGCAGACAGUGCGGAGGAGCACUCCGGUGUGAAUCCAUUCUCGUCUACGGCCGAUGGGGGAACCGCAGUCUCUCGUGAGGAAUUCAAUGUGGCCUUGGACACAUUGAAGACCUCCAUGACGACCGAGGUCGAAAGCAUGUUUAAUAAAUACAUAGAAGGGCUUAAACUUCCACCGCACCGUUGAAAGUGGGUGAUCCCGCUAACAAGGAGACGAAUGCUACCUCCGACAAGGGGGAAGCUACUAGCGAGAAAUCUCCUUCUUCUAGUGGUAAAAAUGGCACCGACAUCUUUGCCCAUGUGGAACCUCCACUUGUGUUUGGUGGACCGCUUCCUUCCACUCAUUUGAAUCAUGCCGGCCCGGCCCCUAAGAUUGAGAAGAAUGUGGACUUUGAUUCUUGGGUCUAUCGCUUUAAGCGUCAUUUAAAUCAUGUGAAUAUUAAUCUUUGGAGAGUCAUUGAAGAAGGUUUCUAUCCGCAUGACCGAAGCAACUUCACUCCUAGAGAAGCCGUGGAUAAUCAAUUCAAUGAGAAUGCUCUAUUCAUCAUCCAAGAAGCGAUUCCACCCGAAGAUCUUCCUCAUCUCCGGCCCUACUCCAUGGCCAAAGAUGCUUGACACCAAGUUGUUUCUCUCUACCGAGGAAGUGCAAGCAUUCAACGCUCAAACUAUGAAGUGGUGCAAGAUGAAGCCGAUGAGUUUGCAAUGAAAGAAGAUGAAAAACCUCAUGAGCUUUAUCGGAGGGUAACCAAACUCGCGGUUUCACUCCGAGAUCAUGGAAGCAAGGACACGGAUGACAAUUGGAUCAAGCGUAAAUUCCUCAAGGCAAUGAUGCCUUACCACAAGGCCAUGUCCUCCGUCAUUCGUCAAAGGCCGGACUUCCACACCUUGUCCUCAAGUGAAGUGUUGGAUGAGUUCGUUGCUAUGAGCAUCUUGGACAAGACCGCCGACAAUGUGGUGCUACGGUCUCAAAGAGUAAAGAAGCCCAACCUUGCACUAAAGGCCAAGGUUAAUGUGGAGGAGGAGGACGAAGAGGAAGAAGAGGAGAGCAACCCCGAAGAUACAAAUUAUGCCUAUCAUGAACACAUGGCUCUUGCCUCAAGGCAAUUUUGGAGCAAGAAGAACUCAAGGCCCAACUUCAACAAGAACAAUUCAAGUGGCGCAAGGGUCAAGCAACGUGUGAGGACUUGCUAUAAUUGUGGCAAUGUGAGCCACUUUGUUGCGGAGUGCCCGUAUGAGAAGAGGGAAGACAAUGGUGGCAAGCUCAUCCGAAAGGACAAAGCCAAGUCUUUCCCCAACAAGAACAACUUCACCAAGAAGACUCCUCCCAAGGCAUUGGUGGUACAAGAAGAGUAUAUUGAGGAUGAAGAUGAUGAUGAAGAUGGUGAGUCGGUUGCCAUGGCCUCGGUUGCCAUUGCGACGACUCCACGGGUGUCAGUCUUCGACUCACCCAAUGAGAACAUCACCGCCAAGUGCCUCAUGGCUAAAGCCACCAACAAGGUAACCCCCAACAUCAAAACUACCAUCAUUAAUCAUCCUUCUUUGACGGAUUGCAUUGAUGAACAUGAGGGAUCUAGUGUGGAGGAGAAUGAGUUUGAGUCUUUUAUGAACAGACUCAAAGGUAAACCCAAGAAGCACUUCGUUGCUCUCUUGGAACAACUUGGUGAAGCCAAUGACAUGAUCGAGGCUCACGAAGAUACCAUCUCUAAGAUGGAGGGGCAUAGUCGUGACUAUGCUGAUGAGAUUUCGGAUCUUUCCAAUGCUCUUGAAGAAGAGUGUGGUCUUCGUUUGGCUCUUGAGGAGUCACACAACGAUGAUCAUGCUAAAUUAAAGAAAGAUCUUGAUCAUGCUCUUGUUGUUUCUCGUGUGCUCAAUUCCGAGAAAGCCAAGCUUGGGGUUGAUCUUGCUAGACUCAAAGAGGAGUUUGACAUACUUGACAAGGCUCACAAAGUCUUGAAGGGUGCUCAUGCUAGCCUCAAGGAGUCUCAUGAUCAACUCCAAGUAAAGCUAACCAAGGAGAAAGCCACAUUUCCUCAUAUGGUGUUAAUUGAUAAUGCAAAUGCUACUAACCCUUGUUGUGAGCAUGUGCAUCUUGUUGAGGAGAAUUCUAAGUUGAAAGAGCAACUUGAGAAAGGCCUUGUGUCGUGCAUUCAAGGUGAGAAGAACCUCAACGACCUUUUGAGCAAUCAAAAGGAAGUUGUGGCCAAGGAAGGGAUUGGGUUCGCACCCAUGCCCAAGAACAAGAAGAAGACUGACAAGACCAAACGACCUCCCCCUCUCAAACAAACCUUUUUGAAGGAGGGAGAGGGUGCUUCCAAGGAGAAGAAGAGCAAUGUGAAGGGUGGUGGUGUCAAGACAGGCAAUGCCACCCCUUCCAACAAAGCCGGCGACUUUAACCCUUCUUAUGUUUUGUGUCGUGCUAGUGAUGGGCAUGUUUAUGCCAAAUUUGUUGGUUCUCCUCAUGAGUAUAUUGAAUAUUUGGGUUCCGAAGACCCUUGUCACUAACAUCAAAGGACCCAUUACAAAAUGGGUACCUAAAACCAAGCAUUGAUCUCUUGUAGGUGUUUGCUUCCGGUGGGGGAUCAUGGUUGCUCGAUAGUGGAGCUACAAAUCAUAUGACCGGAAGCAAGGACUUGGUGGUGGACGUGCACAAGAUUCCAUCUAUGCCCACCAACGUCAAGUGGGGUGAUGCCUCAUCUUCUAAGGUAUUGGGACUCGGCAAGGUUGUCAUUUCUCAUGAUCUCACGAUCGAGAAGGUCAUGCUUGUUGAGUCCCUUGCAUACAAUUUACUUUCCAUUCGUCAACUUGCAAUCAUGGGCUUUUCCACCUUCUUUGAUAUUGAUACCGUGGCCCUCUUGUGGAGAAAGACUCUUAAAGUAGCCUUUGUUGGGGCAUGUCGAGAAUGGUCUAUAUGUGAUUAACUUUUUGGAGCGACCCACUAAGACCGCGACAUGCCUAAUGGCUAAAGUUGACGUGGGAUGUCUUUGGCAUCGCCGUUUAGCCCAUGUCAAUAUGAGAUCUUUGCAAAGUCUUCUCAAGGGGGGCCAUGUUCGUGGACUAACAAAUGUUAGUUUUGCUAAAGAUCGUGCUCGCAAUGCUUGUAUUGAAGGGAAGCUACAUGAGAAGGCUCACCCUCCCACGACUAUCAUUUACUCGAAGAGGCCUUUGGAGAUCCUUCACUUGGAUCUCUUUGGGCCUCCAUCCUUUGAUAGUCUUGGGGGUAGAAAGUAUUGCUUUGUGAUUGUGGAUGACUAUUCAAGAUACACAUGGGUAUAUUUCUUCAAGAGGAAGAGCGAGACCCAACAAACUGUCAUUAACUUUGCAAAUGAAGCCCAACGUCAACACAAUGCAAAGAUCUUGACUAUAAGAAGCGACAACGGCACCGAGUUCAAGAACUACACCUUGGAUGAGUUCCUUAGUGAUGAGGGGAUCAAGCAUCAAUAUUUCGCACCAUACACCCUUCAACAAAAUGGUGUAGCGGAGAGGAAGAACCGGACGUUGAUGGAUGCGGCAAGGACCAUGAUGGCGGAGUUCAAGUCUCCAUAUAACUUUUGGGCCGAAGCCAUCGACACCGCGUGUCAUGCAUCCAAUCGGCUCUACCUCCGCAAGGGAUUGAACAAGACUCCAUAUGAGAUACUCACCGGUAACAAGCCCAACCUCAAGUACUUUCGGGUGUUCGGGUGUAAGUGUUUCAUUCUCAAGAAAGGUGUUCGUUUGUCUAAAUUUGAGGCUAGAGCUUAUGAGGGCAUAUUUGUUGGUUAUGCUACAAACUCUCAUGCUCACCGUUUCCUCAAUAAGUCCACGGGACUUAUUGAAGAGACAUGUAACGUGGAGUUUGAUGAGAAUAACGGCUCCCAAGUGGAGCAAAGUGGCACUUGUGAUGUAGGUGAUGAAAUUCCUCCUCAAGCCAUAAGAAGAAUGGGAGUUGGGUUUAUCCUACCCAUUAAGGAACCCCUUGUGGCCGAAGGAGAAGGACAAUGCUCCACUCAAGUGGAGCCAUCACCAACCCAAGGCCCACACGCUUCCGAAGAACAAAGUGAAGGCCCUCAACCUCAUGAACAUGACCAAGGGCAAGAUCAACCUCAAGACGGUGUUGAGUCACCAUGUGAUGCCCAAGGUCAAGUUCCCUCCUCCGAGCAAGUUCAAGAUCAAGAGCAAGAUCAAGAUAAAGAACAAGCUCAAGACGACACUCAAGAUGAUCAAGUGACCGCUCCUCAACUCACCUCCGAGGAGGAAUUGGAGCGUCGUGCCGCAAAGAUUGCAUCCAAGCUCUCUACCAAGGGUCAUCUUAUGAAGAAUGUGCUUGGAAGCAUUCAAAAGGGGGUAAGCACUCGUAGACAAUUGGCAAACUAUUGUGAACAUCACGCGUUUGUCUCUUGUGUUGAACCCCAAAAGGUAUAUGAGGCACUCGAAGAUCCGGAUUGGCUUAAUGCCAUGCAUGAAGAACUCAACAACUUCGAGUACAACAAGGAGUGGAGAUUGGUGCCAAGGCCAACGGGGAACCACAAUGUCAUUGGAACCAAGUGGAUAUUCAAGAACAAGCAAGAUGCUCAUGGGACCAUUGUUCGCAACAAGGCAAGGUUGGUGGCACAAGGCUACUCCCAAGUCGAGGGUAUCGACUACGGUGAAACCUUUGCUCCCGUUGCUCGCCUUGAAUCCAUUCGUUUGUUGAUUGCUUAUGCUUCUCAUCACAACUUUAAGUUGCAACAAAUGGAUGUGAAAAUGCUUUCCUUAAUGGUCCUAUUAAUGAGUUGGUAUAUGUCAAGCAACCCCCCCCGGGUUCGAGGAUCCCUACUUUCCCGAUCAUGUGUAUCAACUCUAUAGGGCACUCUAUGGCCUUAAACAAGCCCCACGUGCGUGGUAUGACCACCUUACCGAGUUGUUACAAGACUGUGGAUUUGAAGUUGGGCUAAUCGACCCCACUCUUUUUACUAAGAAGGUCAAAGGGGAGUUGUUUGUGUGCCAACUAUAUGUUGAUAAUAUUAUCUUUGGCUCCUCUAACAAAGCUUUCAAUGAGGAAUUUGCCGCUCUCAUGACCUCAAAGUUCAAGAUGUCUUCCAUGGGAGAGUUGAAGUUCUUUCUCGGUUUCGAAGUGAAGCAAAGAAGAGAAGGAACCUUCAUCAACCAAGCCAAAUACACUCAAGACAUGCUCAAGAGAUUCAAGCUAAGUGAUGUCAAGCCGGCUUCCACUCCAAUGCCCACCAAGUGCCAACUUGACAUUGAUCCCAAUGGUAAAGCGGUGGAUCAAAAGGUAUAUCGGUCCAUGAUUGGAUCCUUGCUUUACCUUUGUGCAUCUAGACCGGAUAUCAUGUUGAGUGUGGGAACUUGUGCACGGUUUCAAGCCGUACCUAAGGAAAGACACUUUGUGGCGGUCAAGCGAAUCUUUCGAUAUUUGGCUCAUACCCAAACUUUGGCUUAUGGUACCCAAGAGGAGCAAACUUCAAGCUUGUAGGGUAUUCGGACUCCGAUUGAGCGGGAGACAAAGUGGAUAGGAAGUCCACUUCCAGAGGGUGCCAAUUUCUUGGUUGCUCUUUGGUGAGUUGGUAUUCCAAGAAGCAAAGUUGUGUGUCUCUCUCGUCCACCGAAGCGGAGUAUGUGGCUGCCGACAGUUGUGGUGCACAACUUUUGUGGAUGAGGCAAACUUUAAAGGAUUAGGGUGUCACUUGUGACAAAGUGCCUCUUUGGUGUGACAAUGAAAGUGCCAUCAAGAUUUCUCUUAACCCGGUGCAACACUUCAAGACGAAGCAUAUUGAGAUUCGGUAUCACUUCAUCCGGGAUCACAUUAGGCGAGGGGAGAUCGAGCUCAACUAUGUCAACACUCAUGAUAACCUUGCAGAUAUUUUCACGAAGCCUUUAGAUGAAGCAAGAUUUCGCGAGUUAAAGCAUGAGCUAAAUAUCAUUGACUCGAGCAAUGUUGCUUGAAUCCUUGCACACCCCACCAUACUCAACUUGUUGUCUCGUUUAGAUGUAGGCAUGGACAUAGGGGGAGUGUUGUUCUCUCAAUGAAAUCUCCCUCCCCCAUUAUGCAUAAAUUGAUCAACUCUUUCACAUUAGCCAUUUUUUAUGGUACUUGUGCUUCAAAGACGAGUUUUGGUCACGGGCCCAAGGAUAAUCCUUCGUGGUGCCAUACCAAUUGACUCAAACAUAGGUGGCUCCGGCCACCGCCCUCUCCUUGGAGAGGUUGUGUCUCGUGGUUGGUCCUUGUUGUUUCUUGCCUUUCUUUCUUCGUGCUGAGCGUGUUCUAGUGGUGUCUCGUUCGCUUGAAGUUUCCUUGCAAAGACCCUUUUUCUUUCGUUCGGAACUUGCAUCUUCUUCAGCUCACGGUACUACCGCGGCCUGCCACGGUACUACCGCGUGUGGAGCGCACGGUACUUCCGCACCCAGCACGGCAGUAAUUUUUUACUACCGCCUGGGGGAGCGGUACUACCACUUCGGUGCGGUACUUCCGCCCGAGCGGUACUACCGCGAUGAGAUGCGGUACUACCGCGCUGACGAGUGCGCGUGGGGGUUAAGACUCGGGCAGGGGGAGUUCGAACUCCCCCAUACCCAUUCGUCUGUUUCUCUCCCCCGCCGCCUCUCUCUCCUCCUCAAGAACGGCGCCGGAGACCCUCGCCGGAUCUCCGUCUCCGGCCGCUCUCCUCGGAUUCCGACCGGUGGGAUCGUUCCCCACCACUUCCUCUUGCCAUGGAACAAGGUUUCUCCCCAAAUCCCUCUCUCUUUUGUUCGUUCCUUUGCCUCUAGGUUUUAGGGGAGAUGCAUGUGUUCUUGAGAUUUUAGGCUAAAUCUAUGCAAGAGUAGGAUGUAGGAGAGUAGUGUUGCGUAGAAACUAUACUUGAUAUGUUGUCCCGUUGUAGAUUUGAUCAACCGUAGUACCGCCUCAUUUUCGCGGUUGUUCUCAAAUUCAAAGUGGUUCAGAUCUGACGUCGUGCGGUACUACCGCACCUCUGGUGCAGUACUACCGCUUGUGUGGUACUACCGCACCUCUGGUGCGGUACUACCGCCCGUCAGGUGCGGUACUACCGCGCGAGCCGUGGUACUAAGGUCCUACUACCGCUCCGAGCCCCAGUACUACCGCGCCUUCACGCGGUACUACCGCGACUAGGAGCGGUACUAAAAUUUUAGUACCACACGAACUGGUAGUACUACCGUUGUUGUCCAAUCUUCUUCUUAGCAAUUACCACGUAUGCUUUCUACUUGUUUCCCUUGUCUUGCUGAGGUCUAUGCAUUGAUUCUUCUCGCUUUUUUGUGUGCUUUUUGCUUUGUGUCUUAGGUGGUGGCUCCGGUGCUCCUGCUCGCCAUUCUAAUCCCAGUCGUGACACUGGCUCCAAGCGUCUGCGCAAUCAAGAUGAAGCUCCAGAGGGAUCCAGUGCCCCCAAGCGCAAUGUCAAGUCCUCCGCUAGCAAGUACAAGGAACCCACAAAGGGAAUGGACGAGAUACCUCUUUCUGAGUUUAUCCCUCAAAGGCAGAUCAACCCGUAUGUGAAUGUCCGUGCUAUCUUCAGAGGCAAUGACCUGUUUUGGACCAAGCAGCAGACCCUCAUCUACCUGGAUGUGAUUAAGGCCAAGCAAAACACCUAUGUGGAUGUCAAGUGGAUUGACAUGAAUCACAUGAGGCAGGACAAGCACCGUGCUUACUUUGGAGAGGCUCUGGACUUGGUGGAGCAGUUUGGCAUUGAACAUGUGAUCUCCUUCCACCUGGACUUUGACCCUGAGAAUAUUUGCCAGUUCUUUGCCUCAGUUCACUUUCACUCUGGGGAGGAUCGAAGGAUGACCUGGAUGACCAAUGGACGUCAGUUGACUGCUACCUGGAAGGACUUCAUGGAUUUGCUCCACGUACCUAAUGAGGGGCUCAACACACCCGUUGGUGUUCGCCCUCAUGCCAACCCUGAGUCAGCCAGCAAGAACAAGCUCCAGCAGUAUAAUGUUGCGAAGACACUUCCCAGUGGCAAGACGACGUGGGUGCUGAACCCAUUUCUGGACAUCAUGUAUCGCAUCUUCCGCAACUCUCUUUUCCCUCGCAUUGGUGACAAGUACAAGGUACAUGCCUAUCUGGUGGAUAUGAUGCUCCUGUGCGAGGAGGCGCGUGUGUCUCAGUCUCAACCACUUGAUGUCUCACAUAUCAUGUGGUGUGAGCUUCGGUUCGCGGUGUUCAACCGCAAGGUACCCAUCUAUGGACCGUACCUGUUUCUGUUGAUCUCCAAGACUUGGGAGAAGCUGUUCUCCGGUGAUGAGUUUCUUGCUCCAGACUGGAUUCGUCAUGAGUCCACCAGUCUCCGUGUCAAGCCCAAGUGGGCCAACACUACUACUCGUGCUGAGGCGACUAUUGCUCAGAGGGUUGUUGAUGGGGAGGAGGCUGAGGCGGAGGAUGCUGGUUAGGACCGUGCUGCUGGGUUUGCCCCUCGCUUCUCUGAGCCCUCGUGGGCCAAGAAGCUGAAGGACAAGAUGAAGACUCUGUUUUGCAUGCAAGCAAAGGGGCAAUACAGGACUCACGUGGCCUCCAAGGAGAGUCGCCGCCGCGACAAGAAGAUUAUGAAGGUCUUUGGAGAGGAAGUCUCUGGCGGUUCUGAGGAGGUCAUCACUCCAGAGGCUGAGUGGAUGGCUAAGAAAGGUUUCAAGUGGACUGAUUCUGAGGAGGACAUCAAGGAGACCGUCCCCGCUGCCGAGUCUGACGAGGAGCGUUGGAGUGAUUACUCUGCCUGAGCCACCCCUUGUGUGUAGGUGUCCUCUCUGCCUUUUUGGCAUCUCGAUGCCAAAGGGGGAGAGAGUGUAGGAUUUACGAGUCGUUUUUUCGUAUUGCUUCGUUUGUGUUUGUUCAGUUGAACCUCGUUUGCUUUGGUUUGAUUUUCGCUUGUGAGACUUAUCCUUCAUAUGGUGUAAGACAUAUGCACUCUAUCUUAUCUUAGUGAGCUUAUGAUAUAUUGUGCUACUUAUGUUAUGCUCUUGUUUGCUAUCUUGCUUAGUGUUAGCCUUACUAUUGCAAGAUAUUCCUUGUCUAUAAAAUAUAGGGGGAGUGUUGAUCCUAGUAUGUGUGCCGUGCAGUCCAAAGCACCUAUCUAGAUUGCACACAUCUAGGGGGAGCCCGUCUAUAUUUUAGAGAGGAGGGGUUUGCGUAUGCUCUAUAUUAUUUCCCUUUGUGCAAAUCCCGUAUUGUCAUCAAUCCCCCAAAAAGGGGGAGAUUGUAACGGCAUAUUUAUCCCUAAGGUGUUUUGGUGAUUGAUGACAAUGCUUUUGCGGACUAAUCGUGUGCCUUGAGUUUCUCAGACGUUUCAUCGCUAGGCACAAGACGGUUUGGUGCCCCUCGAAUACUAUUGAAGACGGCGUUUUUCUACGUUUCUUUUCGGUGGAUUUGAGUCGUAGGAAAGCCGUACUAUUAAGAGGGGGUUCGCUUCGGAAAGGUUCGGGUGGAAUCAUCACGUACACAUUUUCUUCCUCUGCACCACCUUUCCCCUUGUGCUUUGGAGCAUCCUCCGUUUUCCUCAUUUCUAUGCAAAGAGAAGGAUUCCUAAGUGUUGCUAUUCUGGGGCAUGCGGUAGUACUGCUCUACGGAGCGGUAGUACUGCAGGCCCUUGUGGCAGUACCACAAGCCUUUGAGGUAGUACCGUAGGCGCCCGCAGUAGUACCGCUCCUACGGAGCCGUACUACCGUGGCCUCAGACCAGACUCAGUUGCUCAUGCGGCUGUAGGGGCGGACGUAAUUUUUUACGUCCGCGCCCUACACGGUAGUACCGCCCCAUGCGCGCGGUAGUACCGUGAGUCCUGGUCUGGCACAGUUACAUGAGCGGAAGUAGGGGCGGAUGUACUUUUUUACAUCCGCUCCCUGCACGGUAGUACCGCAUGCCAUGUGCGGUAGUACCGUGUCAGAUUUUUGCAUCGAUUGAUUUUCAGCGGAAGUAGGCACGGAUGUAUUUUUAUUCAUCCGCGCCCUUCCCAGGCUAGGCCAUUCCUGCCUUGCAGUAGUACCGCAUGGGGGAACGGUAGUACCGCGCCUGCGGCAGUACCGCCCUCAGCCUCUGUGCUUCAGGCCUGACCUAGUUCCUGCCGUAGCAGCGGUAGUACCACGGUCACUCGCGGUAGUACCGUGUGGCCUUGCGGUAGUACCGCUUGUCAGGGGCGGUAGUACCGCAGGUCGCGGGCUGGUUAAGUGGAUAACGGUUGGAUUUGGUUCUCCACUAUAUAAGGGGUGUCUUCUUCCUCUAGUUGACUACCUCUUCCAACCCUAAGCUCCAUUGUUGCUCCAAGCUCCACUUUCGCCCGAUCUCUCUCCCUAGCCAAUCAAACUUGUUGAUUUGCUCGGGAUUGGUUGAGAAGGCCCCGAUCUACACUUCCACCAAGAGAAAUUUGAUUCCCCUCACUAAUCCCUUGCGGAUCUUGUUACUCUUGGGUGUUUGAGCACCCUAGACGGUUGAGGUCACCGCGGAGCCAUAGUCCAUUGUGGUGAAGCUUCGUGGUGUCGUUGGGAGCCUCCAAUUAAGUUGUGGAGAUUGCCCCAACCUUGUUUGUAAAGGUUCGGUCGCCGCCUCCAAGGGCACCAAUAGUGGAAUCACGGCAUCUCGCAUUGUGUGAGGGCGUGAGGAGAAUACGGUGGCCCUAGUGGCUUCUUCGGGAGCAUUUUGCCUCCACACCGCUCCAACGGAGACGUACUUCCCCUCAAAGGGAAGGAACUUCGGUAACACAUCCUCGUCUUCACCGGCUCCACUCUUGGUUAUCUCGUGCCUUUACUUGUGCAAGCUUAUUUGUGUUAUAUCUCUUGCUUGCUUAUGUGCUUGUUGUUGUUGCAUCAUAUAGGUUGCUCACCUAGUUGCAUAUCUAGACAACCUACUUUGAUGCAAAGUUUAAAUUGGUAAAGAAAAGCUAAAAAUAGUUAGUUGCCUAUUCACCCCCCCCCCUCUAGUCAACUAUAUCGAUCCUUUCACAUAGCAUGACCACACUAUUCGAAACACAAAAGGGGAAUCACAAAACAACACAAGACAAUGGUUGAUUUCUUUACCAAAUGGGAGAAAUGCCACUUUCAACGGGCUCUAGAGGGCGUCGUCCCUUGCCGCCGAGAUCCGGGUGAAUGGAGGCCGUGGAAGCAACGAGGCGGUGACAGAUCUACGAAAGGAUAUGACUCAAAGUGGUGGGGAAAAGGGUGUCUAACAACAAAAUUUAGGGACGUGUCACUAUCGAGCACUGCAAGUGAGCCCACAGUGGGGAAAGGCACGCAUCGGAGGGGCAAAAUGGGAAUUAUGGCCCCAACGGCGGGCCCCCACAUCGACGGACACUCAAAGAGUCUUGUCGCCAAUAUUGGUUGGCCCACAUCAGAGUGGCCUGCACUUUCAUCGGAGGGGCCCACACUUUCAUCGGAGGGGCCCACACAUCGCUCGAAAGGGUCAAUAGAUUCUCCUCGUGGCUGCAGUUGAUGUGGUGAAGUGGUGGGUCCAAAAUGGAAGGAAACAACGCAAAGUUGACGGCAACCGAUGGAGAUGACGUGCAGUAUCAUACACCUAUUUUUUUCACAAUGGUUAGUGCCCAGACCGAAAUACAGAAGAUUGAGUGGCAGGACUCGAAUAUGCAACUUUGGCGGUGGCACAGAUCGGUUCGUCCCAAAAAUAUAAUAUGAAAACUUUUUCAUGAUGGGUUUGAGGAUAUUGAUUGCUACCGUACAUGUUAAUAUUUCCUUCUUAUAAACCAGAUCAAAGUGUAAUCAACAAAACUGAUAUGCACUCUAUUCUGAAAUGAGGGGAGUAAGCCCUAUCUAUAAGACAACAUGACCGUGCCUAUUGAUGAUUUUUCGGUAUACUAGCAAUGACAUUUCAUAGGAUUUAAUCCCUCUAUUCCUAAAUAUAAGUCUAUUUAGAGAUUUCAGAGCAAAAUGAGUGAAUCUACAUUGUAAACUAUGUCUAUAUACAUCCGUAUGUAGUUCAUAUUGAAAUGUCUAAAAAAGACUUAUAUUUAGGGAUGGAGGAACUAUUUGGCAUUUAUUUGGAGAAGGAUAGCCAUUAUCCAAAGAAAAAUGAAACAUAUCAUUUAAUGACAUUAAUUGGAUAAGGAUAACCUUGAUGCCGCCACAUCUAUAUAAGGCGACUGAACGGUACCCCUCGUGACCACAAAAACAUACUGGUUGACAGACUAUUGCAUAACUAUAUAUUUUCUGUUGUUUUGUUCUUGGGCAAUGGCGAACAAUGGCAUCUUCCAAGUGAUCAUUGUUUUUCUCAUGGCGCAAGUCUGCUUGCUCAUGAUAAUGGCAGCACCGGUAGCACAUGCAGCUGCUAGACCGGUGGGGUACAAUCCAGUGUGCUGCCCUAGGAACAUCUAUUGUUGCGGGUUCGCUAGCGGAUUGGCCAAUUCACCCGCACCAUCCAUUGUAUCUUGAUGUGUGGCUUUAUUCUCCCCCAAGUAGUAAGCUUAACAUAUAAAUGAUAUAUGUGGUUCAUGUGUUACCUAAUCCUAAAUUUUUGUGAUGCUACUUUCAAGAAGUUAUUGUACUAGUUACUUACAUAAUUAAAUGGGAGGAGAUUAUUAUAUAUCUUGUUCGGAAUAUAGCGCAAAGAGAC